rnacentral:lncRNA from 1 species
GAAGAUUUCUUUCCAGACAGGUUUUUAAACAACCCGGUGGAUUGUAUAGGCCAAGACUUCCAAUUCAUCCCCUUUGGUGCUGGAAGAAGAGGAUGCCCAGAUAUGUCAUUUGCAUUAGCUACAGUUGAGUAUGUGAUCGCCAACCUUUUAUACUGGUUUGAUUGGAAUUUGCCUCUUGGUGAAGUUGAGGAGAAUUUGGACAUGUCUGAAGUUAAUGGGCUAGCGGUUCAUAAGAAAUUACCUCUUCAUCUUGUGCCAACACCCUACUCACCUUACCCUUAACCUUGAUAUGUCUAGAAAAAUUUCCAUGGUAAUUAUGUUCUAAUCAUGAUUAUCCUCUUUUAUUUUCUCUCUUGCGAAAAAUUGCACCAGUGUUGUCAAUUUUCUUCUAUGUUCAUGGAUACCUUGAGGAGCAUGCUUUUAUCAAUUUGUCCCCGUCUGUAUUAUAUGGGUCCUCUGUUUGAUCUUUAUCGAUAAAUUCCAUCAAUCAAUUAAGGUUUAGAGAAAUGCAGAAAGUUAACAAAAUGUUACAUCCAUCGAGUUGAUGGGAGAAUAAUUACAACUAAUCAAGAAUUAAUAAUUAAUGAAGCUGAUUUUAUGGGAAAAAAAUUAUAUGUCGAUCGACAUGUUGACAGCAUAACACCAAUGGUUUUGUCCCAAAAAAAAGUACCAAAUGGCGUUGAUGGGAGAUUAUUUGUCAGAAUUAUUUUUUAAUUCUUAUUUUAUAUUUAUGUGGCUUGAAAGCGACUCUGCGUUGAUCCUUCAUUUAUUUUCUUAUUCCUUUGUGUGUGUGUGUGUGUGUGUGUGUGUAUUGUUAUUUAAAAGUACCACAAUUUCGCAUUGGAAAGGAAAGAGGGCAAAAGUUAGUUUAGAGACUAAGGUUGGUCUAUAAUAGUAAGCCCAUAAGGAGUUAGCUCAAGCUCGUGAGACCAAACCCAAACGAGUUGCCUCAUCUAAGGAUCUUAUAAUUGGGUUGUCUCACAUAGAGGAGUUCAAAUACCGGGUAUUUAGCCUUUUUUUUUUUUUUUUUCAAUUAACCACUGAAAUCACUCACCUAAAUUUUACUCAGUGAUAUGCAUAGCUCACGUCUGGUAUUUAGAAAAUAUUUUCAAGCAGGAGUCGUGUACAUAGUAUGUAUCAAAAUGUUGCAAGUCUUCUAAAACACAAGCAGAUUAGCAUUUUAUUCCCUCAUAAUAGAUUUUUUUUUUUUUUUUGGGUAAAGAGGGGCUCUAAGCAGAGCUAGAGAACAACUGAACGAGAAUGGGCCAUCCCACAAGCAUCCUUAAACAAAAAGGAUUUAACUCCCAACGGGGGAGUAUGGUAAAUAGCAAGACCAAGAGGAAUGGAGAAAGCUAGACUCGCCAUAUAAUCAGCUGCGAAAUUAGCUUCUCUGUAAAUAUGAGAGAUAGAAACUUGCCAAUCCAUCUUUAGAUAAUCCUUGAUAGCUUGAAUCAGCGGAGCAUAGUGAUUGAUUUCCAAGGUUGGCUUAGUCACCAACUGUAGCACACAACGACUAUCUAUUUCCACUUGAAGCUUUCUUAUACCAAAAUUCCAAGCUAGCUGCAACCCUUGAUAUAAACCCCAAAGCUCCGCAACUGUAAUAGAGCAGGAGCCAAUCAUCAUCCCGAAGCCACUAAGCCAGCGACCCAUGUGAUCACGAAUCAAUCCCCCAGCAGUAGAAAUCCCUCCCCUGUUGUGGGCACCAUCAGUGUUCAAAGAGCACCAAGGCCAAUCUGGAGGUUUCCAAGAGAUCCAUCUCGUCACCCUUAUGUGUCCUAUGGUCAGCGGAUGAGUAUGAAUCUUAUGCAUCUCCACAGUGCGCGUAAAGACAUCCAUUAACACAACAUUCGGAUCCAUAGAAACUUGAUUAAAAAUGAAUUGGUUCCUCCAAAACCAAAGUCUCCAGAGUGCAAUACCAAAGAAAAUGGCCCAAUUAAAAACACUCCCUAGCCUUCCAACAAUCCCCACAUUCGUACGAAGCCACUCCUGGAGCCGCGAAUUGAAAAACUGCUGUCGUUUGUUUUCUGGGAGAAUCAGGAGCCAAAAAUACUUAACCAAGGCAUAAUCCCGCAAGACAUGCAUAGCAUCCUCAGUCACAGCCCCACACCGGUCACAAGAGGUUGAUACCGGGAUGUGAUGAUGAGCCAAUUCGACCUUUGUUUUCAGUCGAUCGUGAAACACUUGCCAUAAGAAGAUCCGCACACUCCGGGGACCCUUCCAAGUCUAAACCGUACGCCAAAGCCUGUCAUCAUGCAUGGGGGUAUCAUUUGAAAGUGCCAAGUAAGCCGAAUGAGUAGUGAAACGUCCAGAUUUGGAGUGAGCCCAAAACAAAGAAUCAGUGCCCUUAUCAGGGGACGGGGGAUGGAGAGCAGCAAUCUGAAGAAUGAUGUGAGAAGGAAGAAACUGUUCAAAACGAUCCCAGUACCAGAAACCAUAUUCUUUAACAAAAUCAGCCACUUUGCCGUUUGAUAUAUUACUAGGAAGAUUUUUGAUUAUAUAUGCUGCAAGAGGGACAUCCCUAGUCACCCAAAGGUCCCACCAAAACCAAACAGAUUGACCAUCUCCCAAACACCAGCGUCUACUUGCCAGGACUUCACUCCACACAUUUCCAAGAGAUUUCCACAAGUGGGAACCAUAGCGCGUUGGAAGCAUAAGUGGCAGAUUGUGAAUGUCAACCCCAUAUUUAGAAACAAAGACCUGAACCCAGAAGCUGUUUGGGGAUGAGAUGAAGAGCACGGUUCAUCAUAGCCAGAGAUUUAAACCCCAACCCUCCAACUGACUUUGGUUUACAAAUAUCCUUCCAGCUGAUCAUGCUAAGGCAUUGAUGAGGUGAAGAGCCACUCCAAAUAAAACGCUUGCAUGCCCAAUCAAUCCUCUCUCUAAUCCCAGCAGGAAGAGAAACAGUUUGCAUGACGUAAAUGGGAAUGGCCUGAAGGACCGAUUGAGCCAGGGUAAUGCGGCCGGCCAGAGACAUAUGGGAGGCAUUCCAGCCAGAGAGCCGUUUCUCAACCUUAUCAAUAAUAUCCUGAAACAUGUUAUUGGUGACCCGUGUGUGGUGAAGAAGAACCCCAAGAUACUUUCCAAGAUCCUGUGUGACUGAAAAACCAAGAAGACCCGAGAUCCUGGCCAUGCCUGCACCCCCUACAUUCUUGAAAAAAUAUAGCAAAGUCUUGUUAACAUUGACCUUAGCUUCUAAACUGUAGCAAUAAGCAUCUAGGACUGCCGAAAUAAUUCGAGCUUGCUCAAUAGAAGCUUCGGCCAACAGCAGGAGAUCAUCUGCAAAGAAAAGAUAAGAGAGGGGGAUACCAUUGCGAGCCAAACGAAUUGGUUUCCACUUACCAGCAGUAACAGCAUUAUGAAUCCCGUGGCUCAGGCAUUCUCGAUGCAGAGAACAAAAAGAUAAGGGGACAAUGGAUCACCCUGGCGAAUUCCACGAGAAGGCAAGAAUUCAUCCGUCACUUCACCAUUCCACAAAACCCGCAUUUUUACUGAGGUAAUACAAGCCAUUAUAACCUGAAUGAGAUUAGAGGGAAGUCGAGCUUCACACAAAGUAUCAUUGAUGAAUUCCUAACUAAGGCGAUCGUACGCCUUCUCAAGAUCAACCUUAAUCGCCAUAAAACCCUUAGCACCAGCCUUUUUUCUCAUGGAAUGGAUAACCUCUUGAGCGAUCACAAUAUUUUCCGUUAUGUGACGACUAGGAACAAAGCUAGUUUGGUGGGGGCCAAUCAAUUGAGGUAAAAUCGAUUGGAGCCGAUUGGCAAUAAUUUUAGUUAUGGUCUUGUAAGCUACAUUACAGAGAGAGAUAGGACGGUACAACUUCAACGAAGAAGGAUUCUCAAUCUUUGGGAUGAGCGCAAGCAAAAUGGCAUUUAGAUCCCCAGGCAAGCGUUUAUGCUGAAAAACUUCUUUCACUAGGCAACAAAGAGAUGAGCCGACUGUAUCACACUGAGUUUGAUAGAAAAUGGCAUGGAGGCCAUCUGGACCCGAGGCCUUGAGAGGGUGCAUGCCAAAGAUAAUUUUUUUUAAUUUCAUCAUCAUCCACAUGCCCAUGAAGAUAUUGAAGCUCAUCAUCAUCUAUAAUAGGAAAAGAGUGCGGAUGUGGAUAUGCCCGAAAAUUUGGAGAAUCGCAAGAAUAUAGGGAUAAGUAGAACUGGAUCACAUGAGCCUUGAUUUCUUCUUUAUCAUAAAUCUAAGAACCCGCAUUAUUUUGAAUGGCUGUAAUAUGAUUUCGACGCCUUCUAGAUAAAGUUUUCUGAUGGUAGUAGGAAGUGUUACGAUCACCUAAGAGGUCUAAGAAAAGUGUUUAUGUUCGAAUGAUAGCAGGAGGUUCUACCCUCACGGGGAAAUCUAGACGAGCCAUCAAGCAUUACAACAAGUGAUCAAUAUUGGAUCGCCUUGGUAAGGAAGUCAACUUUGCUUGUCAAAAUCACUUUAGGGUACCAUAGGUACCCGACUAUCCCAUUAUAUUCUUUUCACAGAAAAAGAUGCGGAAGAUGUCUCAUACCCCCAUGAUGAUACUUUGAUUAUAAUGUUAAAAGUCGCCAUGGUACUUUUGUGGACACCAGUAGUUUCGUGGACAUCAUCUUUAAAAGCGCCCUAGAUCAGCUGCUAAUCAAAUCGCCAAGGAUCACUCCAUAAGACACACCACUCAUCAAUUUUGCAGGAGACGUGGUCAUCUCCAAGGGUAUCAUCAUUUUGCCCGUUACAAUUGGCAAGGUACCCCACCGGGUUUGUCCAUAUGAUUAACUUUUUUAUUGUUGAUCAGCUCAGCGCCUAUAAUAUCAUCUUGGGAAGACUAUUUUUAGCGACAACGAAAGCGGCAAUCUCUAUGCAUUACCUCACCAUGAAGAUUCCAAUUGUCGGGGAAAUUAUCACCAUCAAAGUGGAUCAGCAGUCGGCUCGAGGGUGCUAUUCCGUCACCUCGAAAGCUAGUUAUCAAAUUGCCACUAAUAUAUUCCUGAAGGGGUACCCCAUCAGUACAAGGCCACUUAUCAGCCUAUCCAAACAAGCAUUUUCUAAACGCUGGAGAGUUGCACGUAAGAAAGUUCAACGAUUCAUAAAUUCCCAACAGCAAUAAGAAGUUAGGCUAAUAAAAGUGGACCUAGUAGCUCCUCGGGCAUCUGUAGUCAUAGUUUAGCAUCAAUUGGAGAGGUGGAGGUACCACUGGAUCCGCGGAUGCUGAAAGAUGAAAAGCGAGGAGUACGAGUUGAGGAUCUUGUGCUUGUUUCGAUCUGCAAUAAUGACCCAACCAAGAUGGUCAAAGUUGGCUCCAACCUCCUUGACCAACAUCGAGAGAAACUUAUUGAAUUUUUAAAGGAAAAUCGUUAUGUGUUCGCUGGUCUCACGCGGAUAUGCUAGGUAUCCCAUCUUUUAUUGCCUGCCACAAGCUCAAUGUCGAUCCUCAUUAUAGGCCUGUCAAGCAAAACUAUCGAACUUUUAACCAGGAACGCUAUGACGCCAUUUAACAAGAAGUGGACCUAUUACUAGUAGGCAGGUUCAUUAGGGAGGUGAUGUACUCCGACUGGGUGUUGAAUGUUGUCUUAGUCAAGAAGUCCAAUGGGAAAUUGCGAAUGUGUAAAUUUUAUAGAUUUGAACAAAUCACGCCCAAGGAUAGCUUCCCGCUUCCCCAAGUAAACUAGCUGGUCGAUACUACGGCGGGACAUGAGAUGUUUAGUUUCAUGGACGCUUUCUUUAUAAACAACAAAAUUCUGAUGUACGUGCCCGAUCAAGACAAAACGGCCUUCAUCACCAACCGUGGAUUGUACUGCUAUAAGGUUAUGCCGUUUGGUUUGAAGAACGCUAGCGCCACUUAUCAGCGUUUGGUGAAUAAGGUCUUCAAGCAGCAGAUCGAGCACACCAUGGAGGUAUACAUCGAUGACAUGAUAACAAAGUCGGUGUACACCAUUGAUCACACUGGGCACCUCAGAGACACCUUUGAUGUUUUAAGAAAGCAUCAGAUGCUCCUAAAUCUUGAAAAAUGUGCAUUCGAGGUAUCUUCGGGUAAAUUCCUGGGAUUCAUGGGGCAAUAGUGGGAAAUCGAGGCUAAUCCCGAUAAAAUCCUUGCGGUUCUUAAGAUGAAGUCACCAAGUACCAUCAAAGAAGUUCAAAGCUUAGCCAGUCGUGUGGCCGCCUUAAUUCGUUUAACUCUAAGGCCACCGAUCGUUGUAAGCCAUUUUUCAAAGCUUUGAAAGCGGGGAAGAGACUCCAAUGGACUGUCAAGUGCGAAGAGGCUUUUCAGAAGCUAAAAGAGUACCUCGUUAAUUCACCUUUGCUCGCCAAACCUAAACCAAGAGAAGCGAUUCUAUUAUACCUCGUCAUUUUUUAACACGUCACUAACUCCGUUUUACUAAGAGAAGACGAAAAUGGGGUACAACGACCUAUAUAUUACACUAGUAGGGAAAUGGUUGAUGUGAAAAAGGGGUAUCCCACCACAGAAAAGUUAGUUUUGGCUUUAGUUAUCUCUGCAAGGAAACUCCGGCCAUAUUUUUAGGCCCACACCAUUGCUGUUGUUACAAAUCUUCCCCUUCGACAAAUCCUUCAAAAGUUAGACAUGUUCGGAAGACUUCUUCGCUGGUCUCUUAAAUUGAGUGAGUUUGACAUUAUUUUCAAGUCACGCUCAGCUAUUAAAGCCCAAGCCAUUGCUGAUUUCAUUGCGGAAUUCGCCAAUAACUCUGAGGGUGAAGGGAUCCAGGGGUACCCGGACGAAACUACACCAGCCAAUGAGGAAGAACAUGUUUGGAAAAUUUACGUGGAUGGUUCUUCCAACUCGCAUAGAAGUGGUGCGAGAAUAAUAAUCCUCGAUCCGGGUAAAGUGAAAUUAUGCUAUGCCUUGCAAUUUGAAUUCAAGGCCUCAAACAACGAGACCGAGUAUGAAGCUAUAAUAGCGGGGUUAAGAAUGUCGAUGGUCUUGGGUGCAAAAAGGGUCCACAUCAAAAGUGACUCUUAAUCGGUGAUCGGUCAAAUCACCUCGGAAUAUCAGGCUAAGAAAGAAAAUAUGAAGGGGUACCUCGGGAAAACCAGAGAAUUGAUGUCUCAAUUUGCUGAGGUUAAAGUGGAAAAAGUUCCACAAAUAGAAAAUUGUAAAGCUGACAAUCUCGCUAAAAUGGCUUCCUUCGGCACAACUUAGUUUGUUGGUUCUAUCACUGCUGAGUACAUACCUACACUUAGUAUUAAUCUACCUGAGCCAGAAGAAGUAGAGUCAAUAACUGUUGGGGUACCUUAAAUGGAACCAAUCAUAAGGUAUCUCAAGAAUGGGGAUCUGCCCUCAAACAAGAAUGAAGUAAGAAGGCUAAAGUACAAAGUUGCACGAUACUAUCUCAUCGAGGAUACCUUAUACAGAAGAGGGUUUACCCUCCCUUACCUAAAGUGCUUAGGAUAUGAGCAGGCCGAAUAUGUCAUGAGAGAGAUAUACGAAGGAAUUUGCGGUAACCACUAUAAAGCACAAUCAUGGGCACAAAAGGUCCUUUGUCAAGGGCUUUAUUGGCCUACGAUGCGGGAGGAUUCUAAAAAUAUGGUCAAGAGUUGUGACAAGUGCCAAAGAUUUACCAAGGUACCUCACCUUCCAUCAGAAAAGUUAACGAUCAUGUCUUCUUCGUGGCCUUUUACUGUUUGGGGUAUAGAUCUCAUUGGCCCACUGCCAACCAAUAGAGGGCAAGCUAAAUAUACAAUUGUAGCCGUUGACUAUUUCACAGGUGUGUUAUUUCAAAUUCUUUUGUCAAGGUAAGUAACUUCAUUCUUAAUGUACUAGAUAUAUAUAUAUAUAUAAUUAUUUUGAUAUUAUUAUAAGUAUAAAUGUUUUUAUACUACUUAAAGGAUUAAUUGAUUUUGAUAACAAAAUUAAUUUUAUGUAAAUGUUUUUAAACCUAGAUUCUUUUUAACAAAGUAUUUUAUAAAUGCUUUUUAAUAGAUAAAUUAUUUUAUGACAUAACUACCUUUUGUGAUUUUAUCUUUAAAAUGUUAUGCAAGCCUAAAUUGUUGUUAUGAACAUUUAUGAAACUAAUACGAAUGUUUUGCGCCCAUUUAUGAUUUUAAUUAUUUAUGAUUGUACGGGGGCCACCUCUUGAGACUAAUAUGGGUCCACCUCUUGAGGGCCAAAGCAUCGCAAAGUGCCACAUAUAGUGCAAAGUGCCACGUCAUUAUGUUUUGGCUCAUUGUCCGUAAUUAUUCUGAUUCUAAUUCUAACGUAUUAUACGAUAUAUGUUUGUUCUGGACCAGUACUGGGUUUCUGUUCUGAGUGUGCACAUGAUUUUUUAAUUCUGAUUAUGUUUCUGGCUGGGUCACCGAGACUAUAGGUGACACUAUGUGACAUGAGCUAACCUUUUGUUUUUCUGUGUAUGUGAUAUAUGAUUUGCUUUUGUAAGUAACCAUGAUUUUGAUAUUCUGAAUUAUUAUGAAUUUAUGUUACUUUAUCGUGAUAUGUUAUUUUAUAAAAUUUAUGAAUUAUGAUAUAUGUUUUACUAAAAAGAAAGCUUGCAAUAUUUUUGGUAUCGGUAGGCCUAGUGUGUUAGGAAUGGUUUUACUUACCGAGUUGACAACUCACCCCUCAUCACUACUUUUUGCAGAUUAAGUUUCUUUUGAGAGGUGUGCUUAGCUUUGGAGUUAGAGAUUUCGUUUUUGUUUGCUAUUUGAAUAAGAAGAGGAACAGAUUCAUGUUUCUUUUUAGUUUAUUUAUGUUAUGAACUUGUAAUUUGGAGUUUGAGACUUUUUUUAUUGUUAUAUUUUGGGAGAGAUUAUUUAGUGUUAGACGUAUGAAUUUGUAGAUUUAUUUGAAUAAGAAUUUGAAGUAUUUCAGUUUAGAAUUUAUGAAUAAGGAUUACGAUUUGUAAAUAACCUCAUUCUGUACGUGCUCCACACGUGUUAGAUUUGGGGUGUUCACUACUAGAAAAAUGGGCUUUACUAAUACUAAUUUAGUGUCAGUAAUUACUUUUCCUGACACUUGUUAAUUGUGUCAAUAAUGCUCCAGCCAGAACACACUGACACUAAUUUUUAGUGUCAGCGAUUUUUGUGUCAGUAAUUCAUGUCAUUAUGGUAUCACUAAAAUAAUGACACGAUAGCGUUAGUAUUUAAUGAUACUAUUUAUAUGUCAGUAAUUUAUGAGACUACAGUAUCAAGAGCACACUGACUUAAUAACAUCAAAAAUUAUUACUGUCAUUUUAAACAUUUAGUGUCAGUAUUUAGUGAUGUUAUGAUUCUUUUGGUUAAUAGUAUACUUUGAUUUUAAUUAUAUUUUCCUAUUUGUUUUACAACUGAAAGAAAACUCAAAAUAUAUUAAAUAUACAAAAUCUCGCAACACAAUUGCAUAAGAAACAUCUCAAAUACAUCACUUAAAUUCAUAUAAUUCAACUACAUCAUUGUUUGGAAAAGAAAAAUAUAAGUACUAAAUUAAGUCUUGGACAAGCUCUUAACAACCAAGUGCUAAGUUAAGAUUCAACAAAUAUUAACCAACAAAAAGAAGCACAUAAUGUCAUUGAACAUCCACAAGCGGCUUCAUUUUUCUUUUCCCACCUACAAGUACAUAAAAUCAAUUAGUAUACCACAAAAAAUAAUUCUUGGAUUUUUGGGAGAAAAAACAAUCAGGCCAAUUUCAGUGUUCAAAGAGACUAACAAAGAAUGGGGCAAAAACAAUACAUAGCUCUCUUAGUGCAAGCUAAUUGUAAUAGGUAGUAUUGUGAAGAAUAUUUAUCUGCUAAGAGUUGAAUUUGAGUGGAUUUUCCUACAGAUCUAUACACAACUCAACUUAAGAAGAAUAAAAAAAUAAAAAAUAAAAAAUCCUAAGGAUUAAGAAAGAUAAAUGGAGAUUUAUUAGUAUACAUCCAAAAUUAGAAACUCAUUAAACAAUCCAGGGGUAAAAAUUGAGGAAUAAGAAUAUAACGUAUCUCAGGAUCAGACCAAAGACAUAAUAACAGAAACAUUUAAGGCAAACCACUACAAAGUUUUUACAUAAUAACCCAAAGCAAAGCAAACCAUUAUAAAAUUUUUACAUAAUAACCUAGAAACAAAACAGACGAAAAUUGGGCAAGUCCAUAUCCCAAACCUCUGUUAGGAAAAAUGUGUUCAGCAAACUUAUGGCUCCAACAAUAGAAAUUAACCCGUACACAACGAAACAAAUUAAUUGAUAUAAAAAACAGUCAAAGACAAAGCCAAAUAAGAAGAUUAACUAAUUUGGAGAUUGAAUUACAUAGUUACUUUUACAAAAUAUAGCAUAAGCCCAUUGUAUUUCAUAGUAAGCAACUGCAAAAAUGCCUAGAGGCAAAUUCAUAAAGGAAUAGUAGAUAGAAGAAAAAAAAGACGAGGAAAUAAACAGCAUGAAACAAACAAAUCACCUAACACAUCAUGGGGAAUUGACUUGUUAACGUUAAAGAGCAAAAUAAAACUUGGCACCUUCAUCCGAACAAGAACAGACGCUUACCCCUUACACAGAAUGGCUUAGGUUUUUCUUUAGAGUUUGAGGCUGACUUAUAAGAAUAUGAAGAAGAAAUGAUUGUGGAAGUUUGAUAGUGAUCAAGGAUUGAAUAUUGGGCUUAAAAUACAAAUUGGCAGUGAGGGCUGGUUUUCGAUCAUAAUGUUGAGACCACUAAUCCCCAAUACUUGUACCGUCUCACAUAAAAAUCCAAAUUUAAUAAACAUGAACUAAAUCCAGUGUAUUGAGUGUUAUUAUUUAAUGGAACAUAAAAUCUCUGGGUCAAAUAAUUCUAAAGUUAAACCAACAAUAAUCCUAAAAGCUAAAGUUGAUAAGAAAGGCCCAACAGUAUACUUCUAUCACACAAAAUUUGAAGAUAGAAAAAAGAAGGGCCUUUUUGUUUUUUAACUGAAACUGAAAAAAGAUUCAGUAUUAACAAUUCAUAAAUUUUAAAGACGUUGGUUUUCCAUCUUAACACUAAAAACUUGGUGUUUAUAUAUUCGAAUAUAAUUAAGCCAAAAAUUUUAAUUUAUCACUAAAUAGGAAAACAACUAAAUAAGCUGCAUAGUUUUAUUUUCCAAUAAAUGCUUAUUCAUUCCUUACCAUAUAAAAACCUAUCCUUCAUUAUUUAUUUAUUUUUUUAUAGGAAACAGAGAAAUUAGUAUUAAUAAGAACAAUAAUUACAAAAUGUCGAAAAGGAGUCCACAAAAAAAGGCUAUUGAAGUAUCACACACCAAGAGAAGAAUAAAUAGAAAAAUAGAAAACACUGAGGCAUUCAAACCCUCAACAAUAAACUCAACAUAUCAACUUUAAACAAAUAGAUUCUUGACUGUUCUUAGUGACAUUAAGAAACAAAUUAAAAGAAGGAAACUCCCCAGAAGAAACAUAAAAGACAAACUAAAUUUCACGAAAGCAUACAAACAACUACUCAGAUGUCCUAAAGAACUCUGUGCUCAACCUAAAGACAGAAAUGCCCUUUUGUUGGAGAAACUAUGAACACAACGCAUUAUAGGUACAAACAUGAUAAAAUGAUUUUCCAGGAUUCACUCGACAUGUCAUCCAAGGUGAUACAAAACGGUAGAACUAUAGAACUAGGACAAAACUUGCAGCAAGAUAAUGGCAAUUUCCCCCUUUCGUGUAAGAUAAUCAUAUUAUUCUUCAAAGAGAGACACACACAAAAAAAAAAAAAACCUACAAAAAAAAAAAAGCUUGUUGAAAACAAGCAAGCAUAUGGGUAUGAGUCUAUUGUUGUUUAUUUAUGAAUCAUGUUAAUAACCAGCCACAGAAAAUAGUAAACAAUAGUUUUCACACAAUCAAUGCAUAUUAACACAAGCCACGGAUUAUGAUUUCACUAACCAUUGCACACAAAGGUUCCAGACCAAUUUUAGAAGGAGGUUCUACAAGUUACUUUCCUUCAACUACUUGAAAAUCAAUCAUUAACUAAAGAAAUACACAUGAAAUUAGUUUAAAUAAUAGGAAAGGUAAGGAGACAUUUUAUAAAAACUCUUAAAUGUGGUACUCUGAUUUCCACAGACUGUGCAACAAAAAUAAAAUUGGAUGAACUAUAAUAAGUGAGAAGACAUAUUGUAAUUCUAUCAUCAAAGAAAGAUAAGCUUAAUCAUUUUUAAUUUUUUCUCAAAUAUCCAGUAGUACCUUAAGGUAAUAGGACAAGAUCACAGAAGUUGUCAUGAAGAGUGUAAAGCACUAAAUAACAAAAAUUAUACUAAUAAAUAAAACUCAAUUUAUUUUCUCCCUCAAUCAAUUGCUUUGAGCUUACUAUGAAUUCAACUAUGAAUUUGAGGAAAAAAUACAGACCUCAGUUUGCCAACUUCUUGUUCAUGAGAUUCAGCCGCAGUAAAUGCAAAGCUCCAUUUCUCGUCAAGCAUUGUUAACCUCUACGACAAAUUGAAGUUAAGAAGAUGAACAAAAUAAGUGUAAUGUGCAGGAAAAAAAAUGAAGUCUAUGGGUACAACAACACUUCAAGAUUUUUCAAGUUCUAGUUCAUUUAAAUAGACAUUCCUUGAACUUCAGCAGCAAAGAAAGUACAUUAUAGCAACAAUUUCAAUUCAUUUCAAUCUUUAGAAUUUUUUAUUUUAAAAAAAUAAAUUCCUUCAAACUAGUGAAAGGAAAAUAAAAGUGUGUUUACAGAAGAAAAAUCAUGGAAUGAAUUAAUGACCAUGCCAGUGAGGAAACACAGAAAUUUCUGAAUAAGAGCGAAACUAACCGUGCAAAUGAACAAAGAAAAUGUAAGUCUUCAAGUGCUACAACAAGCAAAACUACCUAAAAACAAGCAUUUUCUUCUUGAAUUAAAGACAAAUCAUGAACUUUGUGCAAUCUCAAAACAUUCAGACAAGCAUGAACUUAGUUAAUUCAUAUCAUAGUCAUUGUCUCUAUUAAAAAUCUUCCAACUGAAAAAAAUAAAAAAAUAAACAUGUUGGUUUCUAUAACAUAAUUUGCCUAUCUUUACAUGAAACAGAGCAAUAAAUAACAAGUAAUAAUUAUGAAAUACACAGCCAUUCAAUCUACAUAAUAUAGAAAUAUAGGAAAAAAAAGAAAAAAAUUCAAAUUACAAUUAAAUAAACAAAAAAUAGAUAUGGAAAAGAAAUCCCACCAAGACUGCACUACUGGGAGAAUUUCUCAACAUCUACAAAAACCCAGUAAAUUAAAAUUAACAAAAAACCCUAAUAAUCAUAAGCUAAAAUAAAACAAAUCUGUUAAUUAAUUUGACAAAGAAAAUAAAAUAUUAAGCAUUACCAGCAGUUAAAGCCUUAAUCAAGGCAACCUGUUUGCCCUUAAAGUCAUUGAAAAUCUCCUUCACAGGUCUACGUAUAAGGUGUGGUAUCCCUUCCAUAGCAAGAAAAUUAACUAAUUUCUCAAUAAUUUUAUUCAAAUUCAAGCAAAUGGGUUUUGAAUAUUAACAAAAAAAAGUGAAAUAUGACCAUAAAAAGAAAAAAAAUUUGAUGAAAGAAGCCUCGAUUACGGUUUUGGUCCGUUUUUCAAUUUGGGAAAAAAAAUGAAAAAGGGAAUAAAAGACUCACUUAGGGUUUUGGCUUUAUAUUAUCUAUUUGAGUUAAAUGAACGAGUUUGUGAAUGGACAAAAAAAAAAAAAAAAGGAAGAGAUCGAGAAGAGAAAAAGGAAAGAGAAGGAGAAAGGCAAGAGACAGUUUUGGGUUUGAGUUUGGGUUAGAGAUUUGUGUGUAUAAAAGACAGGGAGACGGGGACAAUUGCUAAGUUUGGGAUAUGUUUUACUUUUGUUUUACAUGUUGUAAAUUCUUAAUUUAGUACCUGCAGUGUCGAACCACUUGAACGGAAGUGAUAGUGGCAACGACAUGGGGGUUGGGCGCGGCCGUGGACGUGGGUGUUUGGGCCUGGUCAUUCUCCAUCUUUCACGAUAGAGAAGAAGUCAAGAAAGGCAAGGAAAUUACGCAGCAGCUGCGGCAUGGGCUCUAUUGCACAAUGGAAAAGGGGAAUUAGGGUUUGGUUUUUUAUAUGUUAAUAUUUUAUAUAACAUUGUAAUUUCAAUUCAAUAUUAUGGGGUCCAGUGGUUUGCAAUCUAAACGUAAAAGUUUUGAGUUUUAGAAGUCCCAGGUUCGAGUUAAAAUAAAAACAAAUUUUAAUAAUUUUUUUUAGAUCUCUGAUGCUGAAGUAUCAGUGAUUUCUAAUAUUUAAUUUACUGAUACAUUAGUAUUAAUAAUUUGUGACAUCUAUUUGUUAAAAGCGGAAAAUGGUGCAUAGUUUAGGUAAUUACUAACACUUUUUUUAAAGUGUCAGAAACAAAGUGUCAGUAAAUCCCAUUUUUCUAGUAGUGCGUUACACCAGUAAUUGUGGUUGCAAAAUGUUACAUCCAUCGAGUUGACGGGAGAUUAAAUACAUCUAAGCAAGAAUUAAUAAUUACGAAGCUGAUAAUACAAAUAUAAAUAUAAAAUAUGAUUGACAUGUUGACAGCAACGGCGAAUAUAUAUAAUAAUAACACCAAUCGUGUUGAUGGGAGAUUAUUUGUCAAAAUUAUUUUUAAUUCUUAUUUUUUAUUCCUGUGGCUUGAAAAGCGACUCUAUGUUGAUCAUUCAUUUAUUUUCUAAUUCGUAUUUUAUAGAUAUAGAUUUUUAUUUAAAGCUACCAUCAUUUCGCAUUGGAAAGUAAAGGGAGCAAAAUUAGUUUAUAAAGGUAGGUCUAUAAUAAUAAACGCAUAAGGAGGAAGCUCAAGCACGCGAGACCCAACACAACUGAGUAGCCUCAUCUAAGAAUCUUGUAAUUUGGUUGUCAUACAUUGAGGAGUUCAAAUACCAGGUAUUUAACUAUUUUUUUCAAUUAACCAUUGAUCACUCACCUCAAUUUUUACUCAGUAAUCUGCAUAGCUCACUAUAAGGUAAUGCUAGUUCAGAAAAUAUAUUAAAAUAGAAGUCCUGUACAUAUAAUAUUUCAAAUUGUUGCAAGUUUUAUAAAACACAUGUAGAUCAACCAUUGAACCAAUUAACACUCACAAAUUAAUUGCUUUACAUGUGAGCUGGAUUAAUUUGAACUACAGACCUCUUCUUCCAUAAGAGAUUAUUUUAUCCAUUUAACCAACCGUCAAACACCCACGAAAAUUAAUUGAGGAUGAAAUGAGAUAGCCUACAAGCUACGGCAACAAAUUGCCUAGAUAUUUACUGACCAAAUCGAAUUCUACGAGUAUUAAUUUCUAUUUUCCAUAUGGCAUUAAAUUAAACCAUAUUCACCAAAUUACAGAACAAACAUCACAAAAUAAAUCAUCUCCUACCUAAAUUGUUUCUCAACUGUCACUCUUUGCCUUAUAUAUUGAAAUUAAUUUCUCAAGAAACACCUCACAAAUUUUUUACCUGCAGAUUGACUUCAUCUCCUGGCACAGUAAUAAAGCUAUAAAUAGGUGAAUGAGCAUACUCGGAAGAAAGUAAGAAAUUAAGACAAAUUAGCCUGCAUGAGAGCAAGUAGUAUCUUAAGCUCAACCAUGGCCAAAUUUUGUAUUAGACGCACUCGAGGACCAAAUACAACCGGGAUGUCUUACAAUUCAAUUCUAAGUGCUAUGGUUGCCCGUGUAGGUGGAGUAUGGUGGAUCUCUAUGUUGAGAAUCAUGGCUGCUGUAAAGGAUAAGGCGAACUAGUUUUACAGUCAAAGUAGAACUCUACCAUUCAAGUAAGUGGAGAUUUUUUGAAUGAAAGUGACUUGAAUACCUCAAUCUUCAAUUGCAGCAAAAGUUGAAAAACAGUUGAAAAAAGAACUAACAAAUUUACACGCAUUUGACUUGAAGUUUUAAUUUCUUUGGAAGUUUGCAUGAGCAUCAAGUAAUGGCAUGAAUUUUAUAUAAAUGAAUGCAUGAAAGUUAAGAAUUCUUUUACGUGCAUGGACUUUCAUUGAUUUCGUAUUGGUACUUUUGUUGAACACGUGGCUAAUGUUGAAAUAAAAGGGAAAUUAAAACUUUUGUCCCUGAGGAAAGAUGAAAUAAAAGGGAAAUGUUGAAAUAAUUUUGUCUCUUAGCCUGUAAUUAAAGUAAAAAAUUUAUGCUACACCAUCACUAUUGAUUACAGAGGGUUCAAAAAUAUUAAAAUCAAGAGCAAAAUACUUCAAUGACUAGAGGUUCGAUUCUAAACUUCCGUUCUUAAUUUUUAUGGACAUAUUAUGUUAUACUUGCAUAAGAAAAUCAUACUUAAGUUUUCUUACAACUUUAAUUUCAGUUAUUGCUAGGACUAGCUCUAAAGUAUUAGGGACUUUAGGUGAAUUUUUUUUAUGAGGCCUGCUUAUAUUUAGUAGCUUUAAUACUCAAAACAUAAAAAAAUUUAAAAUUUAAUCAAUUAAAUUAUAUAUUAAAUAUCAACAAUCAAUAAGAUGGUAAGAAAUUUCAAAAAAGAAUAGUAAUUAAAAAAAUUAAUUCCCUCAUACUAUUAUUCAAGAAACUAUUUUUUUUCCUUCAAAAGUGAACAAAUAAAUGUAAUAGCUUUCAUUAACGAGAAGAGUGGAAGAAAUUUUUUAAUAUUAAAUAAGCAAGAUUUUUUUUAAACAAAUAAAGAAUUUUUUAAUAUUUUUCUUGAAAAACUAAUAAUGAAUUAAUAAUUAAUACUAUUAAUUAUAGCUCUUUAAUGUUAAGAUUAUCAAAUAUAAAAUUUGUGUAAAAAAUCUUAAUUGUAAAAUAAUUAUCAAUUAAAAGAUGCCUAAAAAUAGGCUUUUUUUUAUCAUAAAUAAGUUAAAAAAAUUUUUUGAUUAUAUUAAAGAAAUACAAAAAAAAAAUCUUCCAACAUAUAAGGACUUGGCGGUCACAAUGUGACCUUCUAACAUAUGAGAUCUCAAGCAAUUACCUAAUUCACCUAUAUUUAAAGCCACCCCUAAUUAUUGCUGCACGUUGAUGUCAGUCUAUUCAAUCCAUGUCAUCCGCUACGAAGGAUUAAUUGGGUAAUUAAAAAGCUUGAUAGAGUUGAGAAUUCAACGUGCAAACCCCAAUUGAAGCUUACGUUGGGGAAUCCCAACCUGAAAUGGCUCUGGUAUCAGUCCUGAUGAAGCAACUGCUGCAGCCUUUUAUGGGCAUAUCAGAAAUUUACAACCCUCCUCUGUCCAUCUUUCUCCUUCUUCUUAUCCUCUUGCUCACACUUGUGCAGUUGCUGAAAAUCACCAGACGUAGUAGUAACCAUCUCAACUUACCUCCAUCCCCACCAAAGCUCCCCAUUCUCGGCAACCUUCACCAGCUUCUGGGAACUCUCCCUCAUCGCUCUCUCAAAGCUCUUUCGGAGCGGUCCGGCCCUUUGAUGUUCGUUUACUUUGGCAAUUCUCCAACCUUUGUGGUUUCAUCGGCUGAGUUAGCUCGUGAGAUGUUCAAAACUCAUGACAUUGUGAUCUCGAACCGGCCCAAAACCACACCUGCUAACAUCCUCGUAUAUGAAUGCCAAGAUAUCACGUUCUCUAAUUACGGCGAGUACUGGAGACAAGUUCGGAAGAUUUGUAUUCUUCAACUCUUGAGUGUGAGAAGAGUGCAAUCAUUUCAGCAUGUUAGAGAUGAUGAAGUUUCAAGUUUGGUCACUAAAAUUCGCCUCUCAUGUCUUAAUAAAGGAGGUCCUCUUAAUUUAACAGAGAUGCUACUGACUGCUUCCAGCAAUAUAGUUUCCCUCUGCGUUCUUGGGAAGAAAGCUGAUGAAGAAGAAGAAAAUAUUGGAGACAGCAAUAAGCUGGGAGAGUUGUCAAGAAGGCUGGCAGAGCAGAUUGCUGCCUUUUGUAUAGGAGAUAUGUUUCCAUCUUUGGGAUGGUUAGAUGUUCUCUCGGGAUUCAUUGGUCGUCUCAACGCAACUGCUAGAGCAUUUGACGCGUUGCUUGAUCAGGUGAUUGAAGAGCACACGAACAAGGUAUCAAAAGGAAGUGGGGAUGAUGAUGACCAAUCUGAUAAAAAAGACUUUGUGGAUAUACUCCUCCAACUUCGAAAGGAUGGCAUGCUUGGGGCAGAGCUCUCUCAGGACAAUCUUAAAGCAAUUAUCCUUGUCUGUCCUUCCUCUCAACCAGCUAGUCUUAAUUAUUUUAAUUAUUAGCUCUCUCCUUUUCAAAAAAAAAAAAAAAAAAUUAUUAGCUCUCUCUAUAUUUUUACAUCUUUUACAUACAUCACGCACGCAAAAGCGCGCUCUUGCAUAUACAUAAACAUACAUCAAUACUAAAGGUUUUUCAUUUUUCACAUUCUCAGGACAUGCUUGUAGCAGGAACUGAUACUACUGCAACAACACUAGAGUGGGCAAUGGCAGAGCUAGUGAAAAAUCCAACUAGUAUGAACAGAGUUCGAGAAGAGGUUAGAAGUGUGGCAAAAGGGAAAUUAAAUAUAGACAUGAAGGAAAUUGAGAAGAUGGACUAUUUGAAAUGUGUUGUCAAAGAAACUCUAAGGUUACAUCCACCAGUUCCUCUCUUGGUUCCGCGAGAAAUGGCAGAGAGUAUCAAAUGGAGAGGUUAUGAUAUUCCUGCAAAAACUAGAGUGAUUGUAAAUGCAUGGGCAAUUCAAAUAGAUCCCCAAGUUUGGGACAGGCCAGAAGAUUUCUUGCCAGACAGGUUUUUCGCUAACCCGGUGGAUCGUAAAGGCCGAGAUUUCCAAUUUAUCCCCUUUGGUGCUGGAAGAAGAGGAUGCCCAGGGAUAUCAUUUGCGUUAGCUACAGUUGAGUAUGUGAUGGCCAACCUUUUGUACUGGUUUGAUUGGAAUUUGCCUCUUGGUGAAGUUGAGGAGAAUUUGGACAUGUCCGAAGUUAAUGGGCUAGUGGUUCAUAAGAAAUUACCUCUUCAUCUUGUGCCAACGCUCUACUCCCCUUGCUCUUAAUCUUGAUAUGUCUAGAAAAAUAUCCAUUGUACUUAUAUUCUAAUCAUGAUUAUCCUCUUUUAAUUCCCUCUUGUGAAAAAUUGUACCAGUGUUGUCUAUUUUCUUCUAUGUUCAUGGACACCUUGAGGAGCAAGUUAUUACCAAUAAAAUUUUAUCAUCUGUCCAUAUCAUAUUGGUCCUCUGCUUGAUCUUUUCCAUAAAUUCCAUCAAUCGGUUUAGAUUUAGAGAAAUACAAAAAGUUAACAAUUACCAAUGGUGCUAGUAGUCGUGGUUGCAAAAUAUUAUAUCCAUCGAGUUGAUAGGAGAUUAAUUACAACUAAUCAAGAACAAAUAAUUAUGAAGCUGAAAAAAAUAUACAACUAUGAUUGACAUGUUGACAGCAACGGCGAAUAUAUAUAAUAGUAACACCAAUCGUGUUGAUGGGAGACUAUUUGUGAAAAUUGUUUUUGGAGACUAUUUGUGAAAAUUGUUUUUUCAUUCAUAUUUUAUAUUCUUGUGGCUUGAAAGCAACUCUGAAAGCAACUCUAUGUCGAUCAUUUAUUUAUUUUCUAGUUCUUAUUUUAUGUAUACAGGUUGUUGAUAGGAGAUUAAUUGCAACUAAUCAAGAACAAAUAAUUAUGAAGCUGAAAAAAUAUACAACUAUGAUUGACAUGUUGACAGCAACGGCGAAUAUAUAUAAUAGUAACACCAAUCGUGUUGAUGGGAGACUAUUUGUGAAAACUGCUUUUUCAUUCAUAUUUUAUAUUCUUGUGGAUUGAAAGCGACUCUAUGUCGAUCAUUUAUUUAUUUUCUAGUUCUUAUUUUACGUAUACAAGUUGUUGAUAGGAGAUUAAUUACAACUAAUCAAGAACCAAUAAUUAUGAAGCUGAAAAAAUAUACAACUAUGAUUGACAUGUUGAUAGCAACGGUGAAUAUAUAUAAUAGUAACAAGUAACACCAAUCGUGUUGAUGGGAGACUAUUUGUGAAAAUUGUUUUUUCAUUCAUAUUUUAUAUUCUUGUGGCUUGAAAGCGACUCUAUGUCGAUCAUUUAUUUAUUUUCUAGUUCUUAUUUUAUGUAUACAGGUUGUUAUUUCAAAAUUCCACAAUUUUGCAUUGGAAAGGAAAGAUAGCAAAAUGUAGUUUAUAGAGUAACACGUAUGUCUACAACAAUAAACCCAUAAGGACGAAGCUCAAGCAUGCAAGACCAAACCCAAAUGAGUAGCCUCAUCUAUAACCUUGUAAUUGGGUUAUCUUACAUAGAUGACUCCAAGAACCAGGUAUUUAACUGUUUUUGUUUUUGUUUUUGUUUUUUUUUCCCAAUUAACUGCCGAUCACUCACCUGAAUUUUUACUCAAUAAUCUGCAUAACUCACAUAAGGUGAUGUUUGUCUAGAAAAUAUUUUAAAAUAGAAGUCCUGUAAGUAGAAUAUUUCAAAAUUUGCAAGUUUCCAAAAACACAAGUACAUCAACAUAUUAUUCUAUCAUAAGAGUUUUUCUGCACCCUUUGAACCAAUUAACCCUAAAAAAUUAAUUGCUUUACAAGUGAGCUAGAUUAAUUUGAACUUCAUACCUCUUCUUCCAUAAGAGAUUCUAUCAGUUGAACCACCAAUCCCACACCCACACAAAUUAAUUGAAGACAGGCUACAGCAACAAAUUACCUAGAUAUUUACUGAACAAAUGGAAUUCUACAAAGUGUUAAUUUCUACUGCACAAAUGGCAUUAAAUUAAACCAUAUACACCAAAUUAGAGAACAAAAUUCACAAAAAUAAAUCAUCUCCUGUCCAAACUGUUUCCCAAAUGUCACUCUUUGCCUUACAUGUUGAAAUUAAUUUCUCAAGAAACACCUGACAAAUUUCUUACCUGUAGAUUGACUCCAUGUAGUGGCACAAUAAUGAAGCUAUAAAUAGGUGAGUGAACAUACUCUAGAGAAAAUGAGAAAUUAAUGUUGUGGUUACAAAUUGAUAAUCAGAAUGGACUGCAAUCAGAAUGGGCUGCAAUCAGAAUGAUAAUUGAAAUAAAAAAGGAGAAUGGAAAUCAUAAUAAAUUGCUAUAAGUUAUUAAAAUGACCUUAAUUUAUUAUUGUUGCCGUCAUUAUUGUCAUCAUCAUUAUUGCUAAUAUUAAUUAAUUAAUUAUUAUUAUUAAUAAUAAUAUCGUCGUCGUCAUUAUCAUUAUUAUCGUCAUUAAUUCUAUUAUCAUUAAUUAAUAAUAAUAUUAUUAUUUUUAAAAUUAUUACUAUUAAUUAUUCGAUUUAUUACCAUUAGUCAAUAGUACUCGUAUUAUUAUUAUUAUUAUUAUUAACAAAAAUUACAAAAAUUAGAAAAAUAACAGUAAUAAUAAUGUAACAUAAUAAAAUUAAUUGAGGAUAAAAGUAGAAUUAUGAAAUUGGAAUGAGGGUAAAAUGGGGAGGAGCUCAAGGGAUGGGAACUUGAUUCCCACCCUGCUCUCCCCACAUGGGAAUAAAGUUCCCAUUCCUUAAUCCAAAAAACAUUUGGGCCUCACAUAUUUCGUUCUUAUUUCCACUUCUAUUUCAGUAAGUAAAUAUUAUCAAUCAUUUCCAUUCCAAAUUCUAAUUCCCUAAUCCAAGAAAGUAAAUGCGCCAUAAGCGAAAUUAGACAGCAGGAGAGCAAGUGGUAUCUUAAGCUCAAUCAUGGCCAAAUUUUGUCCCAGACAUGCUCGAGGACCAAAUCCAACUAGCAUGUCUUAUAGUUUAAUUUUAAAUGGUAUGAGUACCCAAGUAGGUGGACUAUAGUCAUUCUCUAUGUUGAGAACCAUGGCUGCUGUAAAGGAUAAGGCAAACUGAUUAAUUGUCAAGGUGGAGUUACUACUAUUCAAAUCAAAGUGGAGACUUUUUGAAUAAAAGUUACAUGAAUAGUUUAAUAUUCAUUUGUAGUAAAAGUUGAGAAAAGGAACUAACAAAUUUGCAUGCAUUCCUUGGAAGUUUUAGUUUAUUUUGAAGUUUGCAUGGGCAUUAGAUAUUGGCAUGAAUUUUUUUUACUUUUGUAGCAUGCAAAUAAACGCAUGAAUGCCAAGAACUCUUUACAUGCAUUAACUUUCAUGCAUUCAUUCACAUACCAUAAAAGUAAAAAAAUUCAUGCUAACAUUUAGUGCCCAUGCAAACUUCCAAAGAAACUAAAACUUUCAGUAGAAUGCAUGCAAAUUUGUUAGUUCCUUUCAACUUUUUUUAACAUUUACUGCAAAUGAAUAUUAAAUUAUUCAAGUCACUUUUAUUCAUCAGCACGUACAAAUGUGGGUGCUUGCAAGCAACUGUUAUUCCUAAUUUGUCAACAGUAGCUACCAACAAUUUUCUAAUUUCCUUAAGCAUUAAAAAUAAUAUUAACAGGAAUAUCCACUAAAAAAUGCAAAAUCAGAUUGGAAGCUUACCAAGAUGACCCUACUUUGCUGCCGCAUGAAAUGAAUCAUAUCCAUUCCUGGCUGCAAUAGAGGCAGUUUCAAGGUUCAUAUGUUGAAGCAUCUCUUCAACCAUCUACCACUCUCUGCAGCCACAUAAAGGGGAGUCUGGCCUUCUUGAUUUUGUUUCGACAACAACUCCUUAGCUUCACUAGAAUCACAACCCUGCAAAAUCUCUGUAACUUUACUUAAAUUCCCAGUUCGAGCUGGCAAGUGUAGCUGCAAGUGACUUCUUUUUCCUGGCAAAACCUUAUUCUUCUUCCUCUGACCACCACCUAUAAAACUCAGCUGUCUCUCCGUCACUAUGCGAAAACUCUUGUUUUUCCAUCACAAGUACUCAGCUGUUUAUCAAUAGUCACACCAUGAAAACUCUGCUGUUUCUCUAUCACUCCACGAGCACUAGGCAGUUUAUUAGUGCGCACACCAUGAAAACACUGCUGUUCUUCCAUAACCCUUUGAAUACUAGGCUGUUUUUCAAAGGCGACACUGAAAAUACUUUGCUGUUUCUCCAUUGUCCAUGUCCUAAAACUGCUUUGUUUUCCAUUAUCAUGGACAGAACUAGACUUAAUACCCAAAACUAGCUACAAAUAUCACUGACACUCAGCAUCCAAAUCCUCGAUGUACAAAAAAUUGAAACAUCAAACCUUGAAUUUCAAAAACCCAGAAAUCAUUUCUUUUCCUCCACAAUCAUCCACAAAGCUUCACACAGAUUGAUAUCAAAAUCAAAUAAUUAACUUUCUUGCAAUCACAACUACGAUUCCCUGUACAAUUUCAAGUCUCUAAUUCAAGAACCAAAUUUUACGCAUUUGAGCAAACAUACCAAAAACCUACUCAUAUAGCAAUAUAUAUCAACAACGACCCAGGCUCAAAAAAAAAAAUAUAUAUAGAACCUUGGAAUUGGAUAACUUGCUUUUUGAGUUAAAACUCAAGUCUUUGUGGUUACCGAGAAAAACAAAAUUGAAAAUAAACGAACCCAAAUCAGCAAUUCACUAAAUUGAAGAACCCAGAAACAGAUUUUUAAUUUUCAAAAGAUCAUAACCUCAAUCAAACCCUCAGUUCUUUUGACCGCUGGGGCGUACCUUAGAGUGAAGACAACUGACAUAUAACAAGCACUCCACAAUUUAAACCGCUACCAGACUACCAGUUGCUUGUGACGUUAUUUUAUUUUAUAAUUUUCAACAAUUAAGAUGCUUUAUCUUUUUAAUUUUAUUUAAUUUUAUAUUCAUUUUUGGGCCACUAAGCAAGUUGCAUUAGCUGAAACUUGCUGAAAAUAAAACAGAUCCUGUCUUUUAUUAUUUUAUUUAUUUUGUAGGUAAAUUUUAUUCCUCAAGGUAUAUUAGAGAAAAGGGUUUGGCUAGAAUGCCAUGCCGGGCUCUCAAAAAGAGAGCCCGGCUGUCUUUGGCUGUCAUUUGGCAACCAAAGACUUGGUGCAGCCGGUUAACAAACCGAUUGCACCUUUUUUUUUUUUAAAAAAAUAAUAAUAUAAAAAUGAAAAAAAUUAAAUAAAAUGUAAAAAAAUAUUUUUUUAUAAUAUAAUUAAUAGAAAAAGAUAAAGAAAUUGAAUAAUAUAAUACAAUAUAAUAUAAUAUAAUUAAAUAAAGCAAUUUAAAAUGAAAAAAAUAGUAUUUCAUGUUUAGCGUCCGUUGUUUCAUGUCCGACGGUAGGAUUUCAUGUUUGACGUCAGAUGUUGCAUGUUUUGGAUAAAGCCAAAAUAAAGAAUAUUCUCGAAUAUUCUCGUCCGUUUCAUGUUUUACGUCCAUGUUGCGAACUUUACGUGAUAAGUUGUAUAUUUCACGUGAAGUGUUGCAAGUUUCAUGUUUAACGUCAGUUGUUGUAUGCCCAACGGUAGGAUUUCAUGUUUGACGUCAUAUGUUGCAUGUUUUGGAUAAAGCCAAAAUAAAGAAUAUUCUCGAAUAUUCGUGCCCGUUUCAUGUUUGACGUCCAUGUUACGAACUUUACGUGAUAAGUUGUAUAUUUCACAUGAAGUGUUGCAAGUUUCAUGUUUUACGUCAGUUGUUGUAUGUCCGACGGUAGGAUUUCAUGUUUGACGUCAUAUGUUGCAUGUUUUAGAUAAAGCCAAAAUAAAGAAUAUUCUCCAAUAUUCUCGCUCGUUCCAUGUUUGACGUUCAUGUUGCGAACUUUAUGUGAUAAGUUGUAUAUUUCACGUGAGGUGUUGCAAGUUUCAUGUUUAACGUUAGUUGUUGCAUGUCCGACGGUAGGAUUUCAUGUUUGACGUACGAUGUUGCAUGUUUUGGAAAAAGCCAAAAUAAAGAAUAUUCUCGAAUAUUCUCACUCGUUUCAUGUUUGACGUCGAAGUAGUGAACUUUACGUGAUAAGUUGUAUAUUUCGCGUGAAGUGUUGCAAGUUUCAUGUUUAAUGUCAGUUAUUGCAUGUCGGACAUAACGGCUGCAUGUUUGACGUUAGAUGUUGCAUGUCUUGAAUAAAGUCAAAAUAAAGAAUAUUCCCGAAUAUUCUUGCUCGUUUCAUGUUUUACGUCAGUUGUUAUAUGUCGGACGUCACAGUUGCAUGUUUGAUUUUAGAUGUUGCAUGUCUUGAAUAAAGCCAAAAUAAAAAAUAUUCUUGAAUAUUCUCGUCCGUUUCAUAUUUGACGUGGAAGUUGCGAACUUUACGAGAUAAGUUCCAUAUUUCACGUGAAGUGUUGUAAGUUUCAUGUUUAACGUCAGUUGUUGCAUGUCAAACGUAACAGCUUUAUGUUUGACGUUAGAUGUUGAAUAAAGGUAAAAUAAAGAAUAUUCCUCAAUAUUCUCGCCCGUUUCAUGUUUGACGUCGAAAUUGCAUACUUUACGUAAUAAGUUGCUUAUUUGACGUGAACUGUUGCAAGUUUUAUGUUUUAUGUCAGUUAUUGCAUGUCGGACAUCACGGUUUCAUGUUUGACGUUGGAUGUUGCAUGUCCUGAAUAAAGCCAAAAUAAAAAAUAUUCUCGUAUAUUUUUCAGAGUAAUUCUAGAAAUAACGGUUAGCCGUUAUCAGAUAACGGUUGACCGUUAUCUUCCAGAAUCAAAUUAGCAGUUACACUAAUUUCUAGAAGAUAAUGGUGAACCGUCAUCAAAUAACGGCUCACCGUUAUUGUCUAGAAUCAUUUUCGACAAUAACGGUGAAUCGAUUUUGGAUAACGGCUAACCGUUAUCUUCCAGAAUCAUUCCGGAGGGAUAUGGAUGUGAAUUAUGUUCACCCAUACUUUGGUCUUGGAUGGUUGAUAUGAAUGUGAAUAUUUGAUAAUCCAUAUAUUAUGUGAUCAAUUUAUUGUUAAUAUGGAUAUGAAAUAUUUUAUCUCAUAUUUGAUGUUAUUAAUUUAUUAAUUGUAAUAUGGAUGGGAAUAGGGAUGGCAAUUAUACCCGCAAACCCAUAAACCCGCCCAAACCCACCCGCCAAAACCCGCCCGCUGCGGGUAAUUUUAUCCGUUGCUGGCGGGUUUAGUAUUAUAAAUUAAAACCCGUACAUGGAUGCGGGUGGGUUUGGUAUUAGCCUUAUAUCUAGUGGAUACCCGCAUGGAUAUCCACCAAACCCACAAUAUUUUUUCCAAAUAUUUUUAAUUUAAUUUUAAUCUAAAAAUGUAUAAAGAAAAUAAUGUCAUUAUUCAAAUUACCAAAUAGCCAAAGGUUCAAAGUUGUGUAUGUGUGUAUGUGGCCCAUCUCCCAUUCUAAAGUCAUAAACUAAAUAAAACUAAAGGCAUUUCCCUUCGAAUUAGUAUUUAAAAAUAUUAAUCUUAAUUAUUAUUAUAGGCAUUGUGUUGGAUGGGUGCUUAUGGUGGUGAAUGAAAUGAAUAUCUUCUCUCAGAGCUUGUUUUAAAUGAUAAUAUGAAAUGUAAUUAUUAUUUUUAGAUACUAGUUUGUAUUUUUUAAAUAGAUUUGUGUAAUUUAUACUUAACUUUGAGAAUUUGUGUUGGAUUGAUAUUGAAAUUUUAAUUUUUCAUUUACAUUGUUUAAAUACAAAAUUGAGUAUGUUAUAUGGAAUUUGAGGUUAUUAUUAUAAAUUUAUAUAUUAAACAUUUGUGAUUUUAAAUACGGAAACCCGCAAAAAAUCCGCCGGGUACCAUUGCGGGUUUGGUAAUUGUUAAAACCCGCUGCGGGUGGGUUUUUUAAAAAAAAUUAAAACCCGCUGCGGGUUGCGGGUGGGUUUGGUAAUUUAAAUUUUGUGCGGGUUUGGGUUUGGUAAUGGCAAACCCGCUGCGGACGGUGCCCAUUGCCAUCCCUAGAUGGGAAUUAUAUUAACCCAAAGGCUAAAUAUGAGUAUUCCAUAGAAUAAUAGCAAGUUACAUUUUCUAUCAAGCAUUUGACAAAUAUGUAAUUUUCUAUCAAGCUGAUUAAUAUAAAAAAAUAUCAAACACUUCUAUUCGUAACUAAAUACAAAAUAAUAGUGCAUUUCAAAAUUCCUUGACAAUUCAAAUGAUAAUUUAUAAUUAAACUUAUUUUUAAUAUUUUUUAAUUAUUAAUUAAGUUUAAUUAAGCCAAUCUAUUAAGUUUUAAUUUUUUUUAUUAUUAACUAAGUUUAAUUAAGCCAAUCUAUUAAGAAACAAAUAUGGAAAUGUUGCCUUAGCGUUAAAAUUAUUUGGUAAUUCAAGUGAUUAUUGUUUGAUACUCCAAGUAAUAAUUUAUCAAUUUAACUAUUAUUUGAACCAUUUAUUUUGUAAUUUGUUUAAUUUUUCAAGCAAAAACUAACUAUGAUGACAAUUUUAUAUUACCAAACAACAAAAAUGUUAAGUUCCAUUGGUAAUUUUUAAAUUUUUUAUUCUGCAUAAAGGGUCAAAUUCAUUGUUGCAAUUUUCUAAGGAAAGAAUCUUUUAUAAUUGAAUUAAGCUCAUAAAAGGAAUGCGUAUUGAUAAAAACUAUAGAUUAUAUAACUAAAUUGCAAAAAUUAAAUUGGGCAAGACAAGUAUGUUUAAUAGUACAAGGAAGCAAUCAAAACUAGCAACACAUAUAUGGCAUGUGCAUUAGUUUAGCAUUAUUAAUAUCUAAAUUGAUAGCAAAUACCCAAAAUAAGAUCACAUUUUCUUUGGCUAUUCUUCUAGUAUUGCAGAAAAUUUGUAGAAGAUCAUGAAAAAAGCGGCGGGGGGGGGGGGGGGGGGGGGGGGGGGGGGGGGGGGGGGGGGGGGGGGGGGUGGGGGGAAGGGAAUAGCUUUUUCCAAACUAUAAAAUAGAUACCCUAAAAUAAGUGCUUAUUUUGACAUAAUCAAGCAAUAAAUUGUAAAAACGUACAAAUAUAUCAUAGCUGGAAUUAAAGAAGCCAUAACAAGAAUAUUCCCCGCAGAUAACUCAUCUAGGGAAGAGAUUGUUUAUGAUAUAAAAUUUUAGUGGGUAGCAAUCAGAUUAAUAAGCAUAAGCAUUGACAAAAGCAUCAAGUUGCAAUAAAAACCUAAUGACUAACUAGAGUAGAUUCAUCUAACACACUAAAAUGCCUAUAAAAUUGUUGAAAUCCAUCAUUCACAUGCGGAGUUGCAGGAAGCUUUAGCAUGUCAUGUUGGCUAUUGAGCUUGGCAACAUCAAUGUGAGUCUUGCGAUUCAUGUUCUGCAGAGUUCUAUGGUAACAGAAGAUAAUAUAGUAGAAAGAAUUAAUCAUAUAGCAUUUUGUAAAAUAGAGACAAGAGUUAAAACAGUAUUGGGUGUUGGCUUACACAGUAGCACCGUUCUUCAACAGAGGGGCUACACAUUCCUUCUAGUCAUAAUUAGCUACAUAAUGUAAGGUAGUACUUGUUCUUAUCCACAGCUAACUAUGGCCAAUGGGCCGUGCCGUGCCGGCACGGCCCACCAACUGUCGGCCCAUAAGGGCUCGUGGGCCGGCACGGCACGGCCCACCAAUUUGGUGGGCCGUGCCGUGCCGUGCCUACCUUUUUUCAGUUGAGCCCAGCACGGCCCACGGCACGAGCCCGCUCGUGCCGUGCUCGUGCCGUGCCCAAAAAAAGCCCACCAACUUUUUUUUUUUUUUUAGCGUGCUUAAAAAAGCCCACGUGCUUUCUUUAAGCCCACGUGCCUAACGUGCUUUAUUCAAGCCCACGUGCCUGACGUACUUUUUUAAGCCCACCAACAUAAUAAUAAUAAUAAUAAUAAUAAUAAUAAUAAUAAUAAUAAUAAUAAUAAUAAUAAUAAUAAUAAUAUUCACAAUCAUAUUAAUUUUUAUUAAGAGAGUAAUUAACAUUUUAUUAUUAGUUUAUCACAAUUUCACAACUAUAUAUUUUAUUUCACAAUAAUCAAUCAUAAUUCAUAACACAACAAUACAUAAAUUUAAUUUAAUUUAAUUCCAUAGAUCAUAAUAAUAAUUAAUUAAAAUUAAAAAUACAAUCCUCGAAUAAUCAUUACAAUAAGUCAUAACUACGAAAUAUUAAUAUAACAAAUCAUAGGUCAUAACUUACAAGUUACAACUACAAAACACGAACUACGAUCAAUUGACGAAUAACAAGCACGAAAAAAACAUUUAUUAAUCACAAUUCACAACUAUGGAUACGGGAAACGAGCAAGGUUAAUUCUAUCUCGGCUGGUGGCGAGCUAAACAAUUUGACACGUGCCGACGUAAACCCAAGGUGCCAUGGCUGUUUGAAUAAAUAACUUCUCGAUGACAAUAGUUGCACCUCAAGAUCAUCCGCUUAUAAGGACGAUGCAAACCAUUAUCUAUUAUUUCCUCCCUUAUUGUAGUAAAAUUUUGAAAAAGCUCAUUUAGAAAACGACCUCUGGGCUGAUUUAGCCUAGCAUUUUGUUGAGGUCCAACUACAUCAACAUCGUAUUCUUGAGGGUGUUGAGGUUCUUCUGCAUUCAUAUUAUGUUGCUGCGGAUUCUUAAUGAUUUUGGCUUUUAGAAUAUUGGAAAGUUUGAGGAAAAAGAAGAAGAAGAAGAAUUGUGAAGCAUCAUAGCAUAAUGGCGUGUAUAUAUAAUAUUAGAUAGUAAUAAAAAGACAAAAAUUAAUUUUAUUUACUUUGUUGGUGGGAGUAAAAAGAGUAAGUAAAAAAAUAUUUAAUGAAAUAUAAAUAUAGCCGUAAGGCAAGUGCUUGCUUGGCAUGUGGGAAAAAAAUCUUAAAUUAUUUAAAAAUCUGCAAUCUGAACGUCUGCAUGUGCACUAUAUGACAAGUUGACAAAUGACAACUACCGUGUUAAAAAUUUGAGUUGAGAAUUUAAAUUCAAAAAAAUUAAGUACUCUACAUAAUGAAUGCAGGCUCCUCCCGUGGACCCGUACUACUAGUCUACUAGUUUACUAUUAUAAUAUUCUCUUAUAACAAUGAACCAUAAUUUUUUUUUAAUUUAAUAUGUUGUUUUGAAAAAAAAUUAAUUACAAAAAUUAUUUUAAAAAAUAAAUAACAACGGUGCACUUAAAAAAUAAAAUUUUCUAAUUAUUAAAUAAUAAAAAAUUGUAAAUGAAUUUUAUUACUCACCCAACGGAUAAAAUUUUUUUUGAAUUAAUUGAAUUUAAAAAAAUUCUGAAUUAAUUAAAUUACUCACCCAACGGACAAAUUUUUUUUUGAAUUAACAGUAAAAUUGAUAUGACUACUCAAUUUUACAGUAUAAGCAGUCGGGCUCUGAUUAUCAAUUAAUAUUUUUUUAUUUUUAAUGACAAAAAAUUUUUAAAUUAAUUUCAUAUUUUCAUUACUCACCCAACGGACAAAAAAAAACUGAAUUAAAAAAAUUCUGCAUUAAUUGAAUUAACAAUAAAGUUGAUAUACCUUUCCAAAAAAUAAAAAAGCAAUAAAGUUGAUGGACUUGACUAGUCAAUUUCACUUUCACAGCAUGGGCAUUCAUGACUCAACAAUUAGACUUGACUGGCUUACAGAAUUUGUAAGCUACAGACUGCAACAUCAGCCGUUGGAUGUGGAGUGAGAAGCUAAACAAUAGACAAUCGAAUGGUGGGAAUGGGAUGACAGGAGAUGUUUGUUACAGUCUUGCAGAAUCGGUACCAUAGAGUCAUACAGAUCCCUCAACAAUUAAUUUUUAAUGAUAAAAAUUUUUAAAUUAAAUCAAUUACUCACCUUACAAUUCCAAGUUUCCAACGGACAAAUGAAUGAUAAAAUUUGCUGCAGCCUUGCAGAGUUGCAGGAAGUUUUACAGUUGUAGAUUUGUAGGUUUGCAGAGUGUUUGCCCGUUUUUUACCGUUAAAAUGUUUACUUUUUUAUUUGCCCGUUUCUAGCCGUUAAUAUGUUUACUUUUUUAUUCUAUUUAAACGAUUAAAUUCUUUUCGAAUUCAUCUCACAUUCUCACAUUCUCACUUCUCAAUUUCUAAUUUUCUAUCUCCUCGUUAUCUCUCUUAUCUCAUCAGUCAUCUCAUCUCUAGUCUCUGCUUGACCAAUCUUAUUUGCUACAAUUCCAGCGCCUUUAUUUACCAAAACACUAAUUAUAUAAAAUGUCUCACUCUCAUUUCGAGUUAGAUGAGAAUUUUAAUUUUGUUGAAGAGGGGGAGGAAGUUGCAAAUGAAGAAAUUGCUGCACCAGAAUUUGAUCCAAGUAAUAUAUUUAUUGUCCCACCUGAACGAUCGCCUCCUACUUCUCAAGCAAGUCAAAGUGGUUCUACUUCUUCAACUGCCGGUCCUACUACUACCUCCAAACGACAAAGAACAUCGAUUGUUUGGUCAUGUUUUACUUUGGAAAAACGUCAAAACAAAAAAGGUGAAAUGGUGGAUCAAGCAGUGUGCAAAUAUUGUCAAUCUGCUUUAAGUGCCAAAAGCAAUGGUGGAACUGGACAUCUUAGACGACAUAUGGAAACUUGUCAGACAAAACACGCGCCACAAGACCCAACACAAACCCAACUCUCACAAUAUGGUUCUGGACCUUCCGGUAUAACAUCAUUCAGAUAUUCACAACAGAACAUGCGAGAAGGAUUGGCUCGGUAUAUUGCUGCAGCAGAACAACCUUUAACAUUUUCAGAAGAUGAACGUCUAAUAAAUUUUUUGCAAAGGUAUGUUCAACCUCAACUUAAGAAAGUGCCUAGAAAUACAUUAAAACGUGAUUUAACUAAAAUUUUUCAUGACAUGAAAAAAAUUUUAAUUAAUACUUUUAUCAAUUUUAAUGGUGUUAUUUCAAUUUCUUCUGAUUGUUGGACUGGUAUUAAUAUGGUUGGUUAUUUUUGUGUGACUUCGCACUCUAUACAUGAGAUUAAUGGUAAAUGGAGGUUGGAAAAAAAAUUGCUUGCAUUUCGUGAAUUAGAAUAUCCUCACACUGGUUCAGUAAUUUAUGCAGCUAUAAUGUCUGUUUUAAGAGAAUAUGAAAUUACUGAUAAAUUGUUUAGCAUAUCAUUUGAUAAUGCAUCUGCCAAUACAGCGGCAAUUGAUAUGUUUUUGCGGAAUAUUUCUACUCUCAUGCCUGCACGUGGUUCAAAAAUUUUUCAUGUGAGAUGUGUGUGUCAUAUUAUUAAUUUAAUUGUUCAAGCUGGUAUGACUCAUAUAAAUCAUUAUUUAGAAAAAAUUAGAGCAUCAAUUUUAUAUAUUAGAGCACCUUCAAGACGUCAACAAUUUUUGGAGACAUUGAAAAUUUUUGGAUUGAAAAGGAGAAAAUUCAACCUUGACAUGAAAGUUCGUUGGAAUUCUACGUAUUUAAUGUUGCUUUCUUGUCAAAACUAUUCUGAAGCAAUUUCUAGUUUUUACAAUGAGAGAAUGAAUGAUGAAGAUUAUCAUAUCACUGAUUAUGAUUGGAAUGUUGCAUUUAAAUUUAUGGAUUUUUUAAAGGUAUUUUAUGAUGCUACUCUUGCAUGUUCUACUGUUUAUGAGCCUACUUCAUGUAGAGUGUUAAUGCAUUUGUACAAUAUAAGUUAUACUUUUAAGACUUUUAGAGAGAAUAUUAUGUUUAAAAAUAUUUGUGAUACCAUGGAGGAAAAAUUCCAAAAAUAUUGGAAAGAUAUUCCCCACCUAUUUAUUUUUGCAGCAGUGUUGGAUCCUACAAUCAAGGAAGUUGGUGCAAAACUUUUAGUUGAGGGUAUUAGUGAAAAUUUACAAACCGGACUUGAUACAAAUUUUGAUACAAUUAUGUCCUCUAUGCAUGAACUUUUUAAUUUUUAUCGAAAUAAAUUCGGAUCAAGCAAUACAUAUUCUAAUGUUCAACAAGCAUCGACUUCUUAUAAAAAUCCAGCUCACCUUUUGUUACUCAAAGGUAAGGGUGUUGCCUCUAGUAUUGAUACUAAUCGUAAUGAAUUGCAAAGAUAUUGUUCUGCCAAUCUUGAAGAUUUAGCAACUCCUUCACAAUUGCAAAAUUUUGAUAUUUUAGAUUUUUGGAUGGGUAAGACAUCUUUUUUCCCUAUAUUAUCCAUUAUGGCCCGUGAUCUACUAACCCCUCCAGCUUCAACUGUAGCAUCAGAAUCAGCUUUUAGUACAGGUGGCAGAGUUCUAGAUGAACAUGGGUCAAGAUUGUCAUCAGAGACAUUAGACUCUUUGUUGUGUUUGAAAGAUUGGGAAGAUGCUGAACGCCGAGUGCAACAAGAUUGGCAAAAUGCUUUAAUUAAACAAAUUGAGAGUUUGAAUGUUGAUCAAGAUGAAGUGGAUCCAGAUUAUGCAGAGUACUGAACAUUGAAGCCACUUCCAAAGACUAGAGAUUUUUUUUUUCUUGUAACUUUUUGAAACAAUUUUUAUUAGUGAGAAGGUUGUAAAUUUGCAAAUGAUAGAUGGUUCAGUAGGUGCCAACCUAGUUGGGAUGUACUGUUAACUGUAGUGAUGCAAAUUACACCUAAUUUUAUUUGAAUUACUAAUAUUAUAAUUGUACUUUAACUUCAUUUAAUGAAAAUGUAAUUUUUAAUUUAUCAUAAUUUUUCUUGUGUAUAAAAUGGAAAAUAUUUCAUUCACAAAUUAAACGCAUCUCUAUUAAAUAUUAACUAAGUUAUGAUUUAAUAUUAAUAUGAAAAAUAUUUUAUUAUUAAUUUUGAAAAAAAAAAUUAUUUUUUAUUUAUAAUUUAUAAAUUUAUGAUAUUUAUAAUCUUAUUUAUUAAAAUCAUUAUAUUUAGUUAUUUACUUAUUCAUUUAAUAAAUUAUAAACAUAAAUAAAUAAUUAAAUAAAUAUCAUAAAUAAAAUUAAAUAUCAUAAAUAACAUUAUUCAUUUAAUAAAUAUCAUAAAUAAAAUUAUGAUAUUUAUAAUUUUAUUUAUUAAAAUCAUGAUAUUUACUUAUUCAUUUAAUAAAUUAUAAACAUAAAAGAUUAGAAUAUUUAUUUAAACUAAGAUUUAAUGAUUUAAAUUAAUUUUUAAAAGUCUAUGCUAAAAAAUAUAUUAAAACAUUUAAUUUCAAGAUAUUGUACUUUAAUUUCAUAACAUUUUAUAUUUACUUUUUGUUAAAAAAAUUUACUUAGAUAUAUUUUGGCCCACGUGCUAUUAAUGGGUCACGGGCCGCGUGCUAGCCCACUAAUGAACCGUGCUUAUUACGUGCUUUUUUGCGUGCCGUGCUUUGGCCCAUCUCUAAUCGUGCCGUGCUUUAAGGCCCGCGUGCCUAAAAUUCUAGGCCCGGCACGGCCCACCUGCGUGCCGUGCCGUGCCUCGUGCCUCACCGAAACGUGCUCGUGCCGUGCCGUGCCGUACGGACACGUGCCGUGCCCGUGCCGUGCCACGUGCCGCCCGGCCCAUUGGCCAUCUUUAUCCACAGCAUCCACAUUUGCUCCAGCCUUAAGUAGGAGUUGAGCACAUUCCACCUAAAGCAUUCAAGUGCAUUUGAUUAACUCCAUGUCAUAAACUCGGCCAAUUUGCCAAGGAAGUUUUCAUUAAAAAACUAACUAGAAAGUGGUCCUAAUUAUCCCUAGGAGAUGAACAAUUGAUGCCAUAAACCACAGAAGUUAGCUCAAACUGUCACUAGAAAGCCCCAGUUAGCACAAAUACUAGUUUGCGAUUGGCUUUAUUAGCACUUCCUCAACUAAAUAACCAAAAACACAAAACGUUAAGAAAUAUUUAACUCUAUCCAAAUCAUACGCCCUACCUUUAAAACUCAAACAAAAAGGAACAAGAAAAAUAAGUAACAAUGGGUAAAGCUCAGAUUGUUUUACCUCACCAUAUCCGCAGGCAAAAUGCAACGUUGUCCUUCCUUCUAAAUCUUCCUCAUCCUUAUUAGCACUGGCUGCUAGUUUAUUUUUCAUACCCUAAUUGAAGAGCAGUAAGAAAAAAUUAAACUUUUAGCAAGAUACUAGAAAAAAGUACAUUGCAUCAAAUGUAUACACUAAAUCAACUUCAAUAGCAUUAGCACAACAUAAAACUAGAAACAAGAAUUUCUAUUAAAUAAUAGUGACAUAAAAAAAUUUACAAAUUUUGUUUUGGUUGAUUGAAUAAGCAGAACAUGUUCUUUUUCCACACCAAGUUGCAUUGCAUAAAAGAAAAAGAAUAUUAGAGAAUCAGUAAAUCCAAUAUUUUGAAGAGAACUUAGAGAUUAAUUUGGCCUCCAUAUACUCUUGAAUAGCCUUGCAAGAUGCAUAAGAUUAGUUCACAUCCAGUCCCAAUUCAGGCACAAUAUAAUGGCUACACCCAAUUAAACAAAUUAAAAAGCAAAAUCACAAAAAAUAAAGAAUAAUGCUAGUGAUAUACAAAAUACCAGUCAUUAAAUAAUAAUUUCACCUCUCUUUGAUGAUAACUAUUAAAAACUGAUGGAUGCCGUUGGGACGCAAAUAAGCAUCACUCAAAAACAAAUAAAAAUCUCGAGAACGCAAGUGAGGAAAGGCAAAAUGAUCAAAGAUAAUAGAAAAAACGAGGACUUACUAGUUAGCAUCAAAACACUAGGUCCUUUACAUGAUGAGAACAGAGGAGUUACCUCGAGCCACACUGAUCUUCUUGCAACUCAUCCGUGCUGCUCUUCCUGUCCUAGAAUGACUCCAAACAUAAACCUCAACUCUUUUUUUGGUUUCAUUCCAGAAUACGCCAAUGCAUAGAUUUUUAAAGAUUGCUCUGCAACCCCAAAAUAAUUAACUUAAAAUUCACAACCAAAACAAAAAAAGUCGGACCCAGAACAAUGGGUAAGUUCUUACCAAAUUAUUGAGCACCCAUCUUUAGUAUUCCUAGCAAAAAGUGUAGAGCUCAAAACAAGCAAACAACACCUAAAACCAAACAAGAAAAAAUUAGGGUACCCAUAGAAAAAUAACACUUAAAAACCAAACCUCAAAAAAUCAACCAAAAAAAAAAUUAACUUGUUUUGAGGGUUUUUGAUGGCAGCUUGGGGCAACUCACGGGGCAAUGAUUCCGGCCAAAGCCAGGACGACGACAGUAAAGGCUAAAGAACUAAUGGUGUAGACAACAGUGCAACGAAGGUAACGGUGGACGGUUGGAAAAGAAGCAGCGGGCACGAUACUGGCUCUGCCUCUCUCUAGCUCUCAUGUACUAACCAAAUUCCUGGGUAGAUGGAUCCGAUUGGUUGAUUAGUACGAGAGAGACGGUGGAUUUGAUCUUAGAUGAUGAGUGAAAAAAUCGGGAUGAGAGACACUAUGAAUUUGAAAGAGAGAUGAAAUUUUAGGGAUUUCUUUUUUGAGAGAGCAAAGAAAUCGGAUUGAGGUGAGAGAAAAUUGUGGGAUUUUCUUUUGAAGGAACCGGUUUACCAGGUAACCCAUUUAUUUCUAUUUUUAAUAUAAAUUUAAUCUCAACCGUUGGAUUCAAUUAGAUUGAAUCCAACGGUUUUUUUUCAAUUCCGGCAUGGUGCCGGGGCUUUAAUGCUCGGCAUUGUAGCAUUAGCCUAGAGAAAAAUUUGUGUGCUGGUAUGGACAUAUGGUUGGCCUACUCAUCAGGGACCCACCAUUGGGUAAGUUUAUUAAUUUUUUCAUUUAAUUUUUAGAUAUCAUUAUCGAACCAUUAAAGAUACUAUACUAUUAUAUUAUAUUAUAUUAAUUAAAUACUAAUAUAUUAUAUUAUAUUAUAUUACAUCAUUACUGUAUUAAAAUAAUAUUAUAUAAUAUUUAGUUCUAAUUAUAUUAUAUUAUUUUUAAUUAUGUUAUAUUUGGUGUUGCGCCAUAUUGUAUUGAUUUUUUAUUAUUAAUUUUUAUUAAAAAUUUAAAAAAAUCUACUAGUACUUAGAAAAAAUAUUAAAUUUAAAAUUCUUAAAUUUAAAAAUUUAACAUUAUUUUUUAGUAUAAAUAUUUUUUUAAAAAAUCAUAAUUAUUUAUAAAGAUCGAAGUUUAUGACCUUAAAUUUUGGACAGCAUAACAUUUAUUUUUUUACCUUUUCCAAAAUAUAUAACUUGUGAAAUAAAAAUUGAAGCAAAUAAUUUAAUUAAAUAACCUUUAGAUAAUAUCAAAACAUAAAUAAAAUACGUCCAAUCAUAUUUUUUUAGUUUCAUAAAUUCAAAUUCCACUAUUGCUUAAUCCUUCAAAGCUAGCAACUAAUGCAUUUUCACUUUCAAUCUCAAAGAAUUCAAAACCUCCAUUACUCUCACAUACCCAACAGACUAAUGCUCACAAAAACUAAAUGAUUUGAGAAAAACUCACCUGGAAGCUACAAACUAAUCAAAUAUGUUUAUGAAAUUCAAGAUGUUAAAAGCCUAGCACUAGCACACUGUCUAGUGUCAAUCACGCUUCCUGGACCUCAAAAGGCAUAUCAAUAUUGUUGCAGCUAAGUAAUGCCCAGUUAACAUAUCAAUAUUCUUGCAGCUACGCAUCAGAUGAACACUCAUUUGGAGCCCAUUUCCAUAACACAUCCUCAAAAGCAUAUGACUUUGCAUUGGAAAAUAUCUCUUGUUUCUAAUAUGAAAUGAAAAUUAAAAACAAACGUAUUUGCUAUAGCAGUUCCUUUAUUAAUGAGGAUGAAAUACAUCCAAAUAAGCUGACCAUGUCUGCAAAACUUUGCAAUAAGUAAGAAAACAGCAACAAAACCAAAAAAGUAAACACCUUUAAGAAUUAAAAUCGUUGACGACAUCAUAAGGAAUGGGAUCGACAGUUUCCAAUGUUGCACCUUCUACCAUAAAACUUAGUGACUGCUUCUUUAUACUGAUGACUUCACCUCUUGGCUUAGCUUUAGUCUUGAGUUCCUCAGCUUGAACUCGUUAGUAUCAGUAUACGUUGAAGUUAACAUGCUCCAUGGUAACGUGAAUCCUCUUCUUAAUGAUUUCUGUUACUAACCUGAAUAUAUGCAUAUAUUGAACAAAAUUCAGUAUUCUAUCAUCAAAAAAUGCAUAUGCAGGCAAUUAUAAUCAAUUCAAGCAAGUUAGAAGUCAAUCCCAUAUGUCCAAUUAUGAUGGAGAAGACAAUUUUAACAACACAAUUUAAAAAACUUAUAAUUGCUUGAUUAUAUUCAUUAUAGUUGUUUAUGAUUCCGAAGAUAAAUAUUGAUUCAUGAUUACUAAAAUAAAUGAACUCACAAAAUUGAAUGACUUGAUUUAAGGAUCAUAGAUGAUUUAGCAUUAUGUCUUCUUCUGACAAUUGCAUCUAUCAAUGGAUUAGAAAAGUUUUUAAAUUUUGGAUUUUUAAGGAUUUCUCAAAACUUAUGCUGUAUGUAAUGUCGCAACUUUGUUCAAUCAAUAAUUAACAAUAAAAGUUUAUUUACUAUGCUUUAACACUUCUGCCACAUUCGUCAGUGUACGAAUUGCAAGAAAGAUUGCUCCUCAGAUCCAUCUGAGUUUGGAGUGUAAUACUGCAAGUGAUACAAGACCUAUAGAAAACUCGAAAAGCUCAAAUUUGAAAAGAAUCCUUAAUUCAUAUUUGGUAAUUAACUAAAAACAGUUACAGUAAUUACCAAGUAGUUAGAAAACUCCAUGCUUUUAUAGCCAGCUAUAGAAAGCUUUUAAAUAAUUAAGAAAUAAAAACCAAUUUUUUUCAUUAAUACCGAACAGUUUAUUAUAGGUUUGAGCUACUAAUAAUGCUCAUGCGCUAUUACAUUACUAUCGAUGAAAUUUCCAAAACAGAGGAAAAGGAAAGAGCAAUCAGACAUGCAAAUUACAUUGGCGGAAAUCUUAUCUUUAAAUUGGAUAUCAUAGGCUUGUAACAAAAUCAGCAUGGAGCUACUAGUAAUGCUCAUAUUCUAUUACAUCACUAUUGAAAGAAAUUUGAAAAACAAGAAAAUGAAAGAGCAAUCAGACGUGCCAAUUGAAUUGGUGGAAACCUUAUCUUUAAAUGUGAUCUCAUAGGCAUGUCAUCUGCUACAAGGGAUUAGUUCCUUCAUUGAAAAGCUUGAUAGAGUUGAGAAUUCAACGAGCAAACCCCAAUUGAAGCUUAAUUUGGGGAAUCCCAACCUGAAAUGGCUACGGUAUCAGUCCUGAUGAAGCGACUGCUGCAGCCUUUUAUGGGCAUAUCAGAAAUUUACAACCCCGCUCUGUCCACCUUUCUUCUUCUUCUUAUCCUCUUGCUCACACUUGUACAGUUGCUGAAAAUCACCAGACGUAGUAGUAACCAUCUCAACUUACCCCCAUCUCCACCAAAGCUCCCCAUUCUCGGCAACCUUCACCAGCUUCUGGGAACUCUCCCUCACGCUCUCUCAAAGCUCUUUCGGAGCGGUACGGCCCUUUGAUGUUCGUUUACUUUGGCAAUUCUCCAACCCUUGUGGUUUCAUCGGCUGAGUUGGCUUGUGAAAUGUUUAAACUUCAUGAUAUUGUGAUCUCGAACCGGCCCAAAACCACACCUGCUAACAUCCUCCUAUAUGAAUGCCAAGGUAUCGGGUUCUCUAAUUACGGCGAGUACUGGAGACAAGUUCGGAAGAUUUGUGUUCUUCAACUCUUGAGUGCGAGAAGAGUGCAAUCAUUUCAGCAUGUUAGAGAUGAUGAAGUUUCAAGUUUGAUCACUAAAAUUCGCCUCUCAUGUUUUAAUAAAGGAGGUCCUCUUAAUUUAUCAGAGAUGCUACUUACUGCUUCCAGCAAUAUAGUUUCCCUCUGCGUUCUUGGGAGGAAAGCUGAUGCAGAAGAAGAAAAUACUGGUCAGAGCAAUAAGUUUGGUGAGUUAUCAAGAAGGCUGGAAGAGCAGCUUGCUGCCUUUUGUGUAGGAGAUACGUUUCCAUCUUUGGGGUGGUUAGACGUUCUCUCGGGACUCAUUGGUCGUCUCAACGCAACUGCUAGAGCAAUAGACGCUUUGCUUGAUCGGGUGAUUGAAGAGCACACGAACAGGGCAUCAUCAGGAAGUGAUGAUGAUGAUGACCAAUCUAAUAAAAAAGACUUCGUGGCUAUACUCCUCCAACUUCGAAAGGAUGGCAUCCUUGGAGCAGAGCUCUCUCAGGACAAUCUUAAAGCACUUACCCUGGUCUAACCUUCCUCUUGACUAGCUAGUAUUAAGUAUUAUAAUUAUUAGCUCUCUCUAUAGAUAUUUUACAUCUUUUACACACUUCACGCACGCAAAAGCGCACCCUUGCAUAUACACAUACGUGCAGAUCAAUACUAAUGGUUUUUCAUGUUUCACAUUCUCAGGACAUGUUUUUAGCAGGAACUGAUACUACUGCAACAACACUAGAGUGGGCAAUGGCCGAGCUAGUGAAAAAUCCAACUAGCAUGAAAAGAGCUCGAGAAGAGGUUAGAAGUGUGGCAAAAGGGAAAUUAAAUAUAGACAUGAAAGACAUUGAGAAGAUGGACUAUUUGAAAUGUGUGGUCAAAGAAACUCUGAGGUUACAUCCACCAGUUCCUCUCUUGAUUCCCCGAGAAAUAGCACAGAGGGUCAAAUGGAGAGGCUAUGAUAUUCCUGCAAAAGCUAGAGUGAUUGUAAAUGCAUGGGCAAUUCAAAUAGAUCCCCAGGUUUGGGACAGGUCAGAAGAUUUCUUGCCAGACAGGUUUUUCUCUAACCCGGUGGAUUGUAAAGGCCAAGACUUCCAAUUUAUCCCCUUUGGUGCUGGAAGAAGAGGAUGUCCCGGGAUAUCAUUUGCGUUCGCCACAAUUGAGUAUGUGAUUGCCAACCUUCUGUACUGGUUUGAUUUGAAUUUGCCUCUUGGUGAAGUUGAGGAGAAUUUGGAUAUGUUUGAAGUUAAUGGGCUAGUGGUUCAUAAGAAAUUACCUCUUCAUCUUGUGCCAACACUCUACUCCCCUUACUCUUAAUCUUGAUAUGUGGAGAAAAAUAUUCAUGAUAGUUAUGUUCUAAUCAUGAUUAUCCUCUUUUAAUUUCCCUCGUGAAAAAUUGUACCAGCGUUGUCUAUUUUCUUCUAUGUUUAUGGCUACCUCAAUGAGCAAGUUAUUAUCAAUUUUAUCACCUGUCUAUAUCAUAUUGGUCCUCUGUUUGAUCUUUCUAUAUAUUCCAUCAAUCGGUUGAGAUUUAGGGAAGUACAAAAAGUUAACAAUUACUAAUGGUGCUAGUAGCCGUGGCUGCAAAAUAUCAUAUCCAUCGAGUUGAUGGGAGAUUAAUUACAACUAAUCGGGAACAAAUAAUUAUGAAGCUGAUAGCAUGAAUAUAUAUAUUAUGAUUGACAUUUUGACUGCAACGGCGAAUAUACAUAAUAAUAGCACCAAUCGUGUCGAUGGGAGAUGUUUUGUUAAAAUUAUUUUUUAAUUCUUAUUUUAUAUUCUUGUGGCUUGAAAGCGACUAUGUCGAUCAUUUAUUUAUUUUCUAGUUCUUAUUUUAUAGACACAUAUUGUUAUUUAAAAAUUCCAUAAUUUCGCUCUGGAAAGGUAAGAGAGCAAAAUUUAGUUUAUAGAGUAACACCCAGGUCUAUAACAAUAAACCCAUAAGAAGGAAGCUAAGCAUGCAAGACCAAACUCAAAUGAGUAGGCCUCAUCUAAGAUCCUUGUAAGUGGGUUAUCUUACAUAGAUGAGUCAUGUUAGGAAAUUAAUUGAUGAAAUAAGACCACAACUAAAAUAAAAUUGAAAAAAAUUAAUUAAAAAAAGAGUUGAAAAGUCAAAUUGGAUCACAUCAUUUGAAUUCAAAUUAGAGGCGGUGGAGAACUUUGACAAGCAAUUGAAAGUGGCCAAAACAUAGCUCUUAUCCUAAUAUUUUGGCUCACUACCCAGAAUGAAUUGGGUAGAUCAGCAGUUCUCAACAUAUCUCUUAUCCUUUCUGUAAGAGUCCUAUUCAUUCACUCUGUCACUCCAUUUUGUUGAGGAGUGUAUGCUACCAUGAACUGCCUCUGAAUACCUUCUUACUUACAAAAAAUAAGAAACUCGUUGUUUAUAUACUCUUCACUGUCUCGUCCUCAAGCACUUGAUUCUUUUUUCAUAUUCAAGUUCAACCCGCGCUUUGUAUUCCUUGAACACUAGAAACACAUUUGACUUUUUCUUGGUUAGAUACACCCAACAUAUCCUGGAAUAAUUAUCAAUGAAAGUCACGAUGUAUUUUGCACCUCCAAUGGAUAUGUCUGGUGAUUCCCAAACAUCAAAGUGAAUUAAGUUUAGAAUGUAUUUACUUCUAGCAACAAAUCUACUGAACUUUAAUCUAUGCUGCUUACUUGUAACAUAAUGCACGUAAAAUUAUAAGUUACCGAUUUGAAUCCUAGAGGCAAUUUUCGCUCAGAGAGAAUCUUCAAACUUUGCUCCGAGAUGUGGCUAAGUUUGAGAUGUCACAUCAUCGUUGACUCUUCUCUGUUUGAUGCAACACACACAUUAGCUUCCUGUAGUGUUUGUCCUUUAAGUAUGAAUAGAUUAGCACUGAUCUUUCUGUCUUCAUCAAUACAAGCGCGCCUUUUAAUAAUUUUCAUAAUUCCAUUUUCAACAUGAGUUUUGCACCCAUGACUAUCUAUUUGUCCCAAAAAUAAUAGAUUUUUCUUCAGGCCUUUCACAUGUCGUACCUCCUCAAUUGUACGAAUUGUACUAUCAAAUAUUUUUAUUUUGAUUGUACCAAUACUAGCGAUCUCCAAGGCAUGAUCAUCAUUCAUAUAUACAAAUCCUCCUGAGAUCCUCAAUUGUGCGAAUUGUACCAUCCAACAUUUUUAUUUUGACUGUACCAAUACUAGCGAUCUCCAAGGCAUGAUCAUCACUCAUAUAUGCAGAUCCUCCUGAGAUACGUUCACGUGUGAAACCAUUCUCUCCAAGAGGUCAUGUGCCAGGUAGCUCCUUAGUCUAUAAGCCAGACGUCAUAUAGUCGUUUUCUGCCUUCUGAAACAGUUGUUGCCUCGUUGUAGAGAAUUUCACCAUCAUCUGACUUGCUACACACCCAUGAGCAUUUGAUGACUCAUGUUUUUUGCUCUCUUUUCUCUUCUGGUUGUUCCAACACUCUUUCUUGACGAUACCAUUGGUAAGAAAUUGAGUUUCAUCCUAAGAUCACUCCAAACAAUUUGUCAAGCAACAAAUUAACAAGAAAACUUAAAUGGAGAAUACACCAAUCACACAACACAAGAUUUACGUGGAAAACUCCAAAUCUGAAAAAAAAAACACAGUCAUUGUCAAGAGACAACCAGAGCAAAAAUAUUUACUAGAUGAAAAAUUAUUACAACCACACUCUCAGAAAUAAUUUUCUCUCACCUAAACCCCAAAUAUAUAAUCUCGAGAAAUAUUCCUUAACAAAGUAAACCCAUAAUACCCAUAUUGACGAGCUAAAUGCUCCUUCAAUCUAACUAUAUGCUUAAGAAUAUUUCUCUCUCUCAAUUUCUCACCAAAACUUAGAUCGCUUCUCUAGGAUUUGGGAUGCCAAGCUCUCAAAUAAGAACUUCAUUUUAUAGACAAAAUUUUUCCUAAAAUCAAGCCAAUUUUUCAACAUUCAAUAGCCACCAUUUCAAUAGUUUUGACCACUUCCAAUUGCUUGCCAAAGUUCUCGGCCACCUCCAAUUUGAAUUCAAAUGAUGUGUUCCAAUUUGACUUUUCAACUCUUUUUUUUUUUAAUCAAUUUUCAAUAAUCUAAGAGUCUUGUAAGAAUAAUCAGAGAGCUUGAGUGAUUUUCAAAGCUUAAAAUUAUAAAGCGCUUGUGAGUCCAGUGAGUGAGAGAUUUGGUGUAUUAGGAUUUUGGGUAGUGAGCCAAAAUAUUACAAUACUUGUAAUCCUCAUAUCUCUAGUAAAAUAAUUUCCUUCUGUCUUCGCCUGUAGGCGUAAGGCUAAAAAUCGAACCACGUAAUUUCCUAGUGUCCUCUUUCUGAUUGUUCUUUAUUUUUCUUCUAAUUUUAUUUUAGUUGUGGUCCUGCUUCACCCAUCAAUUUUCUAACAUUGGUAUCAGAGGUACAGGGUUUUUUUUGGAGCCGAUGGUACUGUUCACGUAAAAAUACUAUUCACAUAUACGGUUACUGUUCACGUGAAACGACGGGAGCCGAUCCUAGCAAAGUUAGUUUGUGGUGAAAAGUGAUGGUAGCGAAAUACGAAAUUAAGAAAUUCAAUAGAAAUAAAUUUUCAUUGUGGAAAAUGAAGAUAAAAGUUGUAUUGCGGAAAAAUAAUUGUUUGGUAACAAUUGGAGAAAGGCCCAUGGAAAUAACUGAUGACAAGUGGAACGAUAUAGAUGGAAAUGUCAUUGUUGAUCUACAGUAGGCACUUGCAGAUGGGAUGUUACCCAGUGUGGAGGAGAAAAAGACAACAAAAGAAAUAUGAGAUACUACACAAAAUUGUACAAGGCCAUGUCUUCUUAAAUAUGAGACUUUAUACUCUUCGAAUGACGAAAUCUACAUCAGUGACCCACCACAUCAACACCUUGAAAACUCUAUUUUCACAACUCAUAAUAUUGGGUCAUAAUAUAGAGGAAAAUGAACGUGCAGAGCUUCUACUUCAAAAUUUACCAGAUUCGUAUGAUCAACUCAUCAUCAACCUGACGAACAACAAUCCAAUAGACAGUCUAGUUUUCGACGAUAUUACAGCUUCCGUAUUAAAUGAAGAGAGCAGUCGCAACAAGUAAAAACACUAUUAGUAAUGAGAGGCAGAUCAACAUAACGUGGCCCCAGUGGGAGUCACAAUCAUGGUAGAUCAAAGUCCAAAAGUAAAAAGAAUAUUAAAUACUAUAAUUAUGGUAAGAAAUGACAUGUCAAGAAAGAGUAUUAGAACAACCAUAAGAGAAGAGAAGGUAAAGAUCAUGUGUCAUCAAAUGCUCAAGGUGUGUAGCAAGUACCUCGGAUGAUGGCAAAAUUCUCUAUAGCGAGGCAACAACUGUUUCAGAAGGUAGAAAAUGGCUAUCUGAUGUUUGGUUCAUAAACUCAAGAGCUAUCUAGCACAUGACCUCUCGGAGAAAAUAAUUGAACCUAUCUAAGGAGAAUCUGUAUAUAUGGGUGAUGAUCAUGCCUUAGAGAUUGCUAGUAUUGGUACAAUCAAAAUAAAAAUAUUUAAUGGUACAUGUCGCACAAUUGAAGAGGUACGACAUGUCAAAGGCUUGAUGAAGAAUCUAUUAUCUUAUAGACAAAUGGAUAGUCAUAAGUACAAAACUCAUGUGGAGAAUAGAAUUAUGAAAAUUGUUAAAGGCGCGCUUGUAUUGAUGAAGACAAAAAAGAUCGGUGCUAUUCAUUCAUGCUUAAAGGACAAACACUAUAGGAAGUUAAUGCGUGUGUUGCAUCAAAUAGAGAAGAGUCAACGAUGAUGUGGCAUCUCAAACUUGGCCACAUCUCGGAGCAAAGUUUGAAGAUUCUCUUUGAGCGAAAAUUGCUUCCAUGGCUCAAAUCGGUAACUUACCAUUUUGCGAGCAUUGUGUUACAAGUAAGCAGCAUAGAUUAAAGUUCAAUAUAUCUAUUGCUAAAAAUAAAUACAUUCUAGACUUAGUUCACUCUGAUGUUUGGGAAUCACCAUACAUAUCCAUGGGAGGUGCAAAAUACAUGGUGACUUUCAUUUAUGAUUAUUCCAGGAGAUGUUGGGUGUAUCCAAUCAAGAAAACGUUAGAUGUGUUUCUAGUAUUCAAGGAAUACAAAGCGCGAGUUGAACUUGAAUAAAAAAAAGAUCAAGUGCUUGAGGACAGAUAACGAUGGAGAGUAUACAGACGGCGAGUUUCUUACUUUCUGUAAGCAAGAAUGUAUUUAGAGGCAGUUCAUGGUAGCAUACACUCCUCAACAAAAUAGAGUGACAGAGUGGAUGAACAGGACUCUUACAGAAAGGAUAAGAGUUAUGUUGAAGAUUGUUGAUCUACCCAAUUCAUUCUGGGUAAAAGCAGCCAAAACUCAUAUUAUGUAAUAAAUCGGUUGCCAUCCAUAACAAUUUCGGUUGAAGACUCUGAUGGAGAUGUGGAUUGAAACGCCAAUAGAAUACUCUCGCCUACAUGCAAUCGAAUUUCCUGUGUAAGUAAUGUACAAUUCCCAAGAAAGAGCAAAGCUGGAUUUAAAAUCUAGAAAAUGUAUUUUUUUUAGAUAUGUUGAUAGAGUAAAAUGAUAUCGUUUGUGGGAUCCCGCUGCCCGCCAGAUUGUCAUCAGCAGAAAUGUUAUCUUUGUAGAAGAUCAACUGCAAAGAAGAGAUGAGGAUGAUAGCACUGUAAAAGAAAAGUAAGAGACUGUAUCAGUAUAUGUGAAAAAUAAUUUGGAAAAAGAAGAUUCAGAUUUUUCUAAAGUAACACCAGAGCACGAGGAACAAGAACCAAUCGAGUCCGAGACUCUAGAAGUUUGUUGAUCAACUCGUGAGAGACGACCGCCAGCGUGGCACUCGGAGUAUGUCACACAAAUCAAAGAGUAUGUCACAGAGAUCAAUGUUGCAUACUGUCUUCUAAUAGAGGAUGGAGAGCCAUUAAUUUUUCAUGGAACUUUAAAUAGCUCAAAUAUUACGUUGUGGAUGAUAGCUAUGAAGGAAGAAAUUGAAACUCUACAUAAGAAUAAGACUUGAAAACUUGUACCACUACCAUAUAGAAGAAAAAUUGUUAGAAACAAAUGGAUUUACAAGAUCAAAUGUGAUAACAAUGAUUAAGUGGAACAAUAUUGUGCAAGAUUGGUGGUGAAAACAUAUGCUAAAAAAAAAAGUAUUGACUUCAAUGAGAUAUUUUCUCUGGUGGUUCGACUCACAACAGUCAGAGUAGUCUUAGUAAUGUGUGCUACAUUUGACCUACAUCUCGAGCAAUUAGAUAUGAAAACUACAUUUCUUUAUAGAGAUUUUGAAGAAGAAAUUUGUAUGCUCCAACCAGAAGGUUUUACUAAAAUAAGAAAGGAGAACUUGGUUUACAGAUUGAACAAAUCUCUAUACAGUCUCAAGCAAGCGUCACGUUGUUGGUAUAAGAGGUAUGAUUCCUUCAUCAUGAGCCUUAGAUACCACAGAUUCAGUUCAGACCAUUGUGCAUAUUAUAAGAGGUUUGAAGAUGAUGAUUUCAUCAUUUUACUAUUGUACAUACUACCAACAAAAAUCGAGUUCAAGAACUAGAGGCACAAGUGGCUAGGGAGUUUGAAAUGAAUGACUUAGGACCAUCAAACAAGAUUUUAAGGAUGUAAAUUCAUCGAAACAGAAAUAAUAGGAAGAUUUGGCUUUCUCAUAAUAACUAUUUCAAGAAAAUCUUACGACGCUUCAAUAUGCAAGAUUGUAAACCAAUUUCUACCUCACUUCCUGUUAAUUUCAAGUUAUCCUCAAAUAUGUAUCCUAGCAAUGAAGUAGAGAAGAAAGAGAUGUCUCGAGUAUCGUAUGCAUUAGCAGUGGGAAGUUUGAUGUUCGCUAUGAUUUGUACAAAACCAGACAUUGCAUAAGCAGUGGAAGCAGUCAGUCGAUACAUGGCGAAUCCUGCUGGAAAACAUUGGAAAACUGUGAAGACGAUUCUGAGAUACAUUAAAGGAACCUCUGAUGGUGCAUUAUGUUAUAAAGGAUCAGAAUUUACUGUUGGGGGCAACGCAGAUUCAGAUUUUACAAGAGGCCUUGAUAAGAGAAAAUUUACUACUGACUAUGUGUUUACACUUGUAGGAAGAGCUAUAAACUGGGUUUCAAAACUACAGACCGUUGUGGCUUUAUUUACAACAAAAGCAUAAUACACACAGCUACCUAAGCUUGGAAGGACUAUUUGGAUACAAAGGUUAUGGGUAGAGCUCGGGCACAAACAAGAGAAAAUUUAUGUGUUUUUGUAAUAGUUAGUGCUUUGCACAUUGCAAGAAAUCCAGUCUUUCAUUCUAGAACAAAUCACAUAGCAGUUUAGUACCACUUCGUUCGAGAAAUAGUGAAGACAGAAGUGUAGAUUUGCAAAAAAUUCAUAUCAAAGUGAGCCUAGCAAAUGUUUUAACAAAGUCGAUCAAUGCUGACAAGUUUAUCUACAGUAAAGUCUCUUGUGACCUAGCAGAGAUGUAAGCAACAUAACUAUAGCAAAGCAGGAAGGAUGGUGUGGAGAUUGAUUGAUUCCCAAUCUAAUCUCCAAGUAGGAGAAUGUCAAAACAUUUGGCUGCAGUAUCUAAAAGUUACAUCUAAAAGCUACAUCUAGAAGCAUUGAAGCAACAAAUGUUGAAGGAUUAGGUUCUGUCAAGGAAGAAAAAAAAGUAAGAGUUGAAGCUGCCAAAUUUGAACAAAGACAAAAAAAGAAAGAAGAAUAGCUGAAAUUUGGUAGCAACAUUUUUUUUUAAGAAAGAAAGAGAAGAGUUAAGAAAAGUCAAAGGUGGUUUUAAAAAAAUAUAAUAUUUUAAUAGCCAAUUUUUGGAUAUAAAAAAAGAGCUCUCCAUUUCGUUUUUUGGCAUUCAAUUUGUGAGAGAGAAAGCAGAGAGUUUGAGUGAUAGUGAGUGAGAGAUUGGGUACAUUGGGGUUUUGGAUAGUGAGACAAAAUAUUACAAUAUUUGUAAUCCUCAUAUCACUAGUAAAAUAUUUUUUUUCUGUCUUUGCCCGUGGAUGUAGGGUUAAAAGUCGAACCACGUAAUUUCUUGGUGUCCUCUUUCUACUUAUGCUUUAUUUUUCUUCUAAUUUUUCUCUUUUCUUCUUCAAAAAAACACUGCUGCCAAAUUCCAUUUUUCCUUCUUCUUUCUUUUUUAUCUUUUUUAUCUUUGUUCAAAUUUGACAACUUCAACUCUUCAUUUUCCUUCUUCCUUGGCGACACCUAACCCUUCAACAUUUGUUACCUCAAUGCUUCUAAAUGUAACUUCUAGAUGCUGCAGCUAAAUAUUUUGAUAAGUCUAAGUACUAGGUAUUUAACCUUUUUUUUUGCCCCCUCAAUUAACUGCUGAUCACUCACCUAAAUUUUUGCUCAGUAAUUUACAAAAGGUAAUGCUUGUCUAGAAAAUAUUUUAAAAUAGAAGUCCUGUGUGUAGAAUAUUUCAAAAUGUUGCAAGUUUCCUAAAACACAAGUACAUCAAUAUAUUAUUCUAUCAUAAGAGUUUUUAUGCACCCAUUAAACCAAUUAACACUAAAAAAUUAAUUGCUUUACAUGUGAGCUAGAUUAAUUUGAACUUCAGAUCUCUUCUUCCAUAAGAGAUUUUAUCCAUUGAAACCACCAAUCCAAACACCCACGCAAAUUAAUUAAAGAUAAAUUGAGAUAGCCCACAGGCUGCAGCAACAAAUUUCCUAGAUGUCUACUGAACAAAUGGAAUUCUACAAAGUGUUAAUUUCUAUUAUAAAAAUGGCAUUAAAUUAAACCAUAUACACCAAUUAUGAUGGAGAAGACAAUUAUAACAACACAAAUUUAAAAAACAUCAAAAAAUAAAUCAAUCUUCCCAAAUAUCAAUCUCAAUGGUCCGAGUACCAAUUUGCCCUCCAAUCACCAUCUCUUUAUCCAAUAAAACUAAAUAAUUAAAAUUUUAUACAGCCAUCAUCAUUUCAACACCAACCUAAACUCAAUCCUCAAACACCUAACUCUAAACUCAGCACAUGAAACAACAAAAUAGAAAUGAACAUGAAAAGAUUGAAUGAACAACAUCAGAGUUUUUUUUCCCCCUUGUUAAACCUAUCCAUAUUUGAUAUUCUUCCCUGUCAAAUUUGGUUUACAUUCAAAGCAACUAAAAAAUUCGUAAACAAACAGGUUAUUAAAAAAAAAAAAAUUGAUUGAAAACUUCAUUCAACUACAAUAGUACAUUAAGCAAAAAGUUCAUAUUUUUUUAUAAUUAAAAUAAAAUCUCAAAAUAUUUAAAUACUAAAAUUUUCAUGCUUUCUACCCAAAUUGUGUUGUUCGCUGCAUUUUCUUCCAUAUGAUGUUUAAAUAUAAAAAUCUUUUUUUUUUUAAUUACCAAGCAAAGAAUCAGAUUGCGUAAUUCACUGUACAUAACCAGUUCUUUCUCUUGCUCUAUUUUUUCGAGCAGUUACAAACAAAAAUUACCAAAAUCCUUCUUCAAUGCCCACCACCUAAAAAACAAAAGGAUGCUUAUGCAUCAUCAAGCUAUAAACUAUAUUUCUAUUUGCAUAUAAAAAACAGUUUCAGAAUAACCCAGCAUUUUCAAUUUAACUGGUGAGCAUGGAAUAUCCUAAGCCAGAUCAAAAUUCAAAACCACCAUGGAAAAUGUGUAUGGAUAAUGUUAAAUACCAUAUUAUUCAUUUUGAAUGACAAACAAAAUACAAACAAAAAUUAUUAAAAUUCCAUCCUUUAUCCUAUAAUUUUUAAUUCUUGUACUUCUUUUUCAGGUAUCAGAUUUCUCGGACACAGAACAUGAACAAGCAAAAACAAAUUUUGUGGUAUUUAAUAAAUGCAACUUCCAAAAUAUACCAUUACCAGACCAAAUUCUUUUUUUUUUGUAUAAAUUUUAAGCUUUUACAGACACAGUAUCAGAAACCAAAAAAUUAUUAAAUUUUGAAGGUAAAAAGGGAGAGACAAUUGAUAAAAGGCAAAAAUUGAAAAUAAAAUAAAAUAAAAGAGUAAAAAAAGUAACUGACUCUAUUCUAGCAAUAGUCAUCUUCUUCUUGUAAUAGUCAGCCAUGAAUAUUUAUUGGACUUAAUAAUUCAAACUAACAAUUCAGAUCUAAACAAAUUCAAUAGUUUAAAUCUCACCUAAUUCAACAAUUCAAUUCAAAUCAAACCCUAACCUAAAUCAGUCUAAAAAUCAAAUCAGACCCUAACACAAAUCAAUUUAAAAAGCAAACCAUACUAACUUGUUGCUUGAUGAUUGUUGAGGUGAAGAGAAGGCACGGUGAUGUUGAGCUUCAGUGGUCAGGUCUCAGGUACACCAUCUUAAAAUACUGACUUAGUAUACCCGAACCCACCUCUAAUUAUUUGGGUAAGUGACAUUUGGAGGAAAAAAAAAAAAUCUUAUUGAUUUCAUUGUUUGUCAACUUUGUGAAAAUGAUAUGAAACCACACCAAAUUUUCAAUUACAAAAGUUAUUUUUUUUCUUUGCUUAAUUUUUUUUAAGGAAAAACAUUGUUUUCAAGUAAGUCGAAUUUAGUAUUAUAAAUUUAUUUUCUAAACAAAUUGAGCUACAAAUGAGAUAGUUUGGCGGUGGAGAUAUUGUAGUUUCAAUAAUAGAAGAACAAAAUGAUUCGUCAGUUGCCUUUUGAUUGAAGUUACUGCUUUUGGCACUCUCAAGAACCAUUUGCAAAGGAUCCUUCUCAUAUGCUGCUUCUUCACUACCUUCAGUCUCAAAUUACGAACCUCCUUUUCUGAUCUCCACAUAUAUCUGUUGCUUUUUGUGGAAAGAUACUUACAACAAGUUAUGGCAUAAAUAAAUUGAUGAUGAGAGUAUUGCAAAAAAUAAAAAAUAAAAAAUAAAAAAAUAAUACUCUGUUUUUCAUCGGAGGAGUUGCCUUGUCCACUAAUAGAAGGCUCACCUCAUGCCUGGAAUCUUUGAUACUAGACUUUUCGUGGACAAAUUCUCUCCAAGAGUUAUUAGUUUCAAGAAAAUAUUUUCUCCUUUAGACAUGAUUGCUUCCAAAACAAGCUCUUGAAAUAAAAUCUCUAGACAAAUUUCUCAUAUACUCAUCCAUUUUUAUGUCAGCUAUUUCAUUUUUUGUCACUACUUUGCUUUUCCAUGACUCGUAUUAACUUAUUCGUCGACUCACUAAUUAAGUUCAUUAUUCCUUAAAAGGAUUUUAUAUAUCAAUUUAUGUUUUUAUUAUUGUACUAAAACAAAUAAAAAUAUUUAUAAAAUUAUUCUUAGGCGUUGACGUACGUCCACACUUUAGAAAGUACAAACGGGAUUAUCUUUUUACCAAAUGCCUUAAUCUUAUUCAAAUUAAUCUAAAAACACUUGUUCUCUUUCACUCUUUCGAAGGAUAAAAUAAUACAUUUUUCCUUUCUCCCCAACUGAUCGAUUUCGUUCAGGUCACCAAUUUUCUGUCCAUCCCUAACGUUAAUGUGUUAGCUUUUGCAUUUUGUAAGUUACCAACCCAGCUGUUCCAAAUUUAAGCAAAAAAUAAUUACUUUUUUUUCAUAAUUAAAGUGAUUUUAUUUUUCUCCAUUAUUAUAUAUGGUCACCAAGUACACCAAGUUUUGAUGCAAAAAGAUUUUGUAAAAUGUUUUGGGAAAUUGGAGUACUUAGCUUGCAAAUUUCAAGGUUAUGCCAUGCAAGUCCAAAAGCAAACGAGAGUAUGGUUUGUGAGGAAACUAUUGGGCCGGGCCCUUGAACGAAUUAGAGGGACUUGUGCAGCCUAUUUGUUUUAACGAAAUCAAUAAAACUUAUUUUUGUAAUUUAUAGAUCAUAGUAUGAAAACCUCUCUUAACAUGGAAAUUCUAAUUUUUAGGAGCCCCAUCGUGUUUAGUAAAACAUCAAGUACAUCCAUUUAGAUUACAUUGAAGUUGAACUUUUUUUAGAAAAAAAUUCUACUUUAAAAAAAAAAGGAAAAAUAUCCACCGUCCACCUAUUUUUUUCAACUUUUUUAAAAAUACACAAUUCUUUUUUUUUUUUGCUGGAGUCCACUUAAAGUUAUAUUUUGUUUCACUUUUCCACUUUCGUUUGGAAUCCGUUAAGGAAACUAAAGGAAACUUAAAAAAAUGACCAUUUUACCCCCAAACAAAAAUUAUAAUUUCACUAUAAAAAAUGCAAAAAAUAAUCAGAUUUAAUAAUGAAUAUCAUUAUUGGUACGUUAAUGAAGUACAAAAAAAUCUUAACUACUAGAGAUUAUAAUUCAAUGAAUAAUAAAAUUCUACUUAUCUUAAAUUCAAUUGAUGGUUUGCGAGAUUGGGCUAUUUUUAAUACUACUGUUAUAAUUUAUCAUUCUAAUUACAUACAUAUUUAAAAAAAAAAAAACCAUGCAUUUGAUGGUUGUGGAAUUAAUUUCUUUUAUUAACAGAUGGGAAAAAUAAUUAGAUUUAAUCUGAUUAUUUUUGGUAAUUUUUAGGGUGAAAUUGAAAUUUUCUUUUAGGGGGGUAAAAUGGUCAUUUUUUUAGGUUUCCGUUAGUUUUCUUAACGGAUUCCAAACGGAAGUGGAAAAGUGAAACAAAAUGUAGGUGGAUUCCAGCAAAAAAAAAAUUGUGUAUUUUUGAAAAAGUUAGAAAAAACAGGUGGACGGUAGAUAUUUUCCCCAAAAAAAAAAUAGAGGGAUAAAUAAAGUUUGAUUCUUUUUUUUUUAAUUUUCUAUUAAGAUUCAAACUUAUGUGACUAGCCAAAUAAAACUACUUCAAAAUUAGUUGUAGGUCAGUUGCAUUCAAUUUAGCAUCGACCACCUACUUGUUCCGCAGCUCCUUAAUUUCUUUUGUCUUUUUACUCAAAUUAUCACGUAAAAUUCCAUUAUUGAUUACAUGUAAAAAAGUAGAUCUAAAAUUAAUUAUCGAGUACAUGCAAUGCGAUAUAGAUUUAGAAUUAAAAUGUACCAUUUAGUGGGAAAGCCAACUUAAGUCUAUCCUCUUUUCAAAAAUGCUUUUAAUUUCCUACCUUAAGUUUGUAAUUAGUACCCAUCCAUCCAAAUGUUAAUAUGGUUAGAAUAUUUAAAAGAAUCCACUAAAAUAGCCAUUUUACCCUUCAAUUUAAGAGCAAUUAUGUCAUCUAUUUCAAGUUUAUUCUCUUGUAAAAAGAUAUUAUAGAAGUUUGAAUUUAUUCAAUUUUUCAGCCUAAAUUUGUAAUUGGUGUCACAUAUCCACUAAAACGUUAACACUUUUAGAAUGCUUAACAUAAUAUAAGUAUAACAACCAUUUUACCCUUGAAUUCAAGGACCUUUUUUUUUUUUUUUUUAACUUUGCACCAUAAAUUAAUAAAAUAAAUUUUGAAAAAAUAUAAUUAAAAUAUGAAAUCUCUUUCUUUCAAAACAAAAUCGCCCAACAAUUUUUAUCUCAUCAAAUCCUUCUCAAGCACAUAAAACCAAAAGCAAAACAAAAUACAUUUCACUUUCUUCUUUCUUAUCUUCUCUCUAUAUAAAUUUUUAUGGUUCACAAAAUCAAUAGUGAUAUGUAUCAAAUCCUUUAUAACCAAUAUCCUUCAUCGCUAAAUCCUUCAACCAUCUAUGAUAAUUGACAAAAACAUGCAUUGGGCUAUAAAGAUCUGCAAUUGAGGAAUCUUGUGGUAGUUGUAGUUAUCCAUGAGGCUAAGUAAAGCAGUAGCGACAGUCAUGGUCAACGACAAUGGUGGCCAUGAAACAGCAAGUUGGAUUUGAUUGGGUGUUUACGAAAUCAAAUUUAAGAAUUGGAGUGAUUUGGUGUCCAUAAAUUAUGGUUUAGGGUAAUUUGUGGAUUGAGUUUGAUUAUAAAAAUUUGUGAAGGUUAAUUAAGAAAAUAAUUAGAUACUUUUAAGCAAGGAAGAAAUUAGAGUGUUUAUUAUAUUUAACUGAAUAUUAGUUAUAAAAACUAUUUUUUUCCUUUUUUCUAUCAUAUUAAACAUCUAGAUUACCCUUAUGACGCCAUUAAAUAUAAAUGGCAGUUAAUAUUUUAGUGGACGGUUGAUACAAAUUGCAAACUUAGGGUGAAAAAUUAAAUAAAUUCAAACUUUCAUAGUAUUUUUUAUGACUGAAUAAACUUUAAGGUGGAUAACUGAUAAUAUCUCAAUAUUUAACAUCUUAAUUGUCUAAAUCACCUUUGUCACGUCAUUCAUUAUGAACAACAGUUAAAGUUUUGGUAGACAGUUGGCACAAAUUGCAAAUCAACUUUGCUGAAAAAUACUACAAAUUCAAACUUUUGUAGUAUCGGGUAAUUGUGUAACAAGGGAUUAGGCUAGUUUUACAAUUCACAUGUAUAAAUAAUUAAGAUGUCAUGUUGCAUGAAUGAUAUAUAGUUUACCAAAUUCUUUGUGCAUUGUUUUUUUUUUAUGUUUACUACACACUAAGCGCUUGUUUAUGUAUCAAUGUCAGUAUCUAAGCAUUCAAAAAUUUGACUUCACCCUUAUCUUUCUCAAAUUCUACGAAGAAAUUUCCAUCAAGACAUAGUGAAGUCAAAUUUUCAUCGACAUACAUCCACAAAAUAUGGACUUUACACAGAUUGAGCCUAAUGGUACUGGAAAAUUAUGAAAAAGAAAAAACAGAAAAUAUCAGAAUGGUUGAUUCAUAGGACUAUAAUAACAAUUUAAAAUUUUGUGCUUCAACUCCAUUCCUUUAACAAUAUAUAUUUUGGAAACAAUUUAAUUAACUCAAAAUCUAACAACAUGUCGCAAUAUAAUAGAACUUGAUAUAUAAUUCACACUACCAAAAUACAAAUAUUAUUGUAUUUUAGCUCACUACCCAAAAUCUCAAUACACCCAAACCACUUCCUGUUAAUUUCAAAUUAUCCUUAAGUAUGUGUCCUAGCAACGAAGUAGAGAGGAAGGAAAUGUCUCGAGUACCAUAUGCAUCAACAAUGGGAAGUUUGAUGUUCACUAUGAUAUGUACUAGACCAGACAUUGUACAAGCAGUGAGAGCAGUUAGUCGAUACAUGAUGAAUCCUGGUGGAGAGCAUUAGAUAACUGUAAAGAAGAUUCUGAGAUAUAUUAGAGGAACCUCAGAUGUUGCAUUAUGUUAUGGAGGAUCAGAGUUUACUGUCAGGGGCUAUGUGGAUUCAAAUUUUGCAGGAGACCUUGAUAAAAGAAAAUCUACUAUUGAUUAUGUAUUUACACUUGCAGGAGGAGUUGUAAGUUGGGUUUCAAAACUGUAGACUGUUGUGACCUUAUCUACAAUAGAAGCAAAAUACAUGGCAUCUACACAAGCUUGCAAGGAAACUAUUUGGAUACAAAGGUUCUUGGAGGAGUUUGGGCACAAACAACAAAAAAUUUAUGUGUUUUGUGACAGUCAGAGUGCCUUGCAUAUUGUAAGGAAUGCACACUAGGAAAGUUUUCAAGAAAGACUGGAGAGGUCACAAUGGUCCCACUUAAAACCUAGACUCCUUAGUCUCUUAUCGCCUUUUGUGACAAAACUUUUCUAAACAUGUAAAAAACCACACAAUUACUCCACUCACACCACUAUUCCCUGCUUUGCACCACAAAAUUCUUGGAUUGCUCCCAUCGUUUCUCGUGAACAGUACUGUAUAUAUAAACAGUACCGUAUAUGUCAACAGUACUCCCGACUCCAAAAAUACAACCAAUAUCUCUGAUACCACUGAUGGAAAAUUGAUGGGUGAAGCAGACACGCAACUAAAGUGAAAAUUGAGAUAUAUUGAGACACAAAAUCACACAGGGAUACCAGAAAUUAUGUGGUUCUACUUUUAGCUUACGUCCACGGGCAAAGACAGAAAGAAAAUAUAUACUAGUGAAAAAGGAGUUACAAGUAUUGUAGUAUUUUAACUCACUACUCAAAACUUCAAUACAUCCAAACUCUCAAAUCACUACUCUCUUAAAUGAAGAAGAAAAAACUAAAGAAAAUUAUAUGAUUCAAAUGAGGGGGAGAACCCUUUAUUUAUAGCCAUCAAAUGGAUACUAUUCAUCUUUUUAUUUUAAUAAUAUUAUUAUUUUAUUAUUUUAUUUCUUUACCCUGAGCGGUGCGGCAUCUCUUUCUUCUUCCUUUUCUUUUUCCCUUUUUUGCUUUGGCUCAGUGCCCCACCGCUCACCUUUUUGACAUUUUCAAAGAAAAUGUAAUAAUAAAUAAAUAAGUGAUUGUUUGGGGGAUAUACUGCAAUCCUAAAUUUGAACUACAGUAUUGGGCAUAGUUUAAACAGCCUUGAAUGCACUUUAAGUUUCUUGUCACCUUUUUAUUUUUUAAACUAUUACUCAAGAGUACAACUCAUAUUACAUAAGAUUACAACUGAUAAUUACAAAUCAAACUAUUACUGGAAUUAGUUUACAUCAAUUCUUAUGAAACUCGCCUAGAUUUUACUCUCUUUAAUAUUCGAGAGAUGUCUCCUCCCCUCAUAUUUUAAAAGGGAGAAAAUUAUCUUCACUUAAAGUAAGAAAGGAAAUUAAACCCCCACAAUGUAUUGUGGGGGUUUGGUGCUUGUGAGCAAGGUCUCUAAGACUAACUCCAUAUUCAAACUUUUAAAAAUAAUUAAAAUAAUAAAGCAAUGAUAAAUAAUUAGAAUUGAUUUUAACCGUUGAAACAAAAUUCAAUGAAUGAGUAGAUAAAUUGAAUAUGGGAUGAAAUAUUACUUCAAUUUAAUAAUGAAACAAAAGAUAUGCAAAUUAGGAAUUAUUUUUUCGCAGCGUGAAUAUAGCAUGAAUGGACCCAAAUUAAAAAUGAUGAGUUGAAUUACCACUUUCAAUUUUCUUUCCAGUUAACGCGUUCGGCAUUUACUAACCGCAUUCGGCAUAUACAUGUAUUUACUAACCAAUAAUUAGAAUAAGAAAUAAAAAUUAUAAUAAAUUAUUUAUUUUAGUUGUAGGAAUCAAAUCAUAACAAACUAUAUUGUCACUCAUCUCUCUAUUUUAUCUUAAAAUCAUAAUGAAUUGUUUUAAAUUAUAAAAAUACCCUUAGUUUAUUUUUAAUAUUAUUUUAUUAUUUAUUAUAUAAUUAUGAUUAUUAUUAUUAAGAAAAUUAUCAUUAUGAGAUUAUGAUUAUUAUUGUUAAUAAUAAUAAUAAUAAGCAUUAUUAUUAUUUUUCUCUUUGAUUUUAUUAUUAUUCUCUCUUCUGUUUCAUCUUUUUCGUCCUCUCAUCAAUUUCGUUUCUUCUUCUUCAUCAACAUCUUAAUUCAAUUUCAUCUUCGUCAUAAUUACAUCAUUAAUAAUAAGGACUCAACUACCUUGCAACAGUUGCAAGGUACCAUCUGAUUUUGUUUUCUUGUGUUUUCAAUUCUUGACUAUUGGAUUUAAUGAAAAGAUAGAUUUAAGGGUAGAGAUUCGUUUAUUUGAAUAUUAGCAUUAUACUCCCUGAUAUUUAUCAAAACGUAAAAAGGCUAAAGAAUUAAAACUUUUAGCACAUAAGUCCAAAUUGUUUAAAAUUUUAUGUUGUUUAAUCAGCAUAGUGAGUCAACAUGUUGCCAAAGUAACCUCUCUUGUGAAAAUUAAUUUAUUUGGAAUAGACAAGAUUCUAUAUAUGUAAUUUCUAUAAAUAUCAAUCGGCCCAAAGGAAGAUCCAUAUUUAAUAGAAUUACAUGUGCAUUUGUGGUAAUAAACACGUGAUGAUUAUUCGGUUUUACAUGUGAAUAAUAAAUCGGCCCAAAGGAAGAUUUAUUGUUUGACAUGUUCUUAUUAUUAGUGUUUGAUUACUACACCAAGAUAUCACUUAGAAGUUAAUAUUUUGUUCAAUGAUGAAAUACUAAUAGAGUGUCUGGUAUCUUGAGAUGGGGUUUACCUUUAUUUGAACUUAAUUUUGUUUUAAGACUAAUAUGAGCUUGUGUUUGUUUAUUUGUUGUUUUCUGAUUCAGUUAUGUCUGCUGUUAAUAUUACGGCCAACAUCAAUUCUAUUCUUAUGCUAAAUGACUCUAACUUCAAAUCAUGGCAAGAGAACAUCUUAAUAGUUCUCCCAGUCAUAGAUCUUAACCUUGUGUUAAGGGUUGAUAUUCCCCCACCUCUUACGGAGGUACCCUUGAUGAUAAGAAGGAUAUAGAAAGGUAUGAGAGAUCAAAUAGCAUGUGUAUCAUUAUUAUGAAGAAGGUCAUUCCAGAAGCAUUUAGAGAUUUAAAGUGUGAAAAUGUAGCUAUGGCUAAAGAGUUCCUUACAUAGAUUGAACAAAGGUUUGUCAAGAACGAAAAGGCUGAAAUUGGUACGCUCUUGACAAGUCCAAUUUCAAUAAGGUAUAAGGACAAGGAUAAGGGUAGAAAAGAAACAAGAAUAAGAAAGUUGCAGAUACAACACCUCAAAAGAAACAACAAAAGAAAUCGGAUGAUCUAGAAGCCACCAGUUGUCUCUUUUGCGAAGCUGAAAGGAAUGUUUUGGUUUGUUAUGAGGUUAAUUUAACUGCGGUACCUAGACACACGUAGUGGAUAGAUUCUGGUGCAAUCGCUCACAUUAAUGUGUCUAUGCAGGAUUGCAUGAAUUGCGGAAAGCCCAAUGAUGGUGAAAGAUACAUCUAUGUGGGUGAUGCAAGACGGUUGAAGUUGAAGCAAUUAGAAAAUUUAUAUUAUUAUUAAAGACCAAAUUUUAUUUGGAUCUUGAUGAAACAUUUGUUGUUCUGUCUUUUAGACGAAACUUGAUGUCUAUUUCCGCUUUGGACAAAAAUAGUUAUUCAUGUUCAUUUGGAAAUGGAAAAUUUAGUUUGUCUCAUGAUUCAAAACCGGUUGGUUCCGGUUCUUUGUCAAGUGAUCAUAAUCUUUAUAUGCUUGAUACAAUUGUUUCAUUUAAUGAAUCCCUACAAUUAAGUACACGAUGUUUAAACAGAAAAUUAACCAAUGAGAAUUAUGUUGCGUUAUGGAAUAAGAGAUAUGCAACAACACUAGAGUGGACGAUGGCAGAGCUAGUGAAAAAUCCAACUAGCAUGAAAAGAAUUAGAGAAGAGGUUACAAGUGUGGCCAAAAGGAAGUUUGUUGAUACUAAAAUUUGGAUUAACUAUGUGCUUACGAACGCAGAGACCGGUCUUAAAGUUCUCUAUGAGUUAAUGGGAGUUGACUCUUGAAUUGGAAUACUUAAUUUGUAAAACAAGAAAAUCGUAAGGGCACAGCACGAAAAACGCUCUUGAUACUUAAGUCAAAAAGAGAUGAGAGCUUCUAGGUUUUUUUUUUUGUAAUACUUAUCUCCAAAUAUAAUAACUUACCUUGUAACAAGGAUUUUUUUUUUUUUUGGGUCUCACCUACUUUCCCAUGCCUUACUUCCUCUUAAAUUCUAGUCUCAUGCCUUCGCCCCACCAUUUACUUAGUUAACCGUAUGCCUACUCCCACACUAGCUUUGUCCUCUUCUUAUGAAAAUUUUUUUGGCUCUUCACCAAAUUACUCAAAACUUAAAGAGUAUUUGGUUGUUUAUGUUACCCUUGGCUUAGACUAUAUUCCUCUUACAAGCUUGACAUUCAUUUCAAACCUGUGUGUUUCUCGGGUACUUUCUCACUCAAAGUGCUUAUUUAUAUUUUGACCCUUCCAUGUCAAAAAUUUUUGUGUCCCGUCAUGUCAAUUUUGUCGAGUCAAUGUUUUCUUUUGCUCCUAUUUCCAAUAAAUCCUCAUGUCCACAAGCUAACAUAAUUGAUACAUGGAUCCCUCCAAUUAUUACUGUCCCCAGUCAAGUAUUGCCACUCUCCCCCCAUCCGAUAAGCCAACGUCCCAGCUGCCCUUGUGUGAUGAUCCUCCAACUAUCAUCAUCUCCACUGAAUCUACACAUACACCUGUAUCUCAACAGCCAUCGUCAUCAACUCUCUCACUUCGACUGACUCUGCUAUUGAAAAGUCAAAAUCGGUGAUUUGCUUAUUCAAAUUGGUUGAAAAAGGAAAGGUAAGCCACAUGCAUAAUUGACUAUUUGGAGGAAGUUGGCACCGCAUGCAUGCAUUUGUCAAUUUUGAAAAAUUUAAUUGCAGAUUUAAUUGACAAUUUGACAAAGGGUUUGGUACAACAAUGCAACCAUUUUGGCUAUAAAUAAAGAUGCAUUCUUCACUUGGAAAUCAUCCAAAAAACUUGAGAGCAUCCCAAAAUUGAGAGCAACAAUUCAAGUAAAGAAUUGAGAGAGUGAGCAAUUGGAGAAUGUUUGUGAUUGAGAGGUUUUUCCUUUCAAGUAUAUGAGAGUAUUGUGUGUAUUUGAGUUUUGGGAAGUGAGAUUUCUUUACUCAAAUUUUGUACUCCAAUAAUUGUUAGUUAUACAAUUAUUUUCUCUUGCUCCCCUGGAUGUAUGCAUAUUGCCGAACCACGUUAAAUUUUGUGUUAUUUAUUUUUCUGCGAUCAUUUGGUGCGCUUGAUUUCACAUUCUAAGCACAACAUCUGCACAUUUGAUUUUACCUCUACAGAGACCUAUAUCUCAACCCCGCCAAACUUCUAUAGAAAUAACUCCCGUCCCUUCUUCGAAUCCCACCUUACUGGUAAGAGCAAUAAAUUUGGUGAGUUAUCAAGAACGCUGGAAGAGCAGCUUGCUACCUUUUUUAUAAGAGAUGUGUUUCCAUCUUUGGGAUGGUUAGAAAUUUUAUCGUGACACAUUGGUCGUCUUAACACAACUGCUAGAGCUUUAGACGCUUUGCUUGAUUAGGUGAUUGAAAAGCAUAUUAAUAAGGCAUCAUCAGAAAGCGAUGGUGAUGAUGACCAAUAUGAUAAAAAGAACUUUGUGGAUAUACUCCUCCAACUUCAAAAGGAUAGCAUCCUUGCGGCAGAGCUCUCUCAGGACAUUCUUAAAGCAAUUAUCCUGGUCAGUCCCUUCCUGUUUAACUAGCUAGUCUUAAUUAUUAGCUCUCUCUAUAUCUUUUACAUCUGUACACAUCAUGCACGCAAAGGUGAACACUUGCAUAUACAUAUACAUACACAUCAUGACUAAAGUUUUUCCAUGUUUCACAUUCUCAGUACAUGUUUGUUGUAGGAACUAAUAGUACUGCGACGACACUAGAGUGGGCAAUGGCAGGGCUAGUAAUCCAACUAGUAUUAAGAGAGCUCGGGAAGAGGUUAGAAGUGUGGUUAAAGGGAAGUUAAAUAUAGAAAUGAAGGACAUUGAGAAGAUGGACUACUUGAAAUGUGUCGUUAAAGAAACUCCGAGGUUACAUCCACCAGUUCCUCUCCUGGUUCCGCGAGAAAUAGCACAGAGGGUCAAAUGGAGAGGUUAUGAUAUUUGAUAACUCUAGGAAAUGAGAGUUAUUACAUCCUUUCUAGACUUAAAUCAAGAUCAUUUAGAGAUCAAAUAAGGUGUUUUUAUUACAUUUUGCAUAAACAUUCAUUUGGGUUGAGUUUUAAUAAAUUUUGCUUGAAUCAAAGUAAUUUGUGCCAAAAACAGGUGUAUAAUUGUAGGUUUUUAGAAAGUCUUAAUUCAUGAGGGGAUGUUGAGACAUUAGAUGAGCAAGAAGAGGAAAGAAGAUGACCACAAAAGAAGUAAAGCACAAUCGGGAAUAGUGCAGUGUGGUUGCGGAUGUUAGAGCAACCAGUGUUGUAACAAUUUGGGAGCAAUGUGGGAGAAAACUUAGGCGCGGGUCAGCCACAAAAUCGCAAUCUGCAUGUUUCCUAAUUUAACGCACGCACGCUCAUGGGCUUUUGUUUACCCUAAUUUGCAAUAUAAAAGGGAGGCGUGCACGACAUAGAAGGCGGCAAGGGAAUUAUCAUUAGAUUAAUUUCAAAGGAAAGAAGAAGAAUAUCAGAAUUGGAGAGUGUUGUUUCGGCAACAUUGAAGAAUCGUGUAGAAUUAUUUGGAUUUGUUUUUCACCGUGCUCAACUUAUAUUUAUAUUCUUCCUUUAACUGUUUGAUGUGUCCCUUGAACAAUAUAUUUAUAUUUAUUUUUCUCAUUCAGAAUAUGAACUAAAUUUACUCGUAGUUGAGUGACAAAUAAUCCAUUGGGUUCUUGACUGUUCUUAUAUGUCGUUAUGUCAUUGCUGUAGCAUUUUACUCUAGUAGUUUUUAUGAAUAUAACUGUUAUUUCGGUUGACCACCCAUUUGAUAGUUUCAGUUAAGAUAGAGCAGCACAAGGGCAUAUCUUAGUGGAUAUUAUUAGAGUAUUACUUGAUCUUAAGUUGAGUUUCCUGGAUUAAGUUAUCUUGAAUCCCAUAAGGGCAAUACUUGAUGUUGAGAUUUGUGACACACUAGACAUAGGUGUUCACCUUGUAGGGUGGAGAGACUAAAGAUCAUAAUGCCAUGCUAUAAGUAGAUUAGCAACUGGUCAAUGUUAGUAGAUUUAAGGGUAUGAGACUUCCAAUAUGCGAUAGCUGAGGAUGCAGAUUUAUUCUGCCCAGUGCUGCAACACUUGCCGUAACAACUGGUGCUAAUUUGAUAAAAAAAAAAAGUCACCCCCAUAAGGAGGGUUUGAUCAUUCAACUACCAUAAUCUCAAUUGAAUCUUAGACACAUUUUACAUAGUUUAUUUCAUUACAGUAUUGUUUUAUUUAAUUCUCUCACAACCAUUAAUUACGAUAGAAAUUACUUUACAAUUGUUAGCUUCGGCCUUAAGUUGAUUUGCACUAUUGUGAUUGCUAUAGCAUUUCGAGUAACAUCAAUCCCUGUGGAGACGAUCUUGAUUACUUAUCACUUUAUUACUUGUUGUGUAGACUUGCACAUUGGCAUUGGUAGCAAUUGCUUAUAAAAUUAACCAACAAUAUUCCUACAAAAACUAGAGUGAUUGUAAAUGCAUGGGCAAUUCAAAUAGAUCCCCAAGUUUGGGACAAGCCAGAAGAUUUCUUGCCAGACAGGUUUUUCACUAACCCGGUGGAUUGUAAAGGCCAAGACUUCCAAUUUAUCCCUUUUGGUGCUGGAAGAAGAGGAUGUCCAGGGAUGUCAUUUGCGUUAGUUACAGUUGAGUAUGUGAUGGCCAACCUUUUGUACUGGUUUGAUUGGGAUUUGCCUCUUGGUGAAGUUGAGGAGAAUUUGGACAUGUCUGAAGUUAAUGGGCUAGUGGUUCAUAAGAAAUUACCUCUUCAUCUUGUGCCAACACUCUACUCCCCUUACUCUUAAUCUUGAUAUGUCUAGAAAAAUAUCCAUUGUACUUAUGUUCUAAUCAUGAUUAUCCUCUUUUAAUUUCCCUCUUGUGAAAAAUUGUCCCCAGCGUUGUCAAUUUUCUUCCAUGUUCGUGGAUUCCUUGAGGAGCAUGGUUUUAUCUAUUUUGUCCCCUGUCCGUAGUAUAUGGGUUCUCUGAUGGAUCUUUUUCUAUAAAUUCUGUCAAUCGAUUAAGUUUAUAGAAAUACAAAAAGUUAACAAUUACCAACGAUGCUCGUAGUCAUGGUUGCAAAAUGUUACGUCCAUCGAAUUGAUGGGAGAUUAAAUACAAUUAAUCAAGAAUUAAUAAUCAUGAAGCUGAUAUUAUGAAAAAUAAAUUUACAUUAUUGACAUAUUGACAGCACGGAAAAUAUGUACAAUCACAACAGCAAUCGUGUUGAUGGGAUAUUAUUUGUCAAAAUUAUUUUUAAUUCUUAUUUUUUAUUCCUGCGGCUUGAAAUCGACUCUAUGUUGAUCACUCAUUUAUUUUCUAAUUCGUAUUUUAUAGUUAUAGAUUUUUAAUUAGAACUACGACCAUUUCGCAUUGGAAAGUAAAGAAAGCAAAAGUUAGUUUACAAAGUAAGGUGGGUUUAUAAUAAUAAACCCAUGAGGAGGAAGCUCAAGCACGCGAGACCAAACACAAUUGAGUAGCCUCAUCUAAGAAUCUUGUAAUUUGAUUGUCGUACAUUGAGGAGUUCAAAUACCAGGUAUUUAACUUUUUUUUUAAUUAACCACUGAUCACUCACCUGAAUUUUUACUCAGUAAUUUGCAUAGCUCACAGUAAGGUAAUGCUUGUUUAUAAAAUAUAUUAAAAUAGAAGUCCUGUGCAUAGAAUAUUUCAAAAUGCUGCAAGUUUCAUAAAACACAUGUAGAUCAACAUAUUAUUCUAUUAUAAGAGAUUUUAUGUAACCAUUGAACUAAUUAACAUUCACAAAUUAAUUUCUUUACAUGUGAGCUAGAUUAAUUUGAACUACAGACCUCUUCUUCCAUAAGAUAUUUUAUGCAUUCAGCUAACAGUCAAACACCCACAAAAAUUAAUUGAGGAUGAAAUGAGAUGUUGAUGCUGAAAUCUGGUCGUCAUUUGCCCGACCUGAUCGUUCCACCAACAUUUGUGUUGUCCACGAAGGGAAGGUUGUACUCUCCUUGCUCUAGCAAUUGUCUGUGUUCCUGGGACCCAAAUCACCAUUUCUCUCCUUUCCAAGCUUGCGUUCACAUAAACAAGUCAGAGACGCUAGUGGUUUUGUCGGCGUAAACCCUCCGAUGCUUAAGUUAGAACAAGGUGUUUACGGGUAAAUUGUAUGAUUUAUAACGAGUAAACUAAAUACAAUAUUCUCGGCACAAUCUGUAUCAAAGAUAUGUGUAAAAUGAGUUAUGAUUUCAAUUUGGCAGAGUUUUCUCUUCUCUCUCAAUUUUUUCAUCCUUUCUUCAUUGGUCUCUUGGCUUCUUAUAGCCAUCAUCCCACGUUUUCUGAGUAUUCCUCAUGCCCCCCAUUUCCGGGUGAUAACAGACCCUCAUGGGUCUCCAACCACCGAAUCGUGGGUAAACGUAGGAUGUCACGUUCUCCCUGGCGGUUCAGGGCAUGGCGAAACUGUCACGAUUUCGUGAGAUCGUGUCCUCUUUCUUUGGGUGAUGAGCAUCUGGUCGGUACGUAUCUCUGGUCGGUGCUCGUUUUUAGUUGGCACAUGCCCGUACACGAUAUUUUACCAGGACUCUGCUCGUGCCAUUCAGCUAGGGAGAUUCGCCUCAGGGUGAGGCAUGAGGGCAUAGCUGAGCUGGUACUUUUCAUUACUCACAUAGCUGAGCUGGUCCUUUUCAUUACUCAACAUGAGAUAGCCUAUAAGCUACGGCAACAAAUUGCCUAGAUAUUUACUGACCAAAUCGAAUUCUACGAGUACUAAUUUCUAUUAUCCUGAUGGCAUUAAAUUAAACCAUAUACACCAAAUUACAUAACAAAAAUAAAUCAUCUCCUACCUAAAUUGUUUCCCAAAUGUCACUCUUUGCCUUAUAUAUUGAAAUUAAUUUCUCAAGAAACACCUCACAAAUUUUUUACUUGCAGAUUGAUUCCAUCUUCCAUAAUGAAGCUACAAAAGUUGAAUAUUUUAUAGUGGCCCACAUGCCAUAUUAUUAAAUUAGUAAUAAUUUAGAAUUUAAAUUAUAAAAUAAAUUAUGGGAUAAAAUCUUAUUGGUUAAUUUGGAAAAAAAAACCAACUGUCCACUUUGAUAGAAAGUGGGAAUUAGAAUUUUAUUAAAAUUGGUCUUGUCUCCACCCAAUAUAAAAAGGGUAUUACGUUAAUUUUUUCUCCAUCAGAAAGUGAGUUACUCUAAAGGGAUUAAGAGAGAGAAAUCAAUUUUGUUCAUCUUUAAUUUUUUACAGUGGGAUUUGAUCAAGAAAAUUUGCUAUGGAUCAAGGUAUAUCUUCUCUCAAUUAUUGAUGAUGUGAAAAUCAUAUUAUUCUAUGAUCUUAAGGAUUAAAGUUUAUACAAAUUAGGGUAUAUUUACUUUAUGGGAAUUGUCAAAAAUUCGAACAAUAAAUAGGUGAACGAACAUACUCAGAAGAAAGUAAAAAAUUAAAGAAAUUAGUCAGCAUGAGAGCAAGUAGUAUCUUAAGCUCAACAAUGGCCAAAUUUUGUAUUAGACACACUCGACGACCAAAUCCAACUGGGAUGUCUUAGAAUUUAAUUCUAAGUGCUAUGGUUGCCCGUGUAGGUGGAGUAUGGUGGAUCUCUAUGUUGAGAAUCAUGGCUGCUGUAAAGGAUAAGGUGAACUAGGCUUAUAGUCAAGGUAGAGUUACUACCAUUCAAGUAGGUGGAGAUUUUUUGAAAGUGGAGAUUUUUUGAAUGAAUUGCAGCAAAAGUUGAAAAACAGUUGAAAAAAAGAACUAACAAAUUUACACGCAUUUUACUUGAAGUUUUAAUUUCUUUGGAAGUUUGCAUGAGCGUCAAAUAAUGGCAUAUGAAUGAAUGCAUGAAAGUCAAGAAAUCUUUUAUGUGCAUGGACUUUCAUCGAUUUCGUAUGAUACUUAAAUUGCGGAAGUGGGCACGUUGACGUCAGUCUAAUCAAUCCAUGUCAUCCGCUACGAGGGAUUAAUUCCGUAAUUAAAAAGCUUGAUAGAGUUGAGAAUUCAACGUGCAAACCCCAAUUGAAGCUUAAUUUGGGGAAUCCCAACCUGAAAUGGCUCUGGUCUCAGUCCCGAUGAAGCAACUGCUGCAGCCUUUUAUGGGCAUAUCAGAAAUUUACAACCUUUCCCUGUCCAUCUUUCUUCUUCUUCUUAUCCCCUUGCUCACACUUGUGCAGUUGCUGAAAAUCACCAGACGUAGUAGUAACCAUCUCAACUUACCUCCAUCCCCACCAAAGCUUCCCAUUCUCGGCAACCUUCACCAGCUUCUGGGAACCCUCCCUCAUCGUUCUCUCAAAGCUCUUUCCGAGCGGUACGGCCCUUUGAUAUUCGUUUACUUUGGCAAUUCUCCUACCCUUGUGGUUUCAUCGGCUGAGUUGGCUGGUGAUAUGUUUAAAACUCAUGACAUUGUGAUCUCGAACCGGCCCAAAACCACACCUGCUAACAUCCUCAUAUAUGAAUGCCAAGAUAUCUCGUUCUCUGAUUACGGCGAGUACUGGAGACAAGUUCGGAAGAUUUGUAUUCUUCAACUCUUGAGUGUGAGAAGAGUGCAAUCAUUUCAGCAUGUUAGAGAUGAUGAAGUUUCAAGUUUGAUCACUAAAAUUCGCCUCUCAUGUCUUAAUAAAGGAGGUCCUCUUAAUUUAACUGAGAUGCUACUGACUGCUUCCAGCAAUAUAGUUUCCCUCUGCGUUCUUGGGAAGAAAGCUGAUGAAGAAGAAGAAAAUAUUGGAGACAGUAAUAAGCUGGGUGAGUUGUCAAGAAGGCUGCAAGAGCAGAUUGCUGCCUUUUGUAUAGGAGAUAUGUUUCCAUCUUUGGGAUGGUUAGAUGUUCUCUCGGGGCUCAUUGGUCGUCUCAACGCAACUGCUAGAGCAUUUGACGCUUUGCUUGAUCAGGUGUUUGAAGAGCACACGAACAAGGUAUCAAAAGUAAGUGGUGAUGAUGAUGACCAAUCUGAUAAAAAAGACUUUGUGGAUAUACUCCUCCAACUUCGAAAGGAUGGCAUGCUUGGGGCAGAGCUCUCUCAGGACAAUCUUAAAGCAAUUAUCCUUGUCUGUCCUUCCUCUCAACCACCUAGUCUUAAUUAUUUUAAUUAUUAGCUCUCUCCUUUUCAAAAAAAAAAACAAUUAUUGGCUCUCUCUAUAUUUUUACAUCUUUUACAUACAUCAUGCACGCAAAAGCGCGCUCUUGCAUAUACACAAACAUACAUCAAUACUAAAGGUUUUCAUGUUUCACAUUCUCAGGACAUGCUUGUAGCAGGAACUGAUACUACUGCAACAACACUAGAGUGGGCAAUGGCAGAGCUAGUGAAAAAUCCAACUAGUAUGGACAGAGCUCGAGAAGAGGUUAGAAGUGUGGCAAAAGGGAAAUUAAAUAUAGACAUGAAGGAUAUUGAGAAGAUGGACUACUUGAAAUGUGUCGUCAAGGAAACUCUGAGAUUGCAUCCACCGGCUCCUCUUUUGGCUCCGCGAGAAAUGGCACAGAGGAUCAAAUGGAGAGGUUAUGAUAUUCCUGCAAAAACUAGAGUGAUUGUCAAUGCAUGGGCAAUUCAAAUAGAUCCCCAAGUUUGGGACAGGCCAGAAGAUUUCUUGCCAGACAGGUUUUUCGCUAACCCGGUGGAUUGUAAAGGCCGAGACUUCCAAUUUAUCCCCUUUGGUGCUGGAAGAAGAGGAUGUCCAGGGACGUCAUUUGCGUUAGCUACAGUUGAGUAUGUGAUGGCCAACCUUUUGUACUGGUUUGAUUGGAAUUUGCCUCUUGGUGAAGUUGAGGAGAAUUUGGACAUGUCUGAAGUUAAUGGGCUAGUGGUUCAUAAGAAAUCACCUCUUCAUCUUGUGCCGACACUCUACUCACCUUACCCUUAGUCUUGGUAUGUGGAGAAAAAUAUUCAUGGUAGUUGUGUUCUAAUCAUGAUUAUCCUCUUUUAAUUUCCCUCUCGAGAAAAAUUGUACCAGUGUUGUCUAUUUUGUUCCAUGUUCGUGGAUACCUUGAGGAGCAAGUUAUUAUCAAUUUUAUCACCUGUCUAUAUCAUAUUGAUCCUCUGUUUGAUCUUUUCUAUAAAUUCCAUCAAUCGGUUAAGAUUUAGAGAAAUGCAAUAAGUUAACAAUUACCAAUGGUGCUAGUAGUCGUGGUUGCAACAUAUUAUAUCCAUCGAGUUGAUGGGAGAUUAAUUACAACUAAUCAAGAACAAAUAAUUAUGAAGCUGAUAGUACGUGUGUGUAUACACACACACACGUGUUGACAGCGACAGCGAAUAUAUAUAAUAAUAACACCAAUCGUGUUGAUGGGAGAUUAUUUGUCAAAAUUGCUUUUUAGUUCCUAUUUUAAUAUUCUUGUGGCUUGAAAGCGACUCUACGUCGAUCAUUUAUUUAUUUUCUAGUUCUUGUUUUAUAUAUACAGAUUGUUAUUUAAAAAUUCCACAAUUUCGCAUUGGAAAGGAAAGAGAGCAAAAUUUGUUUAUAGAGUAACAUUUAGGUCCCCAUCAAAAAAGAAAAAAAAAAAAAAAGGAGGAAGCUCAAGCAUGCAAGACCAAACACAAAUGAGUAGCCUCAUCUAAGAACCUUGUAAUUGGGUUACCUUAUAUAGAUGAGUCCAAGAACCAGGUAUUUAACUAUUUUUGUGUUUUUUUUCAAGUAAUUGCUGAUCACUCACCUGAAUUUUUACUCAGUAAUCUGCAUAACUCACAUAAGGUGAUGCUUGUCUAGAAAAUAUUUUAAAAUAGAAGUCUUGUAAGUAGAAUAUUUCAAAAUGUUGCAAGUUUCCUAAAGCACAAGUAGAUCAACAUAUUAUUCUGUCACAAGAGUUUUUAUGCACCCAUUGAACCAAUUAACACUAAAAAAUUCAUUGCCUUACAUGUAAGCUAGAUUAAUUUGAACUUCAGAACUCUUCUUCCAUAAGAGAUUCUAUCCGUUGGCCCACCAAUCCAACACCCACGCAAAUUUAUUGGAGAUAAAAUGAGAUAGCCUACAGGCUACAGCAACAAAUUACCUAGAUAUUUACUGAACAAAUGGAAUUCUACAAAGUGUUAAUUUUUAUUAUAUAGAUGGCAUUAAAUUAAACCAUAUACACCAAAUUAGAGAACAAAAUUCGAAAAAAAAAAUCAUCUCCUGUCCAAACUGUUUCCCAAAUGUCACUUUUUGCCUUACAUGUUGAAAUUAAUUUCUCAAGAAACACCUAACAAAUUUCUUACCUGUAGAUUGACUCCAUGUAGUGGCAUAAUAAUGAACUUAUAAACAAGUGAGUGAACAAACUCUAGAGAAAGUGAGAAACUAAUGGUGUGUUUACGAAUUGAUGUUGAGUGUCAGAAAGUGCAUAUUUAUAAAGGAAAAAAUCGUCACUUUACAUUUCAAGUCUUACUAAUACUUCUACUUUUAUGUAUUUUAGUCUCUUGUAAUUUAAUUAUGUGUAUUUUAUUUAAUUAAGUAUUUUAUGUAUUUUAGGGGCAUCAUGGUCAUUUUACAAUGAACGAGAGUUCAGACAGCAAAACGGACAUCACUUUUGAACUCAGGAUAUUUGAAAACCUUAAGAGGAGCAUAAAAGGAAAAAUGCACUGUUCACAUGUACAGUACUAUUCACAUGUACGGUACUGUCUACGUUACUGUUUACGACACUGUUCACAUAGACGGAUCGAUGAUGUAGCAUUGACCGAUGAUGUGGCAUUGACUGAUGAGGUGUCACGAUCCUGUUGGACUAAAAUUCUUAUUUACUGUUGAUUGGUGACGUGGCAGCAUAUUAGUGGACCAAAAAAUCGCGCGUACGGUACAUGCAUAUACACAUGAUUAUUUUCAACCAAACCGCGUUAGUGUUCAAACCGCGUGGUCAAACUAUGUUACUAUUCAAACUGCGUGGUCAAAUCGUGUUACUAUUCAAACCGUUUGGUCAAACCGCGUACUGUUGACUGAUGACGUGGCGCAAUCCUGAGCGUCUGAAAUGUUUUUAAUCCGAUAGCCAUGAUUUACUCUAUGUAUCUAUAAAAGAGGGGCUCUUCCCCCCUAAUUUGGCAUCCCUGAAUCCAUUUUUGGACUCCAUUUUCUGUAAUUCCUUCUCUAUCUUGUAUUUUCUAUGUAUUUUAAUAAAUUUUCAUUUUACCCCUAGUUCAAUUAUGAGUAGCUAAUUUUCUUUCAAGCUUGGGUUGAAAGUGAAGUCUCAACAUGUGCUAUGGGCUUUAUUUGGUAAAUUUAUUUUCUCUUCCCCUCUAAUUGAGGUGGAUGUUUUGACUUUUCGUUGACAAAUAGUAAUAAUCUUGUCUAGAUACCGCCCUGGUUUCACCGGCUCCCUAGUACAAGGUUAUUAUUAUUUGGCACGAUAAGCUCUUAACACCAUAUUGAUUAGAGUGUGGUUCAUGAGGUGUGGAUUCCCCCUCAUGAUUUAAUUGGCACAAAUAAGAAAUAUUUAGCCCAUGGUGCAUGUUGAUGUGGAUCCAGAUACCCAAGCACUUCAAUUAUAAUAUUUUCCACUUUAAUUUAAUUCCACCAUUCCAAUUUAAAUUCUAAGAUAGUCUAAAUCACUUUCACCACAAAUCCAACCACCCAUUUAGAAAAAUUAAUUCUACACACAAUUAACAUUUACCUUCUCGUGGGAUCGACACUCAUCACCAUUAAUUUAUUCUACAAUAGAUUCGUACACUUGCAAGUUCAAUAAAAUUUGCACAAUAAUUGAUAAUCAAAAUGAGCUAAAAUCUGAAUAAACCGAAAUUAAAAUGAGGAAUGGGAAUCAAAAUAGAUUUUUAUAAGUUAUAAAAAUGACCUUAAUUAAUUAUUGUCGUCGUCGUCAUUAUAAUCAUCAUCAUCAUUGUUAUUAUUAAUUAAUUAAUUAAUUAAUAAUAAUAAUAAUAAUAUCAUAAUCAUCGUCGUCAUUAUCAUUAUUAUCAUCAUUAGUUUUAUUAUCAUUGAUUGAUAAUAAUAUUAUUGUUUUUAAAAUUACUACUAUUAAUUAUUAGUUUUAUUACCAUUAGUCAUCAUUAUUAUUAUUAUUAACAACAACAAUUACAAGAAUUAGAAAAAUAACAAUAACAAUAACAAUAAUGUAACAUAAUAAAACUAAUUGAGGAUAAAAGUAUAAUUAUGAAAUUUGGAUGAGGGUAAAAUGGGGAGGAGUUCAAGGAAUGGGAACUUGGUUCUCAGCCCCCCACAUGGGAAUCAAGUUCCCAUUCCUUAAUCCAAAAAACAUGUGGGCCUCACAUGUUUCAUUCUUAUUCAUAUUUUUAUUUUACUAAGUAAAUAUUAUCAAUCAUUUCCAUUCUAAAUUUUGAUUCCCUAAUCCGAGAAGUAAAGACACCAUAAGAGAAAUUAGACAGCAUGAGAGCAAGUGGUAUCUUAAGCUCAAUCAUGGCCAAGUUUUGUCCCAGCCAUGCUCGAGGACCAAGUCCAACUAGCAUGUCUUAUAGUUUAAUUCUAAAUGGUAUGAGUUGUAAGAUUUUAUGUCCCACAUGAUUAAUAGGCCCAUGUAGAUAUAUUUGUUAGGUUUAUAUUUUAAUUAUGAGAGAAUAUAACAUUCCUAAUUAGACUCAACUUUGAUGGAAAGUGAAUCAUUAUUAGAAUAUGAAAGUUGGUCCUCUCUCUGCCUAUAAAAGAAACCCUAUUCCAUCAAAUUAGGAUUACACAAAAUAUUACGUAAAACCUAAAAACUAAAAGGAGGCUAAGGGAGAGAAACACAACUUUCAGCAUUAAUUUCUAAAUCCAUGGAUCAAGGUAUGUUCUUUAUGUCUAUGUGAAAAAAAAAAUAUAUAUUCCAAUUUCCUGACUUAUUGUUUAAUAAUGUAUGAUGAUUCCAUGAAUUAUUGGCAUAUUAAAUUUAACAUACGGUAUCCGAGACAGGUUUGAGAAUAUAUGAUUUUUUCGUUUAAAGUUUUAACGACUCUCCCUUUAUUAGUCUGAUCUGUUAAAUUGAAAUUUUAAUCGAUUUAUGAAUCGGUUAUAUAUUUAUUACAUGAUCUCCAGAUUUGCCUUAUUCUAUUAUACGGACAUACUUCAAUUGGUUGUUGAUUGUUUUCGUGUUAAUGCUUAUUAUUUCCGCAUGAUGUUUAAUGAUGAGGCACUUUGGUUUACGUUUAAACUCUUAUGUUACAUGCAUUCACAUGCGAUCAUGGUCAUAGUUACAUGAAUCAUCGUCAAAAACUGAAUCUGGCUUCCUUUACAAGCCGGAAUGUCAGCCACUGUUUGAAUGCUAAGACUUUGGCUUUCUUUGAUUUGGUCAUGGCUCAUGUGCAUGAUAUGUACGUAUAAUAUAUGUCUUAUAUAGUUAUUAUAUAAUGCAAUAAUGCGCAUAUAUAUGUAUAUGAAUGGUUAACAGAAUAUGAACAUGUAUCAAUUAUAUAUAUGCAUAUAAAUGCUUGGUGAUUGCUUAAUUAUAUAUAUAUAUAUAUAUAUUUUAGAAGCAUCAUGGCUGUCACAUGAAUACAUACUGAUCAUUAAUUAGCAUAUAGAAUUAUUAUUGGAGACCUCGAUAAAUUUGUAUGCUUAUUAUUUCGUAUUUACCAAUUAAGGAACUAACGUCAGAUUAAUAGCAAUGAGAUUAUGAUGUAAUUAUCUCAUCAUUGUUAUUAUACAAUAUUGAAAUUCAUAUCAUGAUGGUUUGUUAAUCACCAAAGUGAUCAAACUAGUUGAAGUUUAAAUGAAUAUCAAUUUGCAUAAUGAUAUAUUGUUGUCAUCAAUUACUCAUAAAUUAGUAAUGCAUAAUAAGGAUAAAUGGUGUGAGUAUUUUGAUGUACAUUUUCCUUUUAGUAAAGAAAGAUCGCCCAAAGGUGGAUCAUUUAUUAUUUGGAAAUUGUAAAUUAUUGGGUUAAUUAUUUUUUCAUAUUUUGAUGGGUGCGUUGUCCAAAGAUGACAUACUUAUCUAUGUAGCAAAUAAAUAAUACCGUUAAUGUCAAAUUGCAUUGCAUUACUAUUACUUUGGUGUAUCUUAGUAUCUACCCAAAGGGGAACUCUGAUAUGCAUUAUGGCUUCAUUUAAAUCAUGUAUUCUGAAUCUGAAUAAAGUUUUAUUACAUAGCCUUUUAUCUUAAAGCAUUAAUGUGUAUAAAUGUUAUUAUAUUUUGCAGCAUCUAUUCUUGUUGCUCUUCAUUCGAUUGCUUCAUCUGUUCCUAUAUUUAAUGGAUUAAAUUUCUCUGACUGGUGUGAACAAGUUGAGUUUCACUUAGGUGCACUCGAUCUUGAUACAGCACUUGAACAUGAGAAACCAGCUACUCUUACAGAUGAAAGCAGUGCUGAUGAAAGGUCUUUCCAUAAAGCUUAGGAAAGAUCAAACAAAUUAAGCCUUAAGGUUAUGUGAAUGACUAUUGCGGGCAACAUUAAAACAACUCUUCCUAAACCUAACAGUGCUAAGGAAUAUAUGAAAUUUAUGGAAGAGCGCUUCCAAAGUACAGACAAGUCUCUUGCUGGGACAUUAAUGGCUAACUUGACCACCAUGAAAUAUGAUGGUUCACGUAGCAUGCAUGAACACCUCCUUGAGAUGACUAAUGUAGCAGCAAAGUUAAAUACUUUGGCCAUGACUGUUAAUGAUAGUUUCCUGGCUAGAUUUAUGUUGAACUCUUUGCCCCCAGAGUAUGGGCCUUUCCAGAUUAACUAUAACAGCCUUGAUGAAAAAUGGGAUAUUAAUAAGUUAACUGCUAGGCUUGUACAAGAGGAGACAAGACUUAAGAGUCAGGAAACUAAUGUAAUUCAUCUCACGGUCAAGGAGCAAGAAAGAAGCACAAGAAUAAAUUUGGAAAGGGCAUGAAGCAAGCCUCACUCCAGGUGAAUGAAUUCUCCAAGGCUAUUUUUGCUAAAAAGGAACAAAAGAAAGAUACAUGCCACUUCUGCAAGAAGCCUGGUCAUUAUAAAAGUGAUUGCCUGAAACGUAAGGCAUGGUUCGAAAAGAAAGGUAAGCCUUAUGCUUUUGUAUGUUUCGAGGCAAAUUUAACAGAAGUUUCCUAUAAUACUUGGUGGAUUGAUUCUGGUGCUACUACUCAUGUUUCAAAUACGAUGCAGAGAUUUCUUACGAUCCAAACCAUAAGCCCAAAUGAGCACUAUUUAUUCAUGGGAAAUCGGGUCAAAGUUCCAGUUGAGGGCGUUGGAACCUACCAUUUAGUUUUAGAGACUGGUUAUCAAUUAUAUUUGUUUCAAACUCUUUAUGUUCCUUCAGUUUCUCGCAACUUAGUUUCUUUAUCUAAACUUGACAGUGUGGGUUACUCUUUUAAAUUUGGGAAUGGAUGUUUCAGUUUGCUUAAAAAUUAUCAAUUCAUUGGUUCUGGUUUUUCAUGUGAUGGUUUGUGCAAAUUUAAACUUGAUAACCUAUUUGCUGAGGCCCUACUUACCGUGCAUCAUAAUAUUGGAACUAAACGUAGUAUGAUUUAUGAAAGUUCAGCUUUUCUAUGGCAUAAACGUUUGGGUCAUAUAUCCAAAGAAAUGUUAGAAAGAUUAAUGAAGAAUGAGAUUUUACCAAGUCUAGAUUUUACUAAUCUUGGGGUUUGUGUAGAUUGCAUUAAGGGAAAGCAAACCAAACAAACCAAGAAGGGUGCCAUAAGAAGCUCACAGCUCCUUGAAAUUGUCCACACUGAUAUUUGUGGGCCUUUUGAUGUUCCAUCACUAAGUGGAGAAAAGUAUUUUAUCACAUUUAUUAAUGAUUUUUCAUGUUAUGGUUACAUCUAUUUGUUGCAUGAAAAAUCUCAAGCGUUGAAUGCUCUUGAAGUAUACAUCACUGAGGUUGAAAGACAAUUAGAUAGAAAGGUGAAAAUCAUUAGAUCAGAUAGAGGUGGAGAAUACUAUAGGAAGUAUAAUGAAUCAAGACAAUGUCCAGGUCCUUUUGCUAAAUUCCUAGAAAAGCAUGGCAUUUGUGCUCAAUACACAAUGCCAGGUACGCCACAACGAAAUGGUGUAGCAGAAAGGCAUAAUCGUACCUUAAUGGAGAUGGUUAGAAGUAUGUUAAGCAAUACAUCUUUACCUUUAUCAUUGUGGAUGCAUGCGCUUAAAACUGCCGGAUAUUUACUAAACCGAGUUCCUAGUAAGGUAGUUCCAAAGAAACAUUUUGAAUUGUGGACACGAAGGAAACCUAGUUUAAGCACUUGCAUGUUUGGGGUUGUCCGGCAGAAGCAAGAAUCUAUAAUCCACAUGAAAAGAAAUUGGAUUCUCGAACAGUUAGUGGUUACUUUAUUGGUUACCCAGAGAAAUCCAAAGGGUUUUGAUUUUACUGUCCUAACCAUAGUCUUAGAAUUGUUGAAACCGGUAAUGCUAAGUUCAUUAAAAAUGGCGAAGUCAGUGGGAGUGAGAAACCACGAAAUGUGGUAAUUCAAGAAGCAAGGGUGAAUGUCCAAAUACCCAUUACUUCUCAAAAUAUUGUUCCUAUAGCUAUUGUGCAAGAUGACAAUGUUGAGGAACAAAUUAAUGAUAACUUACCCUAUAAUGAAAUUGCCAUCAAUGAACCAAUUGUAGAAGAACCACAAGAAAUAAUAUUAAGAAGAUCACAUAGAGAAAGAAGGUUAGCUAUUUCGGAUAGCAAUGUGGUUUAUCUACAAGAAUCAGAUUUCGAUAUCGAAAUCAAUAAGGAUCUGGUUGGGUUUUCACAAGCCAUUGAUAGUGCAGAUUCUAAUAAAUGGAUUGAUGCCAUGAAUGAUGAAAUGAAAUUUAUGGAACAAAAUAAAGUUUGAGAUGUUGCUAAAUUACCAUAAGGAUGUAAGAGAGUUGGGUGUAAAUGGGUCUUUAAGACUAAAUGCGACUCUAAUGGUAAUAUCGAACGAUAUAAAGCCAGACUUGUUGCCAAAUGUUUCACUCAAAAGGAAGGCAUUGAUAAUAAAGAGACAAUUUCGUCAGUCUCUAAGAAAUACUCUUUUAGAAUCAUCAUGGCGUUAGUAGCUCAUUAUGACCUAGAGCUACAUCAAAUGGAUGUGAAAACUAUCUUUCUUAAUGGGAAUUUGGAAGAGGAAGUUUACAUGGACCAACUUGAAGGCUUCUCAAUCAAAUGAAAGGAACAUAUGGUGUGUAAACUUAAGAAAUCAAUAUAAGGUCUCAAGCAAGCUUCUCGACAAUGGUAUCUUAAGUUUCAUGAUACUGUAACUUCAUUUGGAUUUAAAGAAAACAUCGUUGAUCGAUGUAUCUAUAUGAAGGUCAGUGGGAGCAAGUUCAUAAUUUUGAUUCUAUAUGUUGAUGAUAUUUUGCUUGCUACUAAUGAUUUUGGUAUGUUGCAUAAGAAUAAGAAUUUUCUUUCUAAGAACUUUGAAAUGAAAGAUAUAGGAGAGGCAUCCUACGUGAUAUGAAUAGAAAUAUUCGGAGAUAGAUCACGUUGAUUGUUGGGAUUGUCUCAGAAAGCAUAUAUUAAUAAAGUCUUGGAAAGAUUUGGAAUGGAAAAUUGUUCUGGAAGUGUUGUCCCUAUCCAAAAGGGAGAUAAGUUUAGUCUCAAGCAAUGUCCAAUGAAUGAAUUGCAACGCAAGCAAAUGGAAAAUAUUCUUUAUGCAUCUAUUGUUGAAAGCCCAAGUUUGUACAAGACCAGAUAUCAGCUUUGUUGUUGGGAUGUUAGGCAAAUAUCAAAGCAACCCUGGAAUGGAUCAUUGAAAAGCUGCCAAGAAAGUACUUAGGUACUUGCAAGGAAAAAAAGAUCAUAUGCUUACUUACCAGAUAUCUGAUAAUGUGGAAGUUACUGGCUACUCAGAUUCAGAUUUUACUGGAUGUCUUGAUAGCAAAAGGUCCCCUUUUGGUUACUUGUUCCUAUUAGCUGGAGGAGUAGUCCCAUGGAAAAGUGCGAAACAAUCUAUCAUAGUAUCAUCAACAAUGGAAGCUGAGUUUGUGGCAUGCUUUGAGGCCAUUUAGGGAUGGCAAUGGGGCAGAUAUGGGUUGGAUCUACUAUGCUCCAGAUCCAAAUCCAUAAUAAAAAUCAAGAUCCGUAUCUGCUCCAGAUCCGUCAUGAAUCCAUAUUUUUCGCUCCAUAUCCAGAUCCAAAAAAGAAAUAAAUAUCUAUAUCUGCUCCAAAUCCGAAAAAAAAAAUUAAAAUCCAAAUCUGCUCUAGAUCCGUCAUGAAUUCUAAAAUUCCAUAAUAAAAAAGUAAUAAUUUUUUAGAUUGAAAAUUGAAGGCUAAAAUAUAUUGAUAACAAAUAAAUUAUAUAAUUUUUCUCAAAAAUAUAAUAAAUAUUGUAGCUUAUACUUUUACACCAAAACAACAAAUAAGAAAAAUAAUAAAAUAUCAUUCCGAAGUAAUUGCAGGAGUAAGAUCAAUCUAAUAUUCUAUUGUCUCCUUCAUCAUUCUAAUAUCUACGAUACACCUACCCUCAUUCCUACAACAUUAGAUAAUGACAUAUAAAUUAAAUAUGAUUUAUAUUCAGUUCUUUAUUAUUUUUAUUAUGACCAUAUUUGACUAAAUAUAUGAAUAACUAUAUUCCUUAAAAAUUAUUUGGCCAAUAUAAUAAAAUAAAUUGCCAGGUUAUAUUACUUGGCUUGCAAUUUGAAUAUUGCAUGUACAUGCUUUGAGGUUGGCUGACCUUUAAAUUUACAAAACUAACCUUUAAGUUUUAAGAGUUUAAAUGCAUGGUAAAUACUACUAAUAUGUUAUGAAUAAAAUUUAUUAUCAUUAUAAUUUCACAAUUGUUAAGAAACUUUUAAAAUAAAAUAAAAUUAAAAGAUGAGUGGAUAUGGAUAUGGAUUUAGAUAUUAAGAUAGAUCCAGAUCUGCUCCAGAUCCAUCUUAGAUCCGCACAUCGAUAUCCAAAUCCGAUCCAAAUCCAUUUUAAACCGAUCCAAAUCCGAUCCGAUUGGAUUUGGAUCACGUGGAUCUUGGAUCAGAUCCAAUCCAUUGCCAUCCCUAAGGCCAUUAUUCAUGGAUUAUGGCUGCGGAACUUUAUUUCAGAAUUUGGGAUUGUCGACUCUAUAGCCAAGCCGCUGAAAAUUCAUUGUGAUAAUUCCACAGCUGUCUUUUUCUCUAAGAAUGACAAGUAUUCUAAGGGUGCCAAACACAUAAAGCUGAAAUAUCUUGUCGUGAAAGAAGAAGUUCAGAAACAAAAAGGGUCAAUAGAGCACAUAAGCAUAGAAAUGAUGAUAGCAGAUCCUUUGACAAAAGGAUUGCCACUAAAGACAUUUGGGAACCACGUGGAAAGAAUGGGUCUAAGGUGUGAUUAUUGAAUUAUAGUUUAUGAUUUUGCUUAAUUUAAGUUAGACACUCUGAGCUCAAUAAAGUGUUUCUAAUAAUUCAUGUUUCAAUUAUUGAUAUACAUGCAUGUAUGAAGUUAAUUGUGAUCAUAACAGGAAUAUAUUUAAUAGAUAUUAAUGUUGGACCUUUUAUUAACAUUCUCAAUUAUGAACCAUGUUAGAUUAUAUAUUAAUAUUGUGGUACACGAAAGGGAGUGUGCCAAAUAUAACGAUGUAUGACUGCCAUGACUCGCAUUGAUAUAUGUUUAACUAUGGUGAUAAUGAUUAGAAUAAAUUGCGCAUCAAUAAUUUAUAAACCGUUAAAGUAAAUGUAUCAUAUGGGCCAAGUGGGAGAAUGUAAGAUUUUAUGUCCCACAUGAUUAAUAGGCCCAUGUAGAUAUAUUUAUUAGGUUUAUAUUUUAAUUAUGAGAGAAUAUAACAUUCCUAAUUAGACUCAACUUUGAUGGAAAGUGAAUGAUCAUUAUUAGAAUAGGAAAGUUGGUCCUCUCUCUGCCUAUAAAAGAAAUCAUAUUCCAUCAAAUUAGGGUUACACAAAAUAUUACGUAAAACCUAAAAACUAAAAGGAGGCUAAGGGAGAGAAACACAACUUUCAGCAUUAAUUUCUAAAUCCAAGGAUCAAGGUAUGUUCUUUAUGUUUGUGAAAAUAUAUAUAUAUUCCAAUUUCCUGGCUUAUUAUUUAAUAAUGUAUGAUGAUUUCAUGAAUUAUUGGAAUAUUAAAAUUAACAUGAGUAUCCAAGUAGGUGGACUAUAGUGAUUCUCAACGUUGAGAAUCAUGGCUACUGUGAAGGAUAAGGCGAACUGAUUUAUUGUCAGGGUGGAGUUACUACUAUUCAAAUCAAAGUGGAGAAUUUUUUAAUGAAAGUGACUUGAAUAGUUUCAUAUUCAUUUGUAGUAAAAAUUGAGAAAAGGAACUAACAAAUUUGCAUGCAUUCCAUGUAAGUUUUAGUUUAUUUUGAAGUUUGCAUGGGCAUUAGAUAUUGGCAUGAAUUUUUUGACUUUUAUAGCAUGCGAAUAAACACAUGAAUGCCAAGAACUCUUUACAUGCAUAAACUUUCAUGCAUUCUUUCAUAUGCUAUAAAAGUCAAAAAAUUCAUGCUAACAUUUAGUGCCCAUGCAAACUUCCAAAGAAACUAAAACUUUCAGUAGAAUGCAUGCAAAUUUCUUAGUUCCUUUCAACUUUUUUUUAACAUAUAGUGCAAAUAAAUAUUAAACUAUUCAAGUCACUUUUAUUCAGCGGCACGUAUAAAUGUGGGUGCUUGCAAGCAACUGUUAUUCCUAAUUUGUCUAGCAUAGCUACCCAACAAUUUUCCAAUUUUCUUAAGUAUUAAAAAUAAUAUUAACAGGAAUAUCCACUAAAAAAUGCAAAAUCAUUGGAAGCUUACCAAGAUGACCCUACUUUGAUGCCACAUGAAAUGAAUCAUAUCCAUUCCCGGCUGCAAUAGACGCAGUUUCAAGGUUCAUAUGUUGAAGCAUCUCUUCAACCAUCAAAGCGCGCCAGUUUGCCACUUUCUGCAGCCACAUAAAGGGGAGUCUCGCCUUCUUGAUUUUGUUUCGACAACAAUUCCUUAGCUUCACUAGAAUCACAAUCCUGCAAAAUCUCUGUAACUCUACUUAAAUUCCCAGUUCGAGCUGGCAAGUGUAGCUGCAAGUGACUUCUUUUUCCUGGUGAAUCCUAAUUCUUCUUCCUCUGUCCACCACUUAUAAAACUCAGCUGUCUCUCCGUCAUUAUGCAAAAACUCUUCUGUUUCUCCAUAAAACUGCAAAAACUCAUGUUUUUCCAUCACAAGUACUCAGCUGUUCAUCAAUAGUCACACCAUGAAAACUCUGCUGUUUCUCUAUCACUACACGAGCACUAGGCAGUUUAUUAGUGCUCGCACCAAGAAAACUCUGUUGUUCUUCUAUAACUCUUUGAAUACUAGGCUGUUUUUCAAAGGUGACACUGCAAAUACUUUGUUGUUUCUCCAUUGUCCGUGUCCUAAAACUACUUUGUUUCUCCAUUAUCAUGGACAGAACUAGACUUAAUACCCAAAACUAGCUACAAAUAUCACUUACACUCAACAUCCAAAUCCUUGAUAUGCCAAAAAUUGAAACCUCAAACCUUGAAUUUCAAAAACCCAGAAAUCAUUUCUUUUCCCCCACGAUCUGUUGAAAAUUGAUUAAAAAAAAAAGAGUUAGAAAAGUCAAAAUGGAACACAUCACUUGAAUUCAAAUUGGAGGUGGCCGAGAACUUUGACAAGCAAUUAGAAGUGGCCAAAACUAUUGAAAUGGUGGCUAUUGAAUGUUGAAAAAUUGACUUGAUUUUAGGCAAAAUUUUGCCUAUAAAAGGAAGCUCACAUUUGAGAGCUUGGCAUCCCAAAUCCCAGAGAAGCAAUCCAAGUUUUGGUGAGAAAUUGAGAGAAAGAAAUGUUCUUAAGCAUGUAGUUAUGUUGUAUGAGUAUUUGACUCCUCAAUAUGGGUAUUACGGAUUUGCUUUGUUAAAGGAUAUUUCUCAAGAUUAUGUAUUUGAGGAUUGGGUGAGAGAAAAUUAUUUCUCAAAGUGUGGUUGUAAUAAUUUUUCACAUAGUGAAUAUUUUUUCUCUGGUUGUCUUUUGACAACGGCUGUGGUUUUUCUCCGGAUUUAGAAUUUUCCACGUAAAUAUUGUGUUGUGUGAUUGGUGUAUUCUCCAUUUAAUUUUUUCUUUUAAUUUGUUGCUUGACAAAUUGUUUAGAGUGAUCUUGUGAGGAAGCUCAAUUUCCUAAUAGUGGUAUGAGAGCCAUUGAUUGAAGUUUUGGUGUCAGGGUACUGUUCACGUAUAUGAUACUAUUCACGUAUAUGGUACUGUUCAUAUGUACAGUACUAUUUACGUGAAGCUAUGUACAAUACUAUUUACGUGAAGCUGUGGAGCCAAUCCAAAUAGUCCGUGGUGAAGAGUAUAGGGUCAUCUGUAAAGCAAAUAUGUCAACAACUGGUGUUUUUUAAACUUGGUGGAGUUUGAUGUUGUUGAAAAAUUAAUGGGAGAAUGAUUUUUUGUUAGCUUGUGGAGAAUUCAAGUCAAAGGCAUGUCCAAUCUAAUAUGCACAAGGAUUUGAUGGUGUGGACAAUUUUGGCACCUCAAGGAAAUUGUCAAGAAGGUGGAGCGGGUUUGGCAAAUUGCUCCCGAAUCAGUAAAGGAAAUACUGAUAUUCUCGCAAACGAUGAGUUUCUUUUUAUAAGAAACUAGUUUAGUUCUUUUGGCAUGUAGAUCUCCAAGUUGUCAUGAAAGAGAACAUGUUAUUAUCAGCGGGGUCCACAAGUUUGCACGCGAUCAUUGGUUUGGUGUAAAUGCAAGGUGUGUGGUGGAAAAGUUAUGUCAUGGCUGAAGAAUUCUUAGGGAAACCAAGCAUGAGAAUUGCACCAUAAUUUUCAGCGGAUAUGUUCGACAUGUGCCGAGAAAAACCUUAGAGUGGUUGAUUCUAAGUGGUAUGCUCUUUAUGGUGGAGUAUAAUAAUUCUCUAUGUUGUGGAGUAUCAUAAUUCUCAACUUUGGUGAAGAUAGUGUUUUGUAGUAGUGGCUAUGAAUUUUUUUUUUCUUUAAUUAAGGUGGAGAUUGUUGAAAAUUAAUUAUAAAAAAAGAGUUGAAAAGUCAAAUUGGAACACAUCAUUUGAAUUCAAAUUGGAGGUGGCCGAGAAAUUUGACAAGCAAUUGGAAGUGGCCAAAACUAUUGAAAUGGUGGCUAUUGAAUGUUGAAAAAUUGGCUUGAUUUUAGGCAAAAUUUUGCCUAUAAAAGGAAGCUCUCAUUUGAGAGCUUGGCAUCCCAAAUUCUAGAGAAGUGAUCCAAGUUUUGGUGAGAAAUUGAGAGAGAGAAAUAUUUUUAAGCAUGUAGUUAUAUUGUAUGAGUAUUUGACUCCUCACUAUAGGUAUUACGGAUUUGCUUUGUUAAAAGAUAUUUCUCAAGAUUAUGUAUUUGGGGAUUGGGUGAGAGAAAAUUAUUUCUCAGAGUGUGGUUGUAAUAAUUUUCCAUAUAGUGAAUAUUUUUUCUCUGGUUGUCUUUUGUCAACGGCCGUGGUUUUUUUUUCUGGAUUUAGAGUUUUUCACGUAAAUCUUGUGUUGUGUGAUUAGUGUAUUCUCCAUUUAAUUUUUUCUUUUAAUUUGUUACUUAACAAAUUGCUUGAAGUGAUCUUGGGAGAAAACUCAAUUUCCUAACACGAACAUCCACAAAGCUUCACACAAAUUGAUAUCAAAAUAAAAUAAUUAACUUUCUUGCAAUCACAACUAUGAUUCCCUAUAGGCCAGUGCUACGUUACGUUAAUCGUAACGUACGCCACACACAGCAACAGUAACGGGUCUCACUAUAGGAACUGUUGCUGUGUGGAUGUACGUUACGAUUAACAUAACGUAGUGGGAUCCUUCCCUAUAAUUACAAUUUCAAGUCUCUAAUUCAAGAGCCAAAUUUUACCCAUUUCAGCAAAGAUCAGAACUAUUGCUCUACACAUUCAAUCAGCAAACAUAUCAAAAACACUACUCACAUAGCAAUAUAUAUCAACAACGAUUCAGGCUCAAAAUCAAACCAAAAAAAAAAAAAAAUAGAGCCUUGGAAAUGGGUACCUUGCUUUUUGAGCUAAAACUCAAGUCUUUGUGGUUACUGGGAAAAAAAAUUGAAAAUAAACGAAGCCAGAUCAGUAAUCCACUAAAUUGAAGAACCCAGAAACAAAUUUGUAAAUUUCAAAAGAUCAUGACCUCAAUCAAAUCCUCAGUUCUUUUGGCCGCUGCGGCGUACCUUAGAGUGAAGACAACUGACAUAUAACAAGCACUUUAGAAUGUAAACCGCUACCAGACUACCGGUUGCUUGUGACGUUAUUUUUAUUUUAUAAUUUUCAACAAUUAAGAGGCUUUAUCUUUUUUAUUUUAUUUAUUUUUAUAUUCAUUUUAGGCCACUAAGUUGCAUUAUCUGAAACUUGCUGAAAAUAGAUCCUGUCUUUUAUUAUUUUAUUUAUUUUUUUAGGUAAAUUUUGGUCUCGUUGUAUAUUAGAGUAAAAUUUGUGUGGCGAUGUGGUCGGCCGUCGGCGUCGGCCUACUCAUCAGGGACCGUUAUUUGGUAAGUUCAUUAAUUUUUUGAAAAUACCAAGUGUCUAGAAGCGAGAGAUGACACAUGGUAAUGUCGUUUCUCUCCCCAUUAGCUCGUGCCCUUCUAGAUAAAAAAAAUUAAAAAAUUAUAAAAUUAUAAAAAAAUAACAAUAAUAUUUUUUUUGAUAUUAAUCACGAGGUAUUCUGGGGAGGGCCCCAACUGUGGGAGGCACCUUUAAGCCUGUACCACAACCCAGAUUAGAAGUCCCCGCUCGAACCGGGAGGCACAGGUUCUCCCAACAAAGGUGACUUCCCUGCGACUCGAACUGGGGAGCAAACCCAGUCAAGCCACUUAAGGGGACUCCAUUGCCAGUGGAGCCAACACUUUGUUGAUAAAAAUAACAAUAAUAUAAUCAAGAGAAAACUACCUCAGAUCUUAAUAAUCUCUUUAAUUACUAAUUUUUCCCUCUAUCGUAGUAUUUAUUUGUACAAGGCAAGAAAAUUUUCUCAAAGAGAAACACAUUUGUUCCUUAUUACCACUUCCGAAGAAGAAAAUAAGCUCAUGUCUGUCAAAAUUGGCUACAUCUAGAAGUGUUGAAUAAACAAGAAUGGUUGGCAUGGCUGCAUCUAGAAGCUUUGACAAGAAUGGUUGGCACAUGGCUUUGAAAAUUGAACAUGGUUUUCACCCACCAAGCUUUGAUGAACACGGUUUUGAAGAAGAUUUUGAUACCCACGGCUUUGACUUUCUUGGCCAUCAUUUUGCUAUAAAUACAAGUGCAAAUGAAGAGCUUAUUCAUUCCAUUUUAGAGAGCAAUUUAGGGAGUUGAGAGAGAGUUUAAGAGCUUGCAUUUAUAAGCUCUUAUUACAGUGAUUGAGAGAGUUUGGGUGUAUUGGGGUUUUGGGUAGUGAGCUAAAAUACUACAAUACUUGUAACUCCUUUUCACUAGUAAAAUAUUUCCUUCUGUUUUCGCCCGUGGACGUAGGCUAAAAGCCGAACCACGUAAUUUCUGGUGUUCUCUAUUGUGCUUGUUCUUUAUUUUCUUAUAAUUUCACUUUAGCUGCGUGUCUGCUUCGCCUACCAAUUUCCUAACAGUGGUAUCAGAGCUAUUGGUUGUAUGUUUGGAGUCGGGUACUAUUCACGUAAGGGCACUAUUCACAUAUACGGUACUGUUCACGUACACGGUACUAUUCACGUGAAACGGUGGGAGCGAUCCAAGAAUUUUGCGGUGCAAAGCAGGGAAUAGUGGUGUGAGUAAAACAACUGUGUGGUUUUGUACAUGUCUAGGAAAGUUCUGUCACAAAGGCGAUAAGAGCUUAAGGAGUCUGGGUUUUAAGUGGGACCAUUGUGACCCCUCCAGUCUUUCCUGGGAACUUUCCUGGUGUGCAUUCUCACACAUACUCACAACUAUUCAAGGUGGUAUACUUGCUUGUGUGCAGUAUUUAUCAACAAAAUGGCGGCAAAGUAUGAAAUUGAGAAAUUUAACGGAAAUAAUUUUUCGUUGUGGAAAAUGAAGAUGAAAGCUGUAUUGAGGAAAAAUAAUUGCUUAGCAGCAAUUGGAGAAAGGCCCAUGGAGAUAACUGAUGACAAGUGGAACGAGGUAGACGGCAACGCCAUUUCUGAUCUACACUUGGCACUUGCAGAUGGAGUAUUAUCUAGUGUGGCAGAGAAAAACACAGCGAAGGAAAUAUGGGAUACUCUCACAAAAUUGUACGAGGCCAAGUCACUACACAACAAAAUCUUCUUGAAGAGAAAACUCUAUACUCUUCGAAUGGCGGAAUCUACAAUGGUGACCAACCACAUCAACACCUUGAAGACUCUAUUUUCACAACUCACAACGUUGGGUCAUAAUAUAGAGGAAAAUGAACGUGCAGAGCUUCUACUUCAAAGUCUACCAGAUUCGUAUGAUCAACUCAUCAUCAACCUGACGAACAACAAUCCAGUGGACAGUCUAGUUUUCGACGAUGUUGCAGCCUCCGUAUUAAAUGAGGAGAGCAUGCGGAAAAAUAAAGAAAACAGACAAGCAAGUUUGCAGCAAGCGGAGGCGCUAUCGGUGACGAGAGGGAGAUCAACAGAAUGUGGCCCCAGUAGGAGUCAAAGUCAUGGUAGAUCAAAAUCCAGAAGUAAGAAGAAUGUUAAAUGCUACAACUGUGGCAAGAAAUGGCACGUUAAGAAAGAGUGUUGGAGUAACCAAAAGAGAAAAGAGGGCAAAGAACCUGAGUCAUCAAAUGCUCAGGGUUGUGUAGCAAGUACCUCAGAUGAUGGCGAAAUUCUUUACAGCGAGGCAACAACUGUUUCAGAAGGCAGAAAACGGCUGUCUGAUGUCUGGCUGAUAGACUCAGGAGCUACCUGGCACAUGACCUCUAGGAGAGAAUGGUUCCACACAUAUAAACCUAUCUCAGGAGGAUCUGUGUAUAUGGGAGAUGAUCAUGCCUUGGAGAUCGCUGGUAUUGGUACUAUCAAAAUAAAAAUGUUUGAUGGUACAAUUCGCACAAUUGGGGAGGUACGACAUGUCAACGGCCUAAAGAAAAAUCUAUUGUCUUUGGGACAAAUGGAUAGUCAUGGGUACAAAACUCAUGUGGAGAAUGGAAUUAUGAAGAUCGUUAAAGGAGCGCUUGUAUUGAUGAAGGCAGAAAAGAUCGGUGCUAAUCUAUUCAUGCUUAAAAGAGAAACACUACAGGAGGCUGAUGCGUGUGUCGCAUCAAAUGGAGAAGAGUUAACGAUGAUGUGGCAUCUCAAACUUGGCCACAUGUCGGAACAAGGUUUGAAGAUUCUCUCUGAGAGAAAAUUACUUUCGGGGCUCAAAUCGGUAAGUUUACCAUUUUGCGAGCAUUGUGUUACAAGUAAGCAGCAUAGAUUAAAAUUCAGUAGAUCUAUUGCUAGAAGUAAAUGCAUUCUAGACUUGAUUCAUUCUGAUGUUUGGGAAUCACCGGAUAUAUCCAUGGGAGGUGCAAAGUACAUGGUGACUUUCAUUGAUGAUUAUUCCAGAAGAUGUUGGGUGUAUCCAAUUAAGAAAAAGUCAGAUGUAUUUCCUGUGUUUAAAGAAUACAAAGCGCGGGUGGAACUUGAAUCUGGUAAAAAGAUCAAGUGCUUGAGGACAGAUAAUGGUGGAGAGUAUACAGACGGCGAGUUUCUUGCUUUCUGUAAGCAAGAAGGUAUUCAGAGGCAGUUCACAGUGGCAUACACUCCUCAACAAAACGGAGUGGCGGAGCGGAUGAACAGAACUCUUACAGAAAGAAUAAGAGCUAUGUUGAAGACUGCUGGUCUACCCAAUUCAUUCUGGGCAGAAGCAGCCAAAACUGCAUGUUAUAUAGUAAAUCAGUCGCCAUCUACAGCAAUUGGGUUGAAGACGGCGAUGGAGAUGUGGACUGGAAAGCCAGCUGAUUAUUCCUACCUACAUGCAUUUGGAUGUCCUGUGUACGUGAUGUACAAUGCCCAAGAAAGAACAAAGUUAGAUCCAAAAUCUAGAAGAUGUAUCUUCUUGGGAUAUGCUGAUGGAGUAAAGGGGUAUCGUCUGUGGGACCCCACUGCCCACAAGAUCGUCAUCAGCAGAGAUGUUAUCUUUAUAGAAGAUCAACUGCAAAGGAGAGAUGAGGAUGAUGGCACUACAAAAGAAAAGUCAGAGAUCAUGCCAGUAUAUGUGGAAAAUAAUAUAGAAGAUUCAGAUUCUUCUGAAGCAGCACCAGAGAACGAGGAACAAGAACCAGUCGAGUCCGAGACUCCAGAAGUUCGCCGGUCAACUCGUGAGAGACGACCGCCGGUGUGGCACUCGGAGUAUGUCACAGAGAUCAACGUUGCAUAUUGUCUUCUAACGGAGGAUGGAGAACCAUCAACUUUCCAUGAAGCUUUAGAAAGCUCAGAUAUUGCUUUGUGGAUGACAGCAAUACAGGAAGAAAUUGAAGCUCUACACAAGAACAAGACAUGGGAACUUGUACCACUACCACGUGGAAGAAAAGCCAUUGGAAACAAAUGGGUCUACAAGAUCAAGCGUGAUGGCAAUGACCAAGUGGAGCGGUAUCGUGCAAGAUUGGUGGUGAAAGGAUAUGCUCAGAAAGAAGGUAUUGACUUCAACGAGAUAUUUUCUCCAGUGGUUCGACUCACAACAGUCAGAAUAGUCUUGGCGAUGUGUGCUACAUUUGACCUACAUCUUGAGCAGUUAGAUGUGAAAACUGCAUUUCUUCAUGGAGAACUUGAAGAAGAAAUAUAUAUGCUCCAACCAGAAGGUUUUGCAGAAACAGGAAAGGAGAACUUGGUUUGCAGGUUGAACAAAUCUCUUUACGGUCUCAAACAGGCGCCGAGGUGUUGGUAUAAGAGAUUUGAUUCCUUCAUCAUGAGCCUUGGAUACAACAGACUGAGUUCAGACCAUUGUGCAUAUUACAAGAGGUUUGAAGAUAAUGAUUUCAUUAUUUUGUUGUUGUAUGUGGACGACAUGUUGGUAGCAGGUCCCAACAAAGAUCGAAUCCAAGAAUUGAAGGUACAGUUGGCUAGGGAGUUUGAAAUGAAGGACUUGGGACCAGCAAACAAGAUUCUAGGGAUGCAAAUUCACCGAGACAGAAAUAACAGGAAGAUUUGGCUUUCGCAGAAGAAUUACUUGAAGAAAAUCUUGCGACGCUUCAACAUGCAAGAUUGUAAGUCAAUUUCUACCCCACUUCCUGUUAAUUUCAAAUUAUCCUCAAGUAUGUGUCCUAGUAAUGAAGCAGAGAGGAAGGAGAUGUCUCGAGUACCGUAUGCAUCAGCAGUGGGAAGUUUAAUGUUCGCUAUGAUAUGUACAAGACCGGACAUUGCACAAGCAGUGGGAGCAGUCAGUCGAUAUAUGGCGAAUCCUGGUGGAGAGCAUUGGAUAACUGUGAAGAGGGUUCUGAGAUACAUCAGAGGAACCUCAGAUGUUGCAUUAUGUUAUGGAGGAUCAGAGUUUACUGUCAGGGGCUAUGUGGAUUCAGAUUUUGCAGGAGACCUUGAUAAAAGGAAAUCCACUACUGGUUAUGUGUUUACACUUGCGGGAGCAGCUGUAAGCUGGGUUUCGAAACUGCAGACCGUUGUGGCUUUAUCUACAACAGAAGCAGAGUACAUGGCAGCUACACAAGCUUGCAAGGAAGCUAUUUGGAUACAAAGGUUAUUGGAGGAGCUCGGGCACGGACAAGAGAAAAUUUCUGUAUUUUGUGACAGUCAGAGUGCCUUACACAUUGCAAGGAAUCCAGCCUUUCAUUCCAGGACAAAGCACAUAGGAGUCCAGUAUCACUUCGUUCGUGAAGUAGUGGAAGAUGGAAGUGUGGAUUUGCAGAAAAUCCAUACAUCAGAGAACCUAGCAGAUGUUUUGACCAAGCCGAUAAAUACUGAUAAGUUUGUCUGGAGUAGAUCCUCUUGUGGUCUAGCAGAAACGUAGGCAACAUGAUUAUGGCGAAGCAGAAAGGAUGGUGUGGAGAUUGAUUGUUUUUCAAUUUAAUCUCCAAGUGGGAGAAUGUCAAAAUUGGCUACAUCUAGAAGUGUUGAAUAAACAAGAAUGGUUGGCAUGGCUGCAUCUAGAAGCUUUGACAAGAAUGGUUUGCACAUGGCUUUGAAAAUUGAACAUGGUUUUCACCCACCAAGCUUUGAUGAACACGGUUUUGAAGAAGAUUUUGAUACCCACGGCUUUGACUUUCUUGGCCAUCAUUUUGCUAUAAAUACAAGUGCAAAUGAAGAGCUUAUUCAUUCCAUUUUAGAGAGCAAUUUAGGGAGUUGAGAGAGAGUUUAAGAGCUUGCAUUUAUAAGCUCUUAUUACAGUGAUUGAGAGAGUUUGGGUGUAUUGGGGUUUUGGGUAGUGAGCUAAAAUACUACAAUACUUGUAACUCCUUUUCACUAGUAAAAUAUUUCCUUCUGUUUUCGCCCGUGGACGUAGGCUAAAAGCCGAACCACGUAAUUUCUGGUGUUAUCUAUUGUGCUUGUUCUUUAUUUUCUUACAAUUUCACUUUAGCUGCGUGUCUGCUUCGCCUACCAAUUUCCUAACAAUGUCAUGAAUAAUGUGAAGCCACAAAACCAACUUAACCACAGAGUUUUUAACCAGAGAGUUUAUAUGAAUAAUAGCAAGCACGAGAAAAGAAAAAGAACAGAGAGAUCGGAAAUUUUUCUGAAAGAGACACACAUUUACUCCUUGUUACCACUUCUGAAAAAGAGAAUUCAUAUCUAUAUAUUCAUAUCCCGUAGCCCACGUUUAUCUUAUAAGCUUAUCAUGCUUUUGCAUUCCCAUUACCCAAAACCAAAAACUGCAAAAUACAUGGAGAUCAGAUCUCAAGUAAUCCACAAUUCCAGCCAACGCCUCAAAAAACACGCAAUUCCAUAAUGGUAAACUAAACUAUGUACGAGUGCGUGAACGAGUGACCGUGUCGUCGUCGGCUACUAUUCGAGAGAGCCGUUCCAGAGAGGGAAGAAAAUGGCGAAGACACAGUGGGUGAGGAUAAGCUGAUAGAGUAAGGGAUUUUGUCUUCAAUGUCGUCUCAAUUCAAAAUUAGUUUUUAUUAAAAUUUUAAUUUUUUUUUUAUCUAGAAGGGCGCGAGCUAGUGGGGAGAGAAACGGCAUUUCUGCGCAUCGAUAUGCCGUUUCUCUCGCCCUUUUAGACAAUAACUAGCACUCUUAAUUUUUUCAUUUAAUUUUUUAGUAUCAUUAUCGAAUUCACUAAAAGUGAAUUUAGUACACUAUAUUAUAUUAUAGUAUAUUAUAUUAUGUUGUAUUGUAUUAGUAAUGUAUUAAAAUAAUACCGUACAAUAUUUGAUACUAUAUUAUACUGUAUUAAUUUUUAAUUAUACGAUAUUUGAUGCUGCACUGAAUUGUAUUAACUUUUUGACGAUUAAUUUAAUUACAUAUUUAAAAAAUAAUAUCCAUUAAUACUUAGAAAAAAUACUAAAUAUAAAAUUCUUAAAAUUCUUAAAAUUUAACAUUAUUGUAGUAUAAUUUAAAAAAAAAAACAUAAUUCUUUAUAAAGAUCGAAGUUUAUAACCUUAAAUUUUGGACAGCAUAACAUUUAUUUUUUUUAACUUUUUCUAAAUAUAUAACUUAUAAAAUAAAAAAUAAAAAAAAUAAUUCAAUUAAAUAACCUUUAAAUAAUAUCAAAACAUAAAUAAAAUCCAAAACCUCCAAUCGUAUUAUUUUAAUAUCAUAAAUUCAAAUUCCAUGAUUGCUUAAUUCUUUGAAGCUAGCAACAUAUGCAUUUAUCACUUUCAGUCUCAAAGAAUUCAAAACCUCCAUUACUCUCACAUACCCAACAGACCAAUGCUCAUAAAACCUAAAUGAUUUGAGAAAAACUCACCUAGAAGCUACAAACUCAAAUCAAUAUGCUUAUGAAAUUCAAGAUGUUAAAAGCCUAGCACUUGCACACUGUCAUGUGUCAACCAUGCUUCCUGGACGUUAAAAAACAUAUCAAUAUUGUUGCAGCUAAGUAAUGCUCGGUUAACAUAUUAGUAUUCUUGCAGCUAAGUAAUGCUCAGUUAGCCACUUGGGCUUUAGCACAAUGGUGAACCAUUACUCUCAAAGUUAAAGUGAGACUAUAAAGAUAGUGACUCGAGUCUCUAUAGGCUCAACCUCCCUCAAUUAAGCAAAAAAUUUUGUUGAGUUAAUUUGCAAGUCUUUAUGUCUUACGAAAUAUGAGUGGAGAAGAGUAGGGUUGGCAAAAUCUGGAUCUGGAUUAAUAAUUUUACAUCCGGAUCCGCAAAAAAGAUGCGGAUCUGGAUACGGGUAAUCCGGAUCCGCAAAAAUUAAAAUUUAAUAUAUAAUUUAAAAAGUCAAUAAUUUACCUAAUAAUAUCAAAUAAAAUCCAAUCAUAAUUUAACAAUGAAUAAUUCAACAUGAAUAGCAUACAAAUAAUCUUAUAAAUCUACAAAUAAAAUAAAAAUUUUCAUUUUUUAUUUCAUUUUUAAUGUAUAUUUUUUAUUUAAUUUUUAAUUUAAAAUAAAAUUCAAUAAUUUACCUCAUAAUAUCAAAUAAAAUUCAAUAAUUUCCAAUAAUUAAAAUUCAAUAUGAAUAAUAUACAACAUAAUAAAUCCACAAAUAAAAUUUAUUUUUAAUUUAAUUUGUAAUUUAAAAUAAAAUUUAUCCGGAUCCGGAUAUUCGGUUUUUUGGAUGCACUUGCAUCCGGAUCAAUGUGGAUCCCCAUCUUUCACAUCCGGAUCCGCAUUUUUUAAUAUGUACCCAGAUCCGGAUCUUCCAGAUCUUUGCAAAUCCGGGCCGGAUCUAGAUUUAUUUGACAUCCUUAGAGUAGAAACAUCCCUCGUCUGCGAGGGUCAUAUGUCUGGAUAUGUAUUUUAUAGAAUUAAUAUAAUAAUGUAAGUUUCAGUUAUACAUAUGAUUGUAAAUAUCUGUGUAAUAAAAUAAUCUGAUGCAUAAUUAAUAUUAAAAAAAAAAGUAAUGCUCAGUUAAGGCAACGCUCACCUAAGAUAACGUAAAAGCAUCAGAUGAACACUCAUUUGGAGCCCAUCUCCAUAACACGUCCUCAAAAGCAUGUAACUUUGCAUUGGAAAACAUCUCUUGUUUCUAAUAUGAAAUGAAAAUUAAAAACAAACAUAUUUGCUGUAGCAGUUCCUCUCCUAAAACAAAAUUAAUAAGGAUGAAAUACAUCCAAAUAACAAAAAUUUGCAAUAAGUAAGAAAAGAGCAACAAAACCAAAAAGGUAACCUAGUAAACACCCUUAAGAAUUGAGAUCGUUGACGACAUCAUAAGGAAUGGGAUCGACAGUUUCCAAUGUUGCACCUUCUACCAUAAAACUUAGUGACUGCUUCUUUAUACUGAUGACUUCACCUCUUGCCUUAGCUUCAGUCUUGAGUUCCUCUGCUUGAACUCGUUAGUAUCAGUAUACGUUGAAGUUUGAACAUGCUCCACAGGAACACGAAUCCUCUUCUUAAUGAUUUCUGUUACUAACCUGAAUACAUGCAUAUAUUGAACAAAAUUCAGUAUUCUAUCAUCAAAAAAUGCAUAUGCAGGCAAUUAUAAUCAAUUCAGGCAAGUUAUAAGUCAAUCCCAUAUGUCCAAUUAUGAUGGAGAAGACAAUUAUAACAAUACAAAUUUUAAAAACUUAUAAUUGCUUGAUUAUAUUCAUUAUAGUUGUUUAUGAUUCCGAAGAUAAAUAUUGAUUCAUGAUUACUAAAAUAAAUGAAACAAAAUUGAAUGACUUAAUUUAAGGAUCAUGGAUGAUUUAGCAUAAUGUCUUCUUCUGACACUUGCAUCUAUCAAUGGAUUAGAAAAGUUUUUAAAUUUUGGAUUUUUAUGGAUUUCUCAAAUCUUAUGAUGUAUGUAAUGUAGCAACUUUGUUCAAUCAAUAAUUAACAAUGAAAGUUUAUUUACUAUGCUUUAACACUUCUGCCACGUUCGUCAGUGUACGAAUUGCAAGAAAGAUUGCUCCUCAGAUCUAUUUGAGUUUGGAGACUAAUACUGCAAGUGAUGCAAGACCUAUAGAAAACUCGAAAAGCUCAAAUUUGAAAAGAAUCCUUAAUUCAUAUUUGGUAAUUAACUAAAAACAGUUACAGUAAUUACCAAGUAGUUAGAAAAUUCCAUGCUUUUAUAGCCAGCUAUAGAAAGCUUUUAAAUAAUUAAGAAAUAAAAACCAAGUUUAUUCAUUAAUACCGAACAGUUUAUUAUAGGUUUCAGCUAAUAAUAAUGCUCAUGCGCUAUUACAUUACUAUCGAUGAAAUUUCCAAAACAGAGGAAAAGGAAAGAGCAAUCAGACAUGCAAAUUAAAUUGGCGGAAAUCUUAUCUUUAAAUUGGAUAUCAUUGGCUUGUAACAAAAUCAGCAUGGAGCUACUAGUAAUGCUCAUAUUCUAUUACAUCACUAUUGGAAGAAAUUUCAAAAACAGAAGAAAACGAAAGAGCAAUCAGACGUGACAAUUGAAUUGGUGGAAACCUUAUCUUUAAAUGUGAUCUCAUAGGCAUGUCACCUGCUACAAGGGAUUAGUUCCUUCAUUGAAAAGCUUGAUAGAGUUGAGAAUUCAACGAGCAAACCCCAAUUGAAGCUUAAUUUGGGGAAUCCCAACCUGAAAUGACUCCGGUAUCAGUCCUGAUGAAGCAACUGCUGCAGCCAUAUAUGGACUCAUCAGAAAUUUACAACCACCCUCUGUCCAUCUCUCUUCUUCUUCUCAUUCUCCUGCUCACACUUGUACAGUUGCUGAAAAUCACCAGACAUGGUAGUAACCAUCUCAACUUACCUCCAUCCCCGCCAAGGCUUCCCAUUCUUGGCAACCUUCACCAGCUUCUGAGAACUCUCCCUCAUCGCUCUCUCAAAGCUCUUUCGGAGCGGUACGGCCCUCUGAUGUUCGUUCACUUUGGCAACUCUCCAACUCUUGUGGUUUCAUAGGCUGAAUUGGCCGGUGAAAUGUUUAAAACUCAUGACAUUGUGUUCUCAAACCGGCCCAAAAUCACAGCUGCCAACAUCCUCCUAUAUGAAUGCCGAGAUAUGGCGUUCGCUAAUUACGGCGAGUACUGGAGACAAGUCCGGAAGAUUUGUGUUCUUCAACUCUUGAGUGUGAGAAGAGUGCAUUCGUUUCAGCACGUUAGAGAUGAUGAAGUUUCAAGUUUGAUCAAUAAAAUGCGCCUUUCAUGUUUUAAUAAAGGCGGUCCUCUUAAUUUAACAAAGAUGCUACUGACUGUUUCCAACAAUAUAGUUUCCCGCUGCGUUCUUGGGAGGAAAGCUGAUGGCGAAGAAGAAAAUACUGGUCAGAGCAAGAAGUUUGGUGAGUUAUCAAGAAGGCUGGAAGAGCAGCUUGCUGCCUUUUGUAUAGGAGAUACGUUUCCAUCUUUGGGGUGGUUAGACGUUCUCUCCGGACUCAUUGGUCGUCUCAAAGCAACUGCUAGAGCAUUAGACGCUUUGCUUGAUCGGGUGAUUGAAGAGCACACGAACAGGGCAUCGUCAGGAAGUGACGAUGAUCAUGACCAAUCUAAUAAAAAAGACUUCGUGGAUAUACUCCUCCAACUUCGAAAAGAUGGCAUGCUUGGGGCAGAGCUCUCUCAGGACAAUCUUAAAGCAAUUAUCCUGGUCUGUCCUUCCUCUUAACUAGCUAGUCUUAAUUAUUCUAAUUAUUAGCUCUCUCUAGAUCUUCUACGUCUUUUACACACAUCACGCACGCAAAAGCGCACACUUGCAUAUACUCAUACGUACAGAUCAACACUAAUGGUUUUUCAUGUUUCACAAUCUCAGGACAUGUUUGUAGGAAGAACUGAUACUACUGCAACAACACUAGAGUGGGCAAUGGCAGAGCUAGUGAAAAAUCCAACUACUAUGAAAAGAGCUAGAGAAGAGGUUAGAAGUGUGGCAAAAGGGAAAUUAAACAUAGACUUGAAGGAUAUUGAGAAGAUGGACUACUUGAAAUGUGUCGUCAAAGAAACUCUGAGAUUGCAUCCACCAGCUCCUCUUUUGGCUCCACGAGAAAUAGCAGAGAGUGUUAGAUGGAGAGAUUAUAAUAUUCCUGCAAAAACUAGAUUGUAAAUGCAUGGGCAAUUCAAAGGGAUCCCCAAGGUUGGGACCGGCCAGAAGAUUUCUUGCCAGACAGGUUUUUAAAUAGCCCGGUGGAUUGUAAAGGCCAAGACUUCGAAUUCAUCCCCUUUGGUGCUAGAAGAAGAGGAUGCCCAGGGACGUCAUUUGCGUUAGUUGAAGUUGAGUAUGUGAUCGCCAACCUUUUGUACUGGUUUGAUUGGAAUUUGCCUCUUGGUAAAGUUGAGGAGAAUUUGGACAUGUCUGAAGUUAAUGGGCUAGUGGUUCAUAAGAAAUUACCUCUUCAUCUUGUGCCAACACUCUUUUCACCUUACCCUUAAUCUUGAUAUGUGUAGCAAAAUUUCCAUGGUAGUUAUGCUCUAAUCAUGAUUGUGCUCUUUUAAUUUCCCUCUUGUGAAAAAUUGUACCUGUGUUGUCUAUUUUAUUCUAUGUUCAUGGAUUCCUUGACGAGCAAGGUAUUAUCAAUUUUGUCACUUCUCUAUAUUAUAUUGGUCCUCUGUUUGAUCUUUUUCUAUAAAUUCCAUCAAUCGAUUAAGGUUUAUAGAAAUACGAGAAGUUGACAAUUACCAGCGGUGCUAGUGGUCGUGGUUGUAGAAUGUUAUAUCCAUCAAGUUGAUGGGAGAUUAAUUACAACUAAUCAAAGAACAAAUAAUUAUGACGCUGAUAGUAUGUCGAUCAUUCAUUUAUUUUCUAAUUCCUAUUUUAUAUAUACGGAUUGUUAUUUAAAAAUUACUACAAUUUCGCAUUGCAGAGGAAAAGAGAACAAAAAUUAGUUCAUAGUGUAAGGUAGAUCUACAAUAAUAAUAAACGCAUAAGGAGGAAGCUGAAGCACGCGAGACCAAACCCUAUGAGUAGCCUCAUUUAAGAAUCUUGUAAUUGGGUUGUCUUACAUAGAGGAGUUCAAAAGUACUUAACUAUUCUUUCCUUUUCUUUCUUCUUUUUUUUUUUUUCCCAAUUAGCCACUAACCACUCACCUGAAUUUUGACUUAGUGAUCUGCACAGCUCACAUAUGAUAAUACUCGUUUGGAACAUAUUUCAAAUUAGAAGUGCGGUACAUAGUGUAACGCAUGGAAAAUGCCACACGUAGCUUAGUAAAUAAAAGCGGCAAGCUGCCUGCCUCAUGUAAUACGACCUGCUUGCUUGGAUUCGGUUCGUAUAUAAAGCUGAAAAUUGAGAGUUGCUUGAUAACUGGACAUCAUUUGCAACCGAGAGCGAAGCAAAGACAUAGGAAUUAAAAGAAGGAAAACGGAAUAAAGAAAGAAAAGAAAGGAAAAAAGAAGAAGAGAAAAGAGAAGCUAGGAGUGAGGAAAAAGGGAAAAAAAAGAAAAGAAAUUAAGAAGCCGAAAGUCAAAAAGAAGUUGAAAAGGGGAACUUUGAAGAAACAUUUCAGGAAAUGGAAUUAGGCAGUUAAAUUAAUAUCUAGCAAACUAAUGGGUAAUAAAUUCAUGAUGUUUGAACAAUUAUAAUACAAUUUUCAUGAUAUAUACAAGUUUUUAUAUCAAUUCUAACUAGUUUUUGAACCCUAUAUUUUUGGAGAAAUCCAAGUAUUUAGGAACUCAUAUGAACCCCGACGAACCCUAGAGUGUACCAGAAUCUAUGAAGAAAUUACUAUUAUUACUAUUAUGUAUUCCGUGAAAUAUUUAUAUUUGAUAGUAUGAUUUUUAGUAUCAUCUUAUGAUUAUAUGUACGCACAUUAUAUGAUUGAUUGAGUCAUGAGAUGUGAUUGUCAGUCAUCAUACAAAUGCCCUUCCCAAUAGGUUUUAUGCAUGUAUAUUGAGAGUAGAUUACCCAAUUCGUGCGAUAUAGUUAAAUUCCAGAGGGUACUGACAUGUUUUUCCUUUGUGCUGCCUGCGAUGAUGAUCCUGGCAAGUUGGAUAGUUAUUCUCCUGGGUAUUACUUGGGGCUAUUUGCUAUGUAUGCAUAUAUGAUUUUUCAUUUUUGCUUAUGUAUUAUGUUCAGUGUGUAGUUAUAUCAUGUGAUUAUGUAUAAGUACUAGUACACUAAUAUAUUUUUAUAUAGAUAUAAUUAUAUCAACUAACUGUGCCACAAGUUCCUUAUUUUUCCUAUUUACCUCGUUUCUCCUAGGUUUCUGCAAGAUUUCGUAUGGUUCAAUUUCUAAUCAGUUGAGGAUGGGCCACGAUAUGCAUUGCUGCACAACUUGCAUUUUGAGCAGGUUUAUGUUUAUAUGUAUAUAUUUAAGAUGUAUAUUUGUAUAGUGAGAUGUGAAGGUGCAAGUUUUGAAUAUAUUUUCGGUUAAGCCACAGAUAUUGUCAUAUAUUUAUAAUGGAGAGGCCCAAGGACAAUUUUUUAUUUUCAUGGAUUAUAUUUAUGUCAUGAGCUUUAGAUGUAAGAUCACAAGAUUUGCCUCAAAUCCGAUAGAUAGGUCAGAACGGGUCAUGUCACAUAUUUUCAAAAUGUUGACAGUUUUCUAAAACACAAGUAAAUCAACAUAUUAUUCUAUCAUAGGAGAUUUCAUGUACCCAUUGAGCCAAUUAACACUUAAAAAUUAAUUGCUUUACAUGUGAAUAAAAUUAAUUUGAACUACAGACCUCUUCUUCCAUAAGAGAUUUUAUUCAUUGAAUUGACAAUCUAACACCUACAUAAAUUAAUUGAAGAUGAAAUGAGACGGCCUAUAGGCCUACAACAACAAAUUAUCUAUAAAUUUACUGACCAAAUUUAAUUAUAAAAGUAUCAAUUUCUAUUAUACAAAUGACAUUAAAUUAAACCAUAUAGACCAAAUUAUAGAAAAAGCAUCAUAAAAAAAAAGUCUCCUAUCUAAAUAAUUUCCCUUAUGCCACUUUUUGCCUUAUAAUUUCUUAAGAAAAUGAAAUAAUAACUAGGCAACCCAAGGGGGGUGAAUUAGGAUUUUUAGAACUUAAGCUAAACAAACUACACAACAUUCAAUCUAUUGCCUUAAUAAAAUCAAAAAUAAUAAAUUUAAUAAAACAUAAUGAUAAUAAAAGAGUAAGGGGAGAGAGGUCAAACAUGUGAUUUUUACGUGGUUCGGCUAACCGUGCCUACAUCCACGCCUCUGAUCUCACCGGGCUUGAUGAUUUCACUAAGUAAGCCUCCAAGGCUUCAACCACUCUUACAAUUGAAUUCAAAGGUGUCAAUGAACUUUUACAACAAGAGAUUAUCUCUCAAUCUCUUAACCCAAGUGUAUCCCAACACUUGCAACCUCUCAAUUUGAUUUUCAAAAAGAUUAUAAAUAAAUCUCUCUCACACAAUGUAUUUGAUUACCAAUGAAAUUCUAAAGUGUGAGUAAAUGAGAUUAAUACAAGAAUUCAAAGCUCAAUAAAAGUUGUAUGCUCAAUAGUUUGCUCAAUGAUAAAAGUUGAAAUAUCAAUUGUUUGUGUUUAAAUGAGCUUUUUUAUAUUUUGAGCUUAAAACUAGCUGUUAUAGACAAUUUGCUUGAAGUCGGAUCGCCGUUAACUCGAAGUCGGAUUGUCGUUUUGACUUGAGCAAGUUACUGUUGGACGAAAUUUCAAAUUUUUGGAUCACCGUUAUGAUCACCGUUAUCGUCCAGUGACCUGCAAAGAAAAUGUCGGCUUACCGUUUUCAAGAAGUCGGAUCGCCGACAGUGUCCAGAAGCUAAUCUUCAAUUAUGUUCGAUGUUAGUUAACCGUUAUCAAGAUGUCGGUUAACCGUUUGCUAAAUUGAUUGCUACAGUAAAUUAUUUUCUAAAAUUAUAGUUUUGUCCUAAAACUUUAUAAAAUUAUAUUAUGGCCCAAAUCUUUAUGAAACUUAUCAAAUAAGUCCAUUUUCAGAAUUUUAAGCAAUGUUAAUUUCAAAGUUUUCAAAACAUUUUCAAUUAGAUCAUGAACUUGAAAAAGGUCUAAUUUCAUAAAAUCAUUUUCCAUUUAAGUAUAAAACUUUACUAUAUCAAAAUAACGAUUUAUUUAAAAUGUAUGAAAAAUAAUUUGAGCUUUUUCAAGCUAAGUCAUUCUUAAUCUUGUUUGUUAUCAUCAAAAUCAUUAUUAUAAACAUAUUCAUGUUAACAGAAAAAUCUCACAAAUUUCUUUCAACACAAUAAUAUUUACUGUGAAUUGCUAUAACAAUGGUGAAAAUUAAAACACACGCUAUUAGAUUGAAGGACCCUGCGCGCUUCCACAACUAUAGAGUCAAGAAAAAAUUUGAAGAAUUCAUCGAGCCGCGAAAAAAUUUGCAAGAAAAUGGCUUUAUAUUCCCAAAGCAGCCAACGGGAGUAAUGAACAACAUCUAUACCACUGUAGCAUGAAGAGGCUGGGUCAAGUUUUGCUCUCACCCCCAAGACCCAAUUAUCCUGAUCGUUAAGGAGCUUGUUGCAGCAAGAUCAACGCAACAUUUAUGUAAGGCAAGUGCAAGUCCCUUUAGACUCUCGAACUAUUAAUGCCUUCUACGACUUACCUAUUGCUGUUGAGUGUGAAUAUAUAAAAUUUGCUGAGAACAUUAUGGUAAAGAAAUGGAAGGGGGGAGGUUUUUAAAACCUUGAUUGUUUAGGGUAGUGAAUGGAUGAAUGAGAAGGGGCGAGUGGUUAGUAUGAUAGAUUUAAAACCUAUUACUAAGGUUUAGGUCAAAUUCUUGAAAUCGAGAGUAAUGCCACACUACCACGGUUUCCCAAGAUAGACUCGUACUCAUUUAUGCUAUAGUCAAGGUUUAGCUAUAGAUGUAUGCAAGAUCAUUGAGAAAGAAAUUAGAGAGUGUGCAAUGAAAAAAUAAAAAUCUGCUGCAUUGUUAUUCUCUUCUCUUAUCACGGGAAUUUGUGAGGCCUCGGGAGUGAAAUUUGAGGAAAGUGAUGAAAGAGUGAAGAAUGAAGGGGCCAUUACAGUGAGGACAGUUGAUAGGAUUACUGGGAAAUCUACAACUGCAGUAACCUCAGAACGCCUUCCUACAGCUAAGCUAGAACAAGCUACAUGGAUUGAGAAUAUACUUUAAUAACUUAGUGAAGUCAUGAAGGCACGUGUCCAAGCACAAAUAGAAGAAAAUCAGAGAUUUUGGACUUACUUACGGCAUCUUGAAGCACAAAAGCAUGGAUUUUCACUGUACAUGAAGAGCAAAGAUGCAGAUUUUCUUGAGUCACUGUUGUAGUAGUCUAAUUUUGGAAGGGAUAAGGAAGUUGCUCCAGUAGAAGUGAGUGAAGAUGCAAAGGUUGAAGGAGAGUGUGAGGAAGAAUAGUAGCUAGAGCAAGGAAAAACAAAAGAUGUUGAGGCAGCAAAGGAGUCAGAAGGUGGAGAGCAGGAAAUAGAGGAGGAAAAUGAGAAAGAACCUCUAAUGGUGACUCCCACAAACAAAGGAAAAGAAAUUUUUUUUGUUGAAGAGAAGUUCGAGUAAAAGUGGGAAGAGGACGUGGAUGCAGCUAUAGAGGAAGCCAUUAGCAAAGUUGUUAGGACAAAAGAAGUAAGAAGUAGCCUGAGAAACCUUAUUGCAAGUAUCACUACUGAGGAACCAACAUCAGUAACACUUGCACGAGCUACUACACAGCAAAUCCCAAUAAAAUCCCUAGUCUUAGCCGCUAGGGCUUCCAGUAAAUAAAAAAGGGCACAAUGUUUUAGAGGUGCUACAGCGCCAGAAGAACUAGAACCUAAGAAAACAAAGACAACUUUAUCAAGGCCAUAGAAACUGUUGGAACUCCUCCAACUAGUCCAACUAAGAGCCAGAAAAAGAAACAACCGAUUACUGUACCAUUAGGUUCACCUAAGGAACGUUUGAGGAGUAGAUCAAAGAAGAAGUGAACAUUUUAGCAUGUGCUGCAACAAAACUUCUAACACCAAGGGAGUAUCCCCUGCUAGCCUACUUUAAUUUUUCAAUUUCUGGAACUUUUCUUUUCUUUUAUGUAUUUCAUCUUGUUUCUUAAGCAUUUAUUUAUUUUUAUUAGUGUAUGCAUGUUAUCUUUAAAUCAUUUUAUGUGCAUGUGAGGACAUAACACCUCCCAAGUUUGGGGGGUCUGUGCUAUAGUGUAAUGUGUUUAUGAAUGCAUGUGUUUUUGUUGUGUGUGUAGUUCUAUUAUCUAGUAUUUGUAUUUGGAUUAUAAAACCCAAUGAGGAUGAAUUGAGUGUUGAAAUGUGGGAAUGAAUGACUGCCAAGUAGAGAUAGCUUAUGGAUGAAGGUUGAAAUUCUGUCUUAACAUUUAGGUUUUGGUUGAGUUUAUGAUUAUGUUGUAGAAAAACCAGGUAGUGCAAAAAGGGUAAGUAUAUUUCAAGUUUGGGGGAACCUAAAAUUUUUUUUUUGAAUUAUCACAAACUGUGCUAGUUAUGAAAUAAAAUUCUACUCCAAUGACUUAGUUACUGAGUAACCAGGGCUGAGAAUGUACUCCAUAUGCAGACUUGAGUAAAAAGGCAGUGAGAGUUAUGAACAUUGUUGUAGCAACCCAAUUUUUUUUUUAAACAAAGAAAAGAGCAAGAUAGGUCAUCAAUCUAGGAUAUUGAGUAACCAGGUCUAUUUAUGAGUCUCAUGUUCAGCCUUAAGUCAAAGGUGUCCAAGGAUAAGACUAUGUAAUAACAUUUUAGAUGUUUUUGCUGCAACAUUUCUGAUUUGUACAUUAGUCAAGUAAUUGAGUGUCAUCAUUAUAAGUGAUAGACAUUCACAUGAAAUAACAGUGUUACAUUGAAGAGUAUUUAUCUAUGAAAAAGAAAAAGAAUUUGCUAUAGCACAGUUUAAACCUAUUUUUGACCCAUGUUUCCCCCAUUGGUGUUUUAUCUUUGAGUUAUGUGUGAUGCCUAUGUGAUACUGCAGCAACUCUAGAGCUUGAUCAAAGUGCCACACACGCACAAUAGACAAAAUAAGAUCUAAGUCUAGAACUGGAAUAGCUAUGGCAAUUUUGCAUGUUAAAAAGGUGAUCUGAGGGUUGAUGAACCCAAGCAAGCUGGAUGACAGAGCUAAGUUAUUUGUUGUAUGAUUGCAUGAUUGAAGUGUAGUAUUGUUGUCAUUACUUGAGGAUAAGUAAUGGUUUAAGUUUCGGGGUGUGAUAACUCUAUGAAAUGAGAGUUAUCAUGGCAAUUUUAGAUUUAAAUCAAUAUUACUUAGAAAGUAAAUUAUGUAUUUUUAUAGCAUUUUUAGUUACAUGUUGCAUGAGUAUUUAUUUAAGUUUGUUUUUAAUAAAUUGAUUUUGUUUUAGAUCAUUUUGUGCCUGAUUGUGUGUGAUUGUAAGUGACCAAAAAGUUCAAGUUUUAUGGAUGGAAUGCUACUACAACAAACUUGUAGAGAUGACAUAAGAACUUAGUUGUAGAGGAAUUAAAAUAAGUCUGGAACAAUAAAGAUGUUGUAGCUGUUGCUACAGCAAUCCUGUGGCAAUAACGAACUGGAUUUUGCGUGCAAUAACUAAAAGAUUGCGAUCUAAGGUUUCCAAAAAUUGAAGAUACAUGGCCACACGCUUUUGGUUGUCCUAAUUCUAAGUUAUAAAAGGAGACACAUGAAAAGAAAAAGGAGAGCCGUCACUCAAGGAAAACAAUAACAGAGAAAACAAAAAUAAAAUAAAUAAUAAGAGAGAUUUGAGGUUGCAACAGAGCAUUCAAAGAAAAAACGGUGGAGACAUCACAAAAACCAAGCAGAACUCAAUUCUUCUUCUUAUUUUCUUGUUUUUAUUUAUUUAUAGGAAUGUAUUUGAUGGCUAAAACUAUUUUUAUUACUGUUCUAUUGCAAAUCAUGAACUAAACUUUAUUGUCAUUGAGUGAUAAAAAAUUUUAAUGGAUGUUUGACUAAUAUAUGCAUGUUGCUCUGGAUUUAUUGCAGCAUUUUGUGUUGAUUUUAUUUAUUACAAUUCCCUAUUUCGGCUGACCACCUAUUUAGUGGAUGCUAGCCAAGAAAAAACCUAAAAAAAGUAUGACGUAGUGGAGCAAAUUAAGACAAUAUAUGAUUUUAGAUUGGGUUUCCCAAGUUGAGUUAAUCUUGAUUUAAAUAGGGCCAUAUUUGAUCUAAAAUUAGUGAAGAACUAGACAUAAGGAUCACCUUGUAUGGUAAUUGGAAUCUAGAACGAAUAAUGCUAUAUCUAAUGUUAGCGUAACAACUGGUCAUUGUUAUGUUUCAUUUAAAUCUAAGAUAUCCAACAUGCGACAGCUAAGAAUGCAUGAGGGAUUCUGCCUAGUGAUGUAGUAGAUGUUGUAGCAACAUAAUCUUAAUUAGAGAAAUAGUCAAUGUCAUUAAGUGAGUUUAAUUACUCAACUACUCUUUUCCCAAUGAGUUUCCAUUUGUGUUUGAUUUAAGAAUUUUCCUUAUUGCAUUUUAAUUAGAUUCGUGCAUAUACGAGUACAAUAAAAUUUACACAACAUUAAAAAAUCACAACAAUUGUUAUUAGAGCAUGGUUUGAGAAUUUAUGAUUUUUUUAUUAAUAUCUGUAAUAACCCUCUUUUAAUUUUCAAUUGUCCUUAUGGGCAUAUGCAAUUUGGAUUAUUAUUCCGCAUAUAAAUAGAGUUGAAAGAAAAUUAUUGGCAUAUGAUUUUUUUCUAUAUAUUAUUUUGUUACAAAAUAGCAACAAAAAAAAGGGCAACCCAAGAUGGUUUUUGGUUGUUGGUUGCACAAUACAUAAAGAUGAAACUACGGUUUCUUUUAGAAUUUUUUCAUGAGGCACCCUAAGGUUUCUUUGGUUUAUGUUUUUGACCAAAGUUUAGAAUUUUGUUGCAUUUAAGUCCAACAAAAUUUAUUGGUGGCUAAAGGAAAAUAUGUGAUGAGUGACUUUUCGAUAAAGAUCAUUACUGUCCCUUAAGGUAUUAUAAAAUCUAAAAUUUGCUAUAAAUUUUAAAAAACAACCAAAUAUUAAUUUAUGGAGAACACAUAUAUUUGUUAAUGUUCAUGCCGUUUGAUGUCUAUAUUACAUAUAAUUUGUUAAUCACCAAAGUGGCCAAAUUAGAAAGUUUCAUAAAUGUCAAAUUAAAUUCAGUUUCAAGUACUCAUAAUUAUUGUGAUGCUUAUGAUUGAAUGACAUGGUGAUUUUGUUGUAUGGGAAUAUUGAAAUUCAUAAAUUAUAAAAUAUUUAGGAAUUACCUAAAGGUUGAUUAAUUAAUUUUAUAAUAUAUGAUUAUGAUUAUAGUAAUUAGUAUAAUUGAUUAGAUAUGUUUAGUAUAUCCAAAGAUAGUAGGCGUGUCCAGUUAAUGUGUAUUUGGUUACUAAUUAUGUGAAAAUUAAAGUUAAACAUCAAUUAUGUUUAUUAUAGUGUAUUAUUGUAUCGCUCAAAGGUGAACUUCAAUAUGCACUUAAAUUUUUUUGUGAAUUUUAUCUGAAUCUAUAUUAUGUGUUUAAGUUCAAAGCAGUAAUAUGUGAGCAUUUAUAUAUAUAUAUUUGCAGCAUUUGUGUCGAUUGCUCUUUAUUUGUAAGAUUCAUUUGUUGUUACGUUUAAUGGCCCUAAUUAUCCAGAUUAGUCUGAAUAAAUCCAGUUUCACUUAGGUGUUUUGCAUCUUGACUUAGCACUAUUACUUGAAAAGACAACUGUUAUUACUGAUGAAAGCAACGCUGAAGAGAGAUCACUCUAUAAGACUUGGGAGAGAUUAAACAGACUAAGCCUAAUGUUUAUGUGGAUGGCAGUUGCCAGCCACAUCAAGUCCAUAAUUCCAAUACUGAAAAUGCGAAGGAAUAUAUGAAAUUUGUAAAAGAGCAUUAUCAGUUUGAAUCGCUGAUAAGUCCCAUGCUGGACAUGAAUGGGUAAGUUAACCAUAUGUAAGUUUGAUGGUACACGUACAAUGCAUCAACAUAUGACUGAGAUGAUAGGCACAACAACAAAAUUGAGGUCCAUAAGGAUGGAAGUGAGUGAGAGUUUCCUCAUGCAAUUCAUUAUUAACUCGUUACCUCCUGAAUGAGGAUGGAAGUGAGUGAGGUUUUUCUUAUGUAAUUCAUUAUUAACUCUUUACCUUCUGAGUAUUAACUCAUUUUUGCAAUAAACGUGGACACUUUGCUAAAGAUUGUCUAAAGUGUAAAGCUUAGUUCGAAAAUAAAUGUAAGCCUAGUGCUUUAGUAUGUUUUUAGGCAUAUUGCUUUAGUAUGUUUCGAAUCAAACUUAGCUGAAGUUCCUUAUAACACGUUGUAGAUUGAUUCUGAUUGCAAUCCUCAUGCUUCAAACACGAUGUAAGGAUUUCUUAUGAUCCAACCCAUAAACCCAAAUGAGAAGUUUAUUUUCACAGGGAACCGAAUUAAAGCUCUAAUUAAAGGCAUUGGGAAUUAUUGUUUGAUUUUGGAUACUGGAUAUCAUUUAGAUCCUUUACAGGCUUUUAUGUUUCUUUUAUUUCUCGCAAUUUAAUUUCCUUAUCCAAACUUGAUUCCGUUGGAUAUUCUUUUACAUUUGGGAAUGGAUGUUUUAGUUUAUUUAAACAUAAUAAUAUCAUUGGUUCUAGAAUUCUGCGUGAUGGUCUAUACAAAUUAAAGCUUGAUAAUAUUUUUACUGAGUUUCUAUUAACCUUGCAUCAUAAUGUUGUCACUAAACGUGGUUUAGUGAAUGAAGUUCAGCUUACUUAUAGUAUAAGGGUUUGAGUCACAUAUCCAAAGCAAGAGUAGAGAGAUUAGUAAAGAAUGAAAUUCUUUCAGAUUUGGAUUUUACUGUUCUUGAAAUUUGCGUAGAUUGUAUUUAGGGAAAACAAACAAAACACACAAGUAAAAAGGGAGCCACAAGAAGUACACAACUUCUUGAGAUUAUACACAUUGAGACUUUAUGGCAUUCUAACUUUUGGUGGAGAAAAGUAUUUCAUCACCUUUGUUAAUGAUUUUUCACAUUAUGAUUAUAUUUAUUUAUUGCAUGAAAAACUCAAUCAGUGGAUGCCCUAGGGAUAUUUAUCAAUGAGGUUGAAAGACAACUAGAUAAAAAAAAUGAAAAUUGUCAAGUCUGAUAGAAGAGGUGAACAUUGUGAAAGAUGUACUGAGAAUGGACAAUGCCUUGGCCCAUUUGCUAAGUUCUUAGGAAGACGUGGCAUAUGUGCUCAAUACACAAUGUCAGGUACACCAAAACAGAAUAGUGUAGUAGAGAGGCGUAAUUGUACCUUAAUGGAUAUGGUUAGGAGUAUGUUAAGUUACUCAUCUUUACCUUUAUUGUUGUGGAUGGAAGCGUUAAAGACUUCCACUUAUUUGUUAAAUAGGAUUCUUAUUAAAGUAGUUAUAAAGACUCUAUUUGAUCUAUAGACGGAAAGGAAACCCAAUUUAAGACACCUGUAUAUUUGGGGUUGUCGUGAGGAAUUAAAGAGUUAUAAUCCACAUGAAAGGAAAUUGGAUUCAAGAACAACUAGCAGAUAUUUAAUUGGUUAUCCAAAAAAUCUAAAGGGUAUAGAUUUUAUUAUCCUAACUAUAGUAUGAGAAUUUUUUAAUUUCGAAAUGCCAGGUUCAUUGAAAAUGGUGAAAUUAGUAGGAGUACAUAACCACGAAAAGUGGAAAUCUAAGAAGUUAGAGUGCAAGCUCCGUUGCUUGUUACUUCUUUUAAAGUUGUUGUUCCUAUAGUUGUUGAGCACACUAACAACUUUCAAGAACAAAAAAUAAAUAAUCUAGUACCUCGUAAUAAAGUUGUCAAUAUGAACCUAUGGCAACUCAACCACAAGAAAUAGAAUUAAGAAUAUCUUAAAGAGAAAGAAGGUUUGUUAUUUCUGAUGAUUAUGUAGUUUACAUUGAUAAAAAUUCAAAUUCGUUUUCACAAGCCAUGAAAAGUGCUAAUUCUGAUAAAUGGAUAGAUGCCGUAAAAGAAGAGUUGAAAUUAAUGGAUCACAAUGAUGUUUAGGAUCUUGUUGAAUUAUCUAAAGUUUGUAAAUAAAUCGCGUGCGAUUAUGUCUAUAAGACUAAGUGCGAUUUGUAUGGCAACAUGGAGCGAUUUAAGGUAAGACUCAUUGCUAAAGGUUUUACUCAAAAAGACUACAUUGACUACAAAGAGACCUUUUCACCAGUCUCUUAGAAGAAUUCCUUUAAAAUUAUUAUGGCAUUUGUGGCUCAUUAUGAUCUAGAGUUACACUAAAUUGAUGUGAAAUUGCCUCUCUAAAUGGGAAUUUAGAGGAAGAUGUUUGUAUGGCCCAACCAGAAGGCUUUUUAACUAAAGGAAAUAACCUUGUGUGUAAAUUAAAGAAAUUAAUAUACAUACUUAAGCAAGCCUCCCGACAAUGGUAUCUUAUGUUCUUUUGGAUUUAAAGAAAACAUCGUUGAUUGGUGUAUAUAUCUUAAAGUUAGUGGGAGUAAGAAUAUUUUUCUAAUUUUGUAUGUUGAUGACACUUUGCUAGCUGCUAAUGAUUUUAGUGUACUUCAUGAGACCAAAGAUUUUCUCUCUAAGAGCUUCGAAAUGAAAAAUAUGGGCAAGGCACCCUAUGUAAUUAGAAUCGAAAUAUUUUAUAAUAGAGCAGAAGGAUUGUUAAGGUUGUCUCAGAAAGCAUAUAUUAAUAAAGUUUUAGAGAGAUUCGGAAUAGAAAAAAACUCUGUAAGUGUUAUUCCAAUUCAAAAAGAAGAUAAGCUCAGCCUUAUGCAAUGCCCAAAGAACGAAUUGAAAUGCAAAAAAAGGGAAAAGAUUCCUUAUGCAUGCAUUGUUAGAAGUUUGAUGUAUGCUUAGAUGUAUAUUAGGCCAGACAUCAAUUUUGCUAUUGGAAUGUUGGGCAGAUAUCCAAGUAAUCCUGGAUUGGAUCACUGGAAACCUGCAAAGAAAGUAUUGAGAUACUUGUUGUAUGUAUUCUAAUGUUAUUGGUGUCAAUGUGCAAGUGUACACAACAAGUAAUAUAAUGAUAAGUAUUCAAGAUCGUCUCCACAAAGAUUGUUGUUAUAGGAAUUGCUACAACAAUUUUAUCAGUGCAAUGUUUAUUCUAAAAUAGAAUUAAAAUAAAUUAUAAAACUAAUAAACUAAUUAAGAUAAAAAUACAAUAAGAAAAAUGCAAUAAAGUAAAUUAUCACAACAAAUAUAAGGAUGUAAUCAAUGGGAAUGGAGCAGUUGAGUGAUUAAACUCACUUAACGGUUUUGACUAUUUUCCUAAUGUUUGGUUCGAUUGCUACAGCAUCUGCUACAGCACUAGGCAGAAUUCUUAUAUAUCCUCAGCUGUCGCAUGUUAGAUUUCUUAUAUCUAAAUGCAACUUAACAGUGACCAAUUGUUAGGCUAACAUCAGAUAUAGCAUUACCCGUUUUAAAUUCUAAUUACCCUAUAAGGUGAAUCCUUAUAUAUAGUCAAUCACUAAUUUUAGAUGAGGUAUGGCCUUUUUUGAAUCAAGUUAAACUAAACUCAGGAAACUUAAUGUAAAACCAAUUAUUGCUCUAAUAUGUUCUACUAGAGUAAAAAAUAAUAUCGAAAAACCAGUUCAGAAAUUAAACCUCUCCACUCAACUUUCUCCCUCUAUUGAUCUUGAACCCACCUCUAUGACCCAAGCCCUUAAAUCCAAAAUGGCAUCGAGCCAUGUCUGAGGAAUAUGAUGCUCUAGUUCAAAAUGGGACAUGGGGCUAGUACCUUCUAUUUCUAGUCAUAAUAUUGUUGGUUGUAAGUGGAUUUUUAGAACUAAACAUCAUUCUGGUGGUUCUAUUAACAUGUUUAAAGCUCGUUUAGUGGCUAAAGGAUUUCAUCAAUGGCCCAAUGUUGACUAUUAUGAUACUUUCAAUUCUAUUGUAAAAACGACCACUGUUCAACUAGUUCUUAGUCUUGCUAUUAAUCGCGAAUGGUCUCUCCGUCAACUUGAUGUCAACUAUAAUCCCUUCAGAUUCUCUUUAUUAAUAAUUAUGGUAAUUCUUAGUAAUUUCUUUUGAUUGGUUUAUUAAGAGAUUUUAGAGAAUGAUUCUAGACUUUUCUAAUUUACUAGAGUUACCAAGAAUUUCCUAAGAUUACAUUUAUUAAUUACACAAGGCAUGUGUGCUUGCUUUAUUACUUGCAUUUGUUAUGUAUUUAUUAUUUAUAUUUAGGCAAUGGCUACCUUAGAGCUGCUCUAAGGUAAAGCAUAAAUUAUAGCCACACGCGCAAAGUGAUAAAUAAUAAAAAAUACGUUAUAACUUUAAUUAUAUAGUUAUAAAGGCAUACAUUAUCUUAGAGCGGUUCUAAUAUAAUUGGAUCCUUAUAUUUAUCACAAAAGCUUGCAUUUAUUCAAAGAUACAAUUAUGAACAUUCAUAAUUAGGGGUGGGCAUUUUACCCGAUCCGACUCGACCCGACCCGAUAAAUUCCGGGUUCGGGUCGGGAUUGAAACCCGAUUAGAUUGAAAUUUACAAACCCGAUCGGGUUGUGAUAAGUUCGAGUCAAACCCGACCCGAUCCGAAUAUCCGAUCGGGUUCCUAAAAAAAAAAAAUAACAAUGAUUUCUGGCAUGUGUCUGUACUCUAGUACUCCUUAUUGAACAUAUUUCCCUCUCCAUUCUCCAACAGCAAUCGAAUCACACCAAUAACCAAUCCAAAAAGUUGGCAGCCAUUCUGUCAAAAUUCUUCUCAAAGACGUUUUAAACUUUAAUAAAGAAAAUAAAGUUGCCUUAGAUGGCAUUUUCCAAGUGCAAUGAUGUGGACUGAAGGCUGAAGCAAUCCUCACCAUUUUCUGUUUUUGUCCAAUUUAAUCAUUCAAAAGAGUUCUUAUCUUCUACCCAACGCCAAGCAAUUGAUAAUUUGAGUAUUUGACAAAUCGUUUAAGAACAGAACAAUUUCUUUUUGGAGGAAAAGAAAAAAAAACAAAAAGGGAAGAGAGGACGAGAAAGAAACAAAGAAAGAAAGAAAAAAUCUGAUAAGAGCAUGGACAAAUUUGUCACGCUGCUGCACAACACACACAGAGAACAGAAGUCACAAGCUGCACAGCACACAACCACUGUGCCACACACACAUACGCUGCUGCACACACAAAAGUCACAAGCUGCACAGCACACACACUGACACUGUGACACACACGCUGCACACACACGAGCUGCACAGAUAGCACACACAAACGCUGCAAGUGCACAGUACACACACACGCUGCACACAGUCACUCAACAAUUCACUCGCAAACCUAACAUGCACACACGUUGUUAGCCACAACUUCACAAAUCACAACUCAACUGUCAAACAACUAAACAAACACAAACAAGUAACAACUGAUGAACUGAACAAGGCAGUCGCAACCCGCAAGUCUGCAACCAACCACCACAAGACGCGAUCUGUUGCUGCCAACUGCUGAAAUCACGAUCUGUUGCUGCCAAGUGAAGUCGCGACCAGCUGCUGCCAAGUCAAACUCAUCUAGCCGUGAGCCGUGAGCCGUCCGCAUCUCCGCGAUCUGCUGCUGCCAACUCCCAAGUAAAGCCGCGAUCUGCUGCCAAGUAAAAUCUCGUCCGUCCAGCCAUGAGUCGUGGCCACCGAUCUGCUGCUUGAAGGCCGAAUCCUCUCCACCCGAACCCGAUUUUGAAGCUUUCCGGUUUCCACCUUCCACUUUCAAGCUUCAAUUUUUUUCAAGUUUCCUAAGUCGUUUCGUUUCAUGGUACUACAUAUACACUAUAUAAUUAAUUAAUUAUAUGUGCUAAAUAGUUUAUUAUGUAAUUCGGUAAUUGUUUAUUAUUUAAUUGUUGUAAUUAACUAAUUAUGUAUUUAUAAAUAUUAGUAAUAAAAUCAAGGAAAUUUUGUUAAUUAUUGAGCUCAUCAGAAAUUAUUUUUUUUUCAUAUAUAAAAAGGAAUUGUUGAUUGUUGGGUUUUGUUAAUUGAUAAUUGUUAAUUGUUAAUAAUUGUUAAUAAUAGUUAAUAAUUGAAAUAAUAUUAAUUGAUAAUUGUUAAUAAUAGUUAAUAAUUGAAAUAAUAUUAAUUGAUAAUUGUUAAUAAUAGUUAAUAAUUGAUUUUUUUAUUAAUAAAUUAGCACAUUAGGUAGAUUAAAUAUUAAAAUUAAGUAUUAUGUUGUAUAUAUUUUAUAAUUAUAAUGUGUUAUGUAAUUAUGUGUACUUGUGCAGUAGCUUCAAGCUUUCAACCCUAAAAAAUAAAUAAAUUCAAUUAAUAUUUUAUUAUAUGUUAAUCAUCUGUUAAGUUGUUAAGUAUAAGUAACUUGGACUUGAAAUUAAAGGAUUUAAUUUAUAAUAAGAAAUAAGAUAUAGAUAGACAAAUAAUAUCAUAUUAUUAUGGGGAAUGGGUAAUUGGAUAUCAUAAAUUAAUUAAUUAAUCGGGAAUUUCUUACUUUUUGUUUAUGGAGCAUGAACAACUUGAAUUGAAAUUACUAAUUUUUGUUUAUGGAUUAUGUUAAUAAUAUUUAUGUGUUUUGAUUUUUGAAUUAAUGAUUAUUAAUUAUUAUUUUGAAUAUUCAAAUGCUUAGACACUCAAGAUCGAAUUCGAUGAGUGACGAUGAAGACCAAAGUGUACAAAUGGAAGGAACCCAUAAAGUAAAGGAAAAGGCGAAGCGGAAAAGACUGCCAAUGAAGAAAAGAUCAGCAGUAUGGAAUCAUUUCACUUUACUCAAAGAUAAUCUAAACAAAUGUAUGUGCAACUAUUGUGGUAAGCAAUAUCAAUGUCAUUCAAGGCUUGAUGGGAUUACAAAUAUGACAAGGCAUAUAAAGACAUGUGAAUCAUACAAGACAUUUCAGGCACAACAAAGUGGAAGUCAACAAAAUUUGACAUCCGAGGGCGGCGAAGAAAAUGCAAGUAAUUUGGUUUUGGGUAAAGGAUGGAGUCAAGACGCGUGUCGAAGGACAAUAACUAAAAUGAUUAUUAUGGGUGAGUUGCCGCUCAGUUUUGUAGACAACAAAAGAUUUAGGCAUUUCUGCAGUGUAGUUAUCCCUCAGUUUGUUAUGCCAUCUCGAAGAACAAUUGGUAGAGAUGUUAUGGAGUUAUUUUUUGAGGAAAAGGCAAUGUUAAAGAGUUUGAUUUGCAACAACAAGCAGCGGGUGUCUCUUACAACUGAUUUUUGGACUUUUGUUCAAAACAUGAGCUACAUGGUGAUUACAGCUCAUUUUAUUGAUAGUGAUUGGUGUUUGAAUAUGAGGAUUAUUAGUUUUAGCGCAAUCGAAGAUCAUAGAGGGAAGUCGAUUGGUAAAAAGAUUGUGGCUUGCCUACAAGAUUGGGGGAUAAAGAGGUUGUUUGCAAUAACUGUUGAUAAUGCCACUGUAAAUGAUAUUGCUGUUGGUUAUAUCACUAUGCAGUUGCUUAGUUGGAAGAAUGAUGAUGCACUUGUGUUGGCGGGACAAUAUAUGCAUGUGCGUUGUUGUGCACAUAUUUUGAAUUUGAUUGUUGUUUCAGGAUUGAGAGAGUUGCAUGCUAGUAUUACCACUAUUCAAAAUGCAGUAAAGUACGUGAGAUCCUUCAGCAUGAGGUUGCGGACAUUUAAACAAUGUGCUGAGCAUGUGAAUUGUCCAAAAGGAAUUGUUGUUUUGGAUUGUCCUACCAGGUGGAAUUCCACUUAUUUGAUGUUGAUGACUGCACUGAAAUUUCAAGCGGCAUUUGAUAGAAUAGCAGAAGUGGAUAAACCUUAUGAGGCAUACUUUGCUGAGAAAGAAAAUAAUGUUAGAAGGGUGGGCCCACCUAGACCGGAUGAUUGGGAGAGUGCUGAACGAAUUGUGAAGUUUUUGAAGGUAUUUUAUGAUGCCACAUUAUUGUUUUCUGCCUCUUUGAGUGUGACUUCUAAUCUUUGUUAUGAUACUAUUGGCUUAAUUGAGAGUUCAUUGACUGCACUGCAAGAAAGUACAGAUCCUUGGGUGUCCUCUAUGGCUUAUAGUAUGAGGGAAAAAUUUAACAAGUAUUGGGAGUCCACAAGAAAGAUAAACAAAAUGUUGAUUAUUGGCAAUGAUAGUUUGAUGGUUGAACAAAUGAUCAAAGCAGUGAAGGACUUGUUGAAUGAGUUUUAUGAUGCAUAUAGUGCAUUCUCCGCUUGUUCCACACCAUCGAUGUAUGGUGAGAGUGGUCUUAGUGGCAGCUAUAGAGGUAUAAGUUCUCCUCAACGUUUUACAACUGAGGCUAAUUUGGUGGAUGUUGCUGGUGGUGAAUAUGAUGAUACUUUUCAAGUAUCUCGCCCUUUCCUUGGAUAUUCCAGGAAGAUUUCUGUUCAGAAUGAGAGUAGAAGAGUAGUAUCUGAGGUGGAAAGGUACUUGAAGGACCCAGUUAAAGAUCCCAGCAAUCUUAAAUUUAAUGUUUUGCUUUGGUGGAGGGUGAAUGGAUCGAGGCAUCCAAUUCUUAAGAAAAUUGCAAGAGAUGUCCUUGUUGUUCCUGUUUCCACAGUGGCAUCUGAGUCUGGCUUUAGCACUGGGCGUCGUAUUAUUGAUGAGUAUAGGAGUUCUUUAACCCCGGCUAUGGUUGAGGCAUUGAUAUGCAUUGAAAAUUGGCUGCAGUCUAAACUUUUUGCCAAUCCCGUCUACAACUUCCAAGAAGAUAUCAAAGAGCAAAUGUUUCAUAUGGAAUUACAAGAAGGUAAUGUUUUUAAUUUUUUAUCAUACAUUAAAUACAUAAUAUAUUUAAAAUGCAUUAUAACUUUAUAUAGAACAUCUACAUGCAGUCAUGUACUUGAGUUAUUAAUUUUUUUUUUGGAUUUUAUAGAACUUAUAAGAUCGCAAGCUUCGACAGUAGAAGCGGUGAGCACCGACAUUGAUGUUAUAGAUGUUUGAAAGGUAACUUUUAAUAUAUAUUAUUAUUCAUAAUUUGAUAUUAUAGUACUAUUAGUAUUUGGUUGUAAUUUAAGCUAUAAUUAUAGUUGUUAUAGUUUUAAAUUUUAAGUCUAAUUUGUAAUUGUUUUAGUUAGACAAGUUGAAGUUGAUAGAAUGUUAUUAUUGUCUAGUAUUAUUAUUAACUUGAUUUGGUGAUGAAUGCCAUAAAAUAAGCAUGAUAUAAUAGAAAUAUAUAAUCAAGUGUGUAUUGAAAAAUUUGGUAAACAUAUAUAUUUAUUUGUAAUUAUAAAUUUAUAAUGAUAUAAUAGAAAUUAGAAAGAUUGUAACACCUCUUUAGCUUAAUUAAAGAUAUGAAUUGGAUUUAGAGUUGGUGUUUGAUGUGUAACCUUAUGAAUUUGGUUUAUUUGCUCAAUUUUUUAUAUGAAUUGAGUUUGUUCAUUUGGAACGUGGCUUAAGGAAAAUAUUUAUUGUACAUUUCCUCAAUCUUUCUCUAGGCAAUCGGCACUUGAACUUGGAGUUCAAAAAUUUGAAUUUAGAACUUGUCAAAGUACUUGCAUGGAGCCAUGGAUGAACCAAGGUGGAGGAACCAAGAAAGCUUAUUUAGUUUUAAUGUUUGAACUUUGAACUUUGUGAUUUAUGUUUCUAAACAAUUUAAUUUUGUGACUUUGUGUGCUUGUGUUUCAAACUUUUAAAGACUAAUAUUUGGAAAUUGUGCUUUGGACUUUGUAAGUUUGUAUUAAUUUUAACUUUUAUUAAGUUUGGAACAUUGGAUUUUAUUGAUUGAGCAAAUAAUAGUCCUAAUUCUACCCUUCAAGCCAAUAGGCAAAUUAUCCUAUUAUAGCAUUUUAACUUUAUUCAUUUGAUUUACUAACAUUUUCUUUUCUUUUUUUAGUUGAAAAUUAGAAAAAAUGACUACAAUUAAGAAAAAUGUCUUAAAACUUUCAUAAAAACUACAAUAAUAGGAAAAAAAGAGCUCAAAAUUGUAUUAACUGAAUUUGACCCGAAUUGACCCAACCCGAAUUGACCCGAUUUCAACCGACCCAAACUGACCCGAUUUGACCCGAACUCAAUCCUACCCAUUUUAAAUCCAACCCGAACAUAACCUGAAUUAUUGACCCGACCCGAUCUAUGUUCGGGUCGGGUCAAUAAUUCGGGUUAUGUUCAGAUUGAUUCUUGUCUAACCCAAACAACCCGAAACCCGAUUGUGUUGACCCGAACCCGACCCGAACCUGAUUUUGCCCACCCCUAUUCAUAAUUAUCUUUAGGUAAGCUUGUCAUAUAUUUAUUGUUGCUUUAUUAAAGCUUCUUUAUUAAAGCUUACUUUAAUUUAUUAUUAUAUUUAUUAAAGUUUGCUUUGUUUAUAAUUACACUUAUUAAAAUUUUCUUUUAUUUAUUAUCAUUUUAUUAAAGUUGCUUUAUUAAAGCUUGCUUUACAUGUAUAUUUGUAUUUAUUUAUUUGUUUGCUUUGUGUUUGUUAAUGCUUGGUUCAAAGCCUCGACUUGAAAGAAAGAAUAUAGAUUUAUUCAACUUCUUUCAUUAUUCAUCUUCUUUCCCUCUUAACUCCAAGUUCUAAAUUCUAAAUGUCUUCUUGCACUAGAAAACUGUGGUUCUAGCAGAACAACUAAAUUCACAAACUUAUUUGUAGUACCAAAUGAAGUUGAAAAAUUCUGAACUUUUUAAGUAAGGUUAAUAUAUUUGUAUAGCACUUCCAAUUUUUGUUUAAUAACUUUCUGGUUAAUAUUUAAUUUUAUAAAAAUCCUAGAACGCAUUCUAUUUUAGUUAAGGCACUAUGAGACAGUUUUGAAUUUGUCAUGAAACAAAUCAUUUUGAAAUUGUUUUUAGUACCAGUUCAUUCUGAAAUUUUUAUGGGAGAUACUUACGGAUGUCCACCAUAAUUCUGCAUAAUGUUAUGUCAUUCUAGUUUUUAAAUUAAGAGUUAAAAUUCAAAGAAUCAGACCUAUUCGAUUUAAGUUAAAGGAUUAGGAUAUUGGAAUAAGUUAUUAAUAGUUACACCUUGAAUCCUUUAAGGUAUCUGAGGCUGAUUGGAAAUUGUUCUGUCAUUUUGUAUUCAUUUUUCAUAUGUAGCAAAUCCGUUAAGGUGUUUAAAUUAAUUAUUUUGUCAAGGUAAGUAACUCUAUUCCUAUUGUACUGGAUAUCUAGUGUACUGGAUGUGUAUGAUAAUUUUGAUAUUUCAAUAUAAUUACAAGUACAUGUUUUUUCUUAGUUCUUCGCAACAAAAUUAAUUUAUGUAAAUGUUUUCAGAUCUAAAAUUUGUGUUAUUUUUAUGGUUUUAACAAAAUAUUAUAAAUGCCUUUAAAUGUGUAAUUUAUUUUGCUAAAUAAUUAUAUUUUUUGAAAUUGUCCAUAAAAUGUUAGAAUGGAAAUUGUUUUGCAAGCCUAAAUCUUUGUUAUGAUCUUUUAGAAAAAUUUAUCUAUGAGAAUUUAUGUGAGAGCCACCUCUGAAGGACAUAUGGGGGCCACCUUUCGAGGGCUAUAAUGUCACGAAAUGCCACAUUCAAUACAAAGUACCACGUGUAAUUUGCUAUAUAUGAAAAAUGAAUAUAAAUGUUUUGGCUCAUUGUCCUUAGUCAUUCUAAUUCUAGUUCUGAUCGUAUUAUACGACACAUAUGUUCUAUACCAGUAUUGGAUUUCUAUUCUGAGUGUGAACAUGAUAUUUUAAUUUUGAUUCUGUUCUGACUGGGUCACCAAGAGUAUAAGUGACGUUAUGUGACAUGAGCGCUCAUGGAAAAAAUAGAGUACCUUGAAGCUCAAAUGAAGCUCUUUUCUGAAAAAUAAAAUCCCAUCAAUGCUCUAGCGCUAGCAGUGUAUUACUCGUCAUUCACCAUGGAGAUUUGGACAGUAGUUCUCCCAGAAGCAUUCACCAUGCCUUAAAUACAGCAACACUCAGGUACCUCGGAUCCCACGGAAUGUACUGAGUUGUAUCAUGACCAGAUGCUAAUUAAAGGAGUGGGCAACAACGCUAUGUGCCAGAUGUUCCCGCAUACCAUCACUGGACUAGCCAAAUCGUGGUUUCGAUCGCUGAAGGCAGGUAGUGUAUCUUCCUUAGACCAGCUCUUAAAAGAUUUUGUUCAUGAGUUUAGUUAUACUUCCUCCCAAGAUAUAGCAUCUUUUAAGCUUGCUUUAUCAAGUACGUAACCCGCUUCCACCAAGAGGUGUUGCGCACCAGUACGUUUGGUCACCAAUAUACUCUUAUUCAUUUUGAAAAGAAUUUGUGUUUGGGGAAGUUAUGACUGUCAUUUCAAAAGUACCGCCCUCUCUCAUAUGGGGAAGCUCGUUCUCGAGCUUUACAACAAAUAGAAAUGGACGAGAGGUGUUACCUAAAGCAGGAUAAAGACAAAGCAGAAGUCGAGAAAAGCAAAGAGAAACCAAAGAAAGCCGAGACACCUUAUACACCCUCUUGAGCACCCCGGGUACACAGCUCACCUCGUCCAACCUCACGUGGGAGAGGGUUGAAUAUUCUUGAUGUACCCUGCGUACCUCAGCAUGUUAAGCCGCCACUGCCAGAAUGAUGGAAAGCGUAACAGAAUCCCUGAUAUGACUCUUUUCAUCCCUUGAAUCAGUCUCCAGAGCAGAUUUUUUACCAGAUAAGAGAUACGGGUAUACUUCGCCCACCCAAGCCAAUUCGAAAGUACCAUAAUAUAAAAUGUAGUUUGAAAUAUUAUGAAUUCCAUGAGGAUUUCGGUCAUAGCACCGCUGAAUGUUUUCACUUGCGGGAAGAAAUUAAGUCCUCAAUCCUGAGCGGGUACCUUCAGGAUUUUGUGGCCAAUAUGCAUGAGGUUAGGAAGUUCUUGAAGUAAGACAAGGGUAAGCAGGUUGCUAAUCUUAGUCCCGAGGUUGAAGUACUCUACAAGUCUAAGAAAAGUGUUUAUGUUCGAAUGAUAGCAGGAGGUUCUACCCUUACGGGGAAAUCUAGACGAGCCAUCAAGCAUUGCAACAAGUCAUCAAUAUUGGAUUGCCUUGGUAAGGAAGUCAACUUCGCUUGUCAAAAUCACUUUAGGGUACCAUAGGUACCCGACUAUCCCAUUCUAUUCUUUUCACAGAAAAAGAUGCGGAAUGUGUCUCAUACCCCUAUGAUGAUACUUUGAUUAUAACGCUAAAAGUCGCCAUGGUACUUUUGUGGACACCGGUAGUUCUGUGGACAUCACCUUUAAAAGUGCCCUAGAUCAGCUGCUAAUCGAAUCGCCAAAGAUCACUCCAUAGGACACACCACUCAUCGAUUUUGCAGGAGACGUGAUCAUCCCCAAGGGUAUCAUCAUUUUGCCCGUUACAAUUGGCAAGGUACCCCACCGGGUUUUUCCAUAUGAUCAACUUCCUUAUUGUUGAUCACCCCAGCGCCUAUAAUAUCAUCUUAGGAAGACCAUUUUUAGCGACAACGAAAGCGGUAAUCUCCAUGCAUUACCUCACCAUGAGGAUUCCAACUGUCGGGGAAAUUAUCACCAUCAAAGUGGAUCAGCAGUCGGAUCGAGGGUGCUAUUCCGUCACCUCGAAGGCUAGUUAUCAAAUUGCCACUAAUAUAUUCCUGAAGGGGUACCCCAUUACUACAAGGCCACUUAUCAGCCUAUCCAAACGAGCAUUUGCUAAACGCCAGAGAGUUGCAUGUAAGAAAGUUCAACGAUCCACAUAUUCCCAACAGCAAUAAGAAGUUAGGCCAAUAAAAGUGGACCUAGUAGCUCCUAGGGCACAUGUAGUCCUAAUUCAGCAUCAAUUGGAGAGGUGGAGGUACCCUUAGAUCCGCGGAUGCUGAAAGAUGAAAAGCGAGGAGUACGAGUUGAGGAUCUUGUGCCUGUUUCGAUCUGCAAUAAUGACCCAACCAAGAUGGUCAAAGUUGGCUCCAACAUCCCUCACUAACAUCGGGGGAAACUUGUUGAAUUUUUAAAGGAAAAAUGUUAUGUGUUCGCUGGUCUCACGCGGAUAUACCAGGUAUCCCACCUUUUAUUGCCUGCCACAAGCUCAAUGUCGAUCCUUAUUAUAGGCCUGUCAAGCAAAACCAUCAAACUUUCAACCAGGAACGCUAUGACGCCAUUGAACAAGAAGUGGACCUAUUACUAGUAGGCGGGUUCAUUAGGGAGGUGAUAUACCCCGACUGGGUGUCGAAUGUUGUCUUAGUCAAGAAGUCCAAUGGGAAAUGGCGCAUGUGUGUAAAUUUCAUAGAUUUAAACAAAUCAUGCCCAAGGAUAGCUUCCCGCUUCCCCAAGUAAACUAGCUGGUCGAUGCUACGGCGGGACAUGAGAUGUUUAGUUUCAUGGAUGCUUUCUCUAGAAACAACUAAAUUCUGAUGUACGAGCCCGAUCAAGACAAAACGGCCUUCAUCACCAACCGUGGAUUGUACUACUACAAGGUUAUGCCGUUUGGUUUGAAGAACGCUAGCGCCACUUAUCAGCGUUUGGUGAAUAAGGUCUUCAAGCAGCAGAUCGAGCACACCAUGGAGGUAUACAUCGAUGACAUGAUAACAAAGUCGGCGUACGCCAUUGAACACGCCGGGCACCUCAGAGACACCUUUGAUGUUUUAAGAAAGCAUCAGAUGCUCCUAAAUCUUGGAAAAUGUGCAUUCGAGAUAUCUUUGGGUAAAUUCCUGGGAUUCAUGGUGCAAUAGCGGGAAAUUGAGGCUAAUCCCGAUAAAAUCCUUGUGGUUCUUGAGAUGAAGUCACCAAGUACCAUUAAAGAAGUUCAAAGUUUAGUCAGUCGUGUGGCCGCCUUAAGUCGUUUAACUCUAAGGCCACCGAUCGUUGUAAGCCAUUUUUCAAAGCUUUGAAAGCGGGGAAGAGACUCCAAUGGAUUGUCGAGUGCGAAGAGGCUUUUCAGAAGCUAAAAGAGUACCUCGUUAAUUCACCUUUGCUCGCCAAACCUAAACCAAGAGAAGCGAUUCUAUUGUACCUCGUCGUUUCUGAGCACGUCACUAGCUCCGUUUUACUAAGAGAAGACGAAAAUGGGGUACAACGACCUAUAUAUUAUACUAGUAGGGAAAUGGUUGACGUGGAAAAGGGGUAUCCCACCACAGAAAAAUUAGUUUUGGCUUUAGUUAUCUCUGCAAGGAAACUCCGGCCAUAUUUUCAGGCCCACACCAUUGCUUUUGUUACAAAUCUUCCCCUUCGACAAAUCCUCCAAAAGUUGGACAUGUCCGGAAGACUUCUUCACUGGUCUUUUAAAUUGAGUGAGUUCGACAUUAUUUUCAAGCCACGUUCAGCUAUUAAAGCCCAAGCCAUUGCUGAUUUCAUUGCGGAAUUCGCUAAUGACUCUGAGGGUGAAGGGAUCCCGGGGUACUCGGACGAAACUACACCAGCCAAUGAGGAAGAACAUGUUUGGGAAUUUUACGUGGAUGGUUCUUCCAACUCACAUGGAAGUGGUGCGAGAAUAAUAAUCCUCGAUCCGGGUAAAGUGAAAUUAUGCUAUGCCUUGCAAUUUGAAUUCAAGGCCUCAAACAACGAGGCCGAGUAUGAAGCUAUAAUAGCGGGGUUAAAAAUGUUGAUGGUCUUGGGUGCAAAAAGGGUCCACAUCAAAAGUGACUCUCAAUUGGUGAUCGGUCAAAUCACUUCGGAAUAUCAGGCUAAGAAAUAAAAUAUGAAGGGGUACCUCGAGAAAACCAGAGAAUUGAUGUCUCAAUUUGCUGAGGUUAAAGUGGAAAAAGUUCCAUAGAUAGAAAAUUGUAAAGCUGACAAUCUCGCUAAAAUGGCUUCAUUCGGCACAACUUAGUCUGUUGGUUCUAUCACUGCUGAGUACAUACCUACACCUAGUAUUAAUCUACCUGAGCCAGAAGAAGUAGAGUCAAUAACUGUUGGGGUACCUUAGAUGGAACCAAUCAUAAGGUAUCUCAAGAAUGGAGAUCUGCCCUCAAACAAGAAUGAAGUAAGAAGGCUGAAGUACAAAGCUGCACGAUAUUGUCUCAUCGAGGAUACCUUAUACAGAAGAGGGUUUACCCUCCCUUACCUAAAGUGCUUAGGAUAUGAGCAGGCCGAAUAUGUCAUGAGAGAGAUAUACGAAGGAAUUUGCGGUAUCCACUAUAAAGCACAAUCAUGGGCACAAAAGGCCCUUUGUCAAGGGUUUUAUUGGCCUACGAUACGGGAGGAUUCUAAAAAUAUGGUCAAGAGUUGUGACAAGUGCCAGAGAUUUACCAAGGUACCUCACCUUCCAUCAGAAAAGUUAACGAUCAUGUCUUCUUCGUGGCCUUUUACUGUUUGGGGUGUAGAUCUCAUUGGCCCACUGCCAACCAGUAGAGGGCAAACUAAAUAUACAAUUGUAGCCGUUGACUGUUUCACAGGUGUGUUAUUUCAAAUUCUUUUGUCAAGGUAAGUAACUUCAUUCUUAAUGUACUAGAUAUAUAUAUAUAUAUAUAUAUAUAUAUAUAAUUAUUUUGAUAUUAUUAUAAGUAUAAAUGUUCUUAUACUACUUAAAGGAUCAAUUGAUUUUGAUAACAAAAUUAGUUUUAUGUAAAUGUUUUUAAACCUAAAUUCUUUUUAACAAAGUAUUUUAUAAAUGCUUUUUAAUAGAUAAAUUAUUUUAUGACAUAACUACCUUUUGUGAUUUUAUCUUUAAAAUGUUAUGCAAGCCUAAAUUGUUGUUAUGAACAUUUAUGAAACUAAUACGAAUGUUUUGUGCCCAUUUAUGAUUUUAAUUAUCUAUGAUUGUACGGGGGCCACCUCUUGAGGGCCAAAGCAUCGCAAAGUGCCACAUAUAGUGCAAAGUGCCACGUCAUUAUGUUUUGGCUCAUUGUCCGUAGUUAUUCCGAUUCUAAUUCUAACGUAUUAUACGAUAUAUGUUUGUUCUGGACCAGUACUGGGUUUAUGUUCUGAGUGUGCACAUGAUUUUUUAAUUCUGAUUAUGUUUAUGGCUGGGUCACCGAGACUAUAGGUGACACUAUGUGAUAUGAGCUAACCUUUUGUUUUUCUGUGUAUGUGAUAUAUGAUUUGCUUUUGUAAGUAACCAUGAUUUUGAUAUUCUGAAUUACUAUGAAUUUAUGUUACUUUAUAGUGAUAUGUUAUUUUAUAAAAUUUAUGAAUUAUGAUAUAUGUUUUACUAAAAAGAAGGCUUGCAAUAUUUUUGGUAUCGGUAGGUCUAGUGUGUUAGGAAUGGUUUUACUUACCGAGUUAACAGCUCAUCCCUCAUCACUAAUUUUUGCAGAUUAAGUUUCUUUUGAGAGGUGUGCUUAGCUUUGGAGUUAGAGAUUUCAUUUUCGUUUGCUAUUUGAAUAAGAAGAGAAACAUAUUCAUGUUUCUUUUUAGUUUAUUUCUGUUAUGAACUUCUAAUUUGGAGUUUGAGACUUUUUUUAUUGUUAUAUUUUGGGAGAGAUUAUUUAGUGUGAGACGUAUGAAUUUGUGAAUUUAUUUAAAUAAGAAUUUGAGGUAUUUCAGUUUAGAAUUUAUGAAUAAGGAUUACGAUUUGUAAAUAACCUCAUUCUGCACGUGCUCCGCACGUGUUAGAUUUGGGGUGUUACACCAGUAGUUGUGGUUGCAAAAUGUUACAUCCAUCGAGUUUAUGGGAGAUUAAAUACAUCUAAGCAAGCAUUAAUAAUUACGAGCUGAUAAUACAAAUAUAAAUAUAAAAUAUGAUUGACAUGUUGACAGCAACGGCGAAUAUAUAUAAUAAUAACACCAAUCGUGUUGAUGGGAGAUUAUUUGUCAAAAUUAUUUUUAAUUCUUAUUUUUUAUUCCUGUGGCUUGAAAAGCGACUCUAUGUUGAUCAUUCAUUUAUUUUCUAAUUCGUAUUUUAUAGAUAUAGAUUUUUAUUUAAAGCUACCAUCAUUUUGCAUUGGAAAGUAAAGGGAGCAAAAUUAGUUUAUAAAGGUAGGUCUAUAAUAAUAAACCCAUAAGGAGGAAGCUCAAGAACGCGAGACCCAACACAACUGAGUAGCCUCAUCUAAGAAUCUUGUAAUUUGGUUGUUAUACAUUGAGGAGUUCAAACACCAGGUAUUUAACUAUUUUUUUCAAUUAACCAUUGAUCACUCACCUCAAUUUUUACUCAUUAAUCUGCAUAGCUCACUAUAAGGUAAUGCUAGUUCAGAAAAUAUAUUAAAAUAGAAGUCCUGUACAUAGAAUAUUUCAAAAUGUUGCAAGUUUUAUAAAACACAUGUAGAUCAACAUAUUCUUCUAUCGUAAGAGAUUUUAUGUAACCAUUGAACCAAUGAACACUCACAAAUUAAUUGCUUUAUAUGUGAGCUGGAUUAAUUUGAACUACAGACCUCUUCUUCCAUAAGAGAUUAUUUUAUCCAUUUAACCAACCGUCAAACACCCACGAAAAUUAAUUGAGGAUGAAAUGAGAUAGCCUACAAGCUACGGCAACAAAUUGCCUAGAUAUUUACUGACCAAAUCGAAUUCUACGAGUAUUAAUUUCUAUUAUCCAGAUGGCAUUAAAUUAAACCAUAUUCACCAAAUUACAGAACAAACAUCACAAAAUAAAUCAUCUCCUACCUAAAUUGUUUCUCAACUGUCACUCUUUGCCUUAUAUAUUGAAAUUAAUUUCUCAAGAAACGCCUCACAAUUUUUUUACCUGCAGAUUGACUCCAUCUUCUGGCACAGUAAUAAAGCUAUAAAUAGGUGAAUGAGCAUACUCGGAAGAAAGUAAGAAAUUAAGACAAAUUAGCCUGCAUGAGAGCAAGUAGUAUCUUAAGCUCAACCAUGGCCAAAUUUUGUAUUAGACGCACUCGAGGACCAAAUACAACCGGGAUGUCUUACAAUUUAAUUCUAAGUGCUAUGGUUGCCCGUGUAGGUGGAGUAUGGUGGAUCUCUAUGUUGAGAAUCAUGGCUGCUGUAAAGGAUAAGGUGAACUAGUUUUAUAGUCAAGGUAGAACUCUACCAUUCAAGUAAGUGGAGAUUUUUUUAAUAAAAGUGACUUGAAAAAAGAACUAACAAAUUUAUUCAAUUGCAGCAAAAGUUGAAAAAAGAACUAACAAAUUUACACGCACUUGACUUGAAGUUUUAAUUUCUUUGGAAGUUUGCAUGAGCAUCAAGUAAUGGCAUGAAUUUUAUAUAAAUUAAUGCAUGAAAGUCAAGAAUUCUUUUACGUGCAUGGACUUUCAUUGAUUUCGUAUUGGUACUUUUGUUGAACACGUGGCUAAUGUUGAAAUAAAAGGGAAAUUAAAACUUUUGUCCCUGAGGAAAGAUGAAAUAAAAGGGAAAUGUUGAAAUAAUUGUCUCUGAGGCCUGUAAUUAAAGUUAAAAAAUUUAUGUUACACCAUCACUAUUGAUUACAGAGGGUUCAGAAAUAUUAAAAUCUAGAGCAAAAUACUUCAAUGACUAGAGGUUUGAUUCUAAACUUCCGUUCUUAAUUUUUUAUGGACAUAUUAUGUUAUACUUGCAUAAGAAAAUCAUACUUAAGUUUUCUUACAACUUUAAUUUCAGUUAUUGCUUGGACUAGCUCUAAAAUAUUAGGGACUUUAGGCGCAUUUGUUUUAUGAGGCCUGCUUAUAUUUAAUAGUUUUAAUACUCAAAACAUAAAAAAAAAUUAAAAUUUAAUCAAUUUUUAAUUAUAUAUUGAAUAUCAACAAUCAAUAAGAUGGUAAGAAAUUUCAAAAAAGAACAGUAAUUAAAAAAAAAUUAAUUCCCUCCGACUAUUAUUUCAAGAAAUUAUUUUUUUUUUCCUUCAAAAGUGAACAAAUAAAUGUAAUAGCUUUCAUUAAAGAGAAGAGUGGAAGAAAUUUUUUAAUAUUAAAUAAUCAAGUUUUUUUUAAACAAAUAAAGAAUUUUUUAAUAUUUUUCUUGAAAAACUAAUAAUGAAUUAAUAAUUAAUACUAUUAAUUAUAGCUCUUUAAUGUUAAGAUUAUCAAAUAUAAAAUUUGUGUAAAAAAAUCUUAAGUGCAAGAUAAUUAUCAAUUAAAAUAUGCCUAAAAAUAGGCUUUUUUAUCAUAAGUUAAAAAAAAUAAUUUGAUUAUAUUAAAGAAAUACAAAAAAAAAAAAAAUCUUCUAACAUAUAAGGACUCGGCGGCCACGAUGUGAAGCCUUAGACAAUUACUUAAUUCACCUAUAUUUAAAGCCGUCCCUAGUUAUUGCAGAAGUGGGCACGUUGAUGUCAGUCUAUUCAAUCAUGUCAUCCGCUACGAAGAAUUAAUCGCGUAAUUAAAAAGCUUGAUAGAGUUGAGAAUUCAACGUGCAAACCCCAAUUGAAGCUUAAGUUGGGGAAUCCCAACCUGAAAUGGCUCUGGUAUCAGUCUUGAUGAAGCAACUGCUGCAGCCUUUUAUGGGCAUAUCAGAAAUUUACAACCCUCCUCUGUCCAUCUUUCUUCUUCUUCUUAUCCUCUUGCUCACACUUGUGCAGUUGCUGAAAAUCACCAGACGUAGUAGUAACCAUCUCAACUUACCUCCAUCCCCACCAAAGCUCCCCAUUCUCGGCAACCUUCACCAGCUUCUGGGAACUCUCCCUCAUCGCUCUCUCAAAGCUCUUUCGGAGAGGUACGGCCCUUUGAUGUUCGUUUACUUUGGCAAUUCUCCAACCUUUGUGGUUUCAUCGGCUGAGUUGGCUGGUGAGAUGUUUAAAAAUCAUGACAUUGUGAUCUCGAACCGGCCCAAAACCACACCUGCUAACAUCCUCGUAUAUGAAUGCCAAGAUAUCACGUUCUCUAAUUACGGCGAGUACUGGAGACAAGCUCGGAAGAUUUGCAUUCUUCAACUCUUGAGUGUGCGAAGAGUGCAAUCAUUUCAGUAUGUUAGAGAUGAUGAAGUUUCAAGUUUGGUAACUAAAAUUCGCCUCUCGUGUCUUAAUAAAGGAGGUCCUCUUAAUUUAACAGAGAUGCUACUGACUGCUUCCAGCAAUAUAGUUUCCCUCUGCGUUCUUGGGAAGAAAGCUGAUGAAGAAGAAGAAAAUAUUGGAGACAGCAAUAAGCUGGGAGAGUUGUCAAGAAGGCUGGAAGAGCAGCUUGCUGCCUUUUGUAUGGGAGAUAUGUUUCCAUCUUUGGCAUGGUUAGAUAUUCUCUCGGGAUUCAUUGGUCGUCUCAACGCAACUGCUAGAGCAUUUGACGCUUUGCUUGAUCAGGUGAUUGAAGAGCACACGAACAAGGUAUCAAAAGGAAGUGGGCAUGAUGAUGACCAAUCUGAUAAAAAAUACUUUGUGGAUAUACUCCUCCAACUUCGAAAGGAUGGCAUGCUUGGGGCAGAGCUCUCUCAGGACAAUCUUAAAGCAAUUAUCCUUGUCUGUCCUUCCUCUCAACCAGCUAGUCUUAAUUAUUUUAAUUAUUAGCUCUCUCCUUUUCAAAAAAAAGAAAAAAUUAUUAGCUCUCUCUAUAUUUUUACAUCUUUUACAUACAUCAUGCACGCAAAAGCGCGCUCUUGCAUAUACAUAAACAUACAUCAAUACUAAAGGUUUUUCAUGUUUCACAUUCUCAGGACAUGUUUGUAGCAGGAACUGAGACUACUGCAACAACACUAGAGUGGGCAAUGGCAGAGCUAGUGAAAAAUCCAACUAGUAUGAACAGAGUUCGAGAAGAGGUUAGAAGUGUGGCAAAAGGGAAAUUAAAUAUAGACAUGAAGGAAAUUGAGAAGAUGGACUAUUUGAAAUGUGUUGUCAAAGAAACUCUGAGGUUACAUCCACCAGUUCCUCUCUUGGUUCCGCGAGAAAUGGCAGAGAGUAUCAAAUGGAGAGGUUAUGAUAUUCCUGCAAAAACUAGAGUGAUUGUAAAUGCAUGGGCAAUUCAAACAGAUCCCCAAGUUUGGGACAGGCCAGAAGAUUUCUUGCCAGACAGGUUUUUCGCUAACCCGGUGGAUUGUAAAGGCCGAGACUUCCAAUUUAUCCCCUUUGGUGCUGGAAGAAGAGGAUGCCCAGGGGUAUCAUUUGCGUUAGCUGCAGUUGAGUAUGUGAUGGCCAACCUUUUGUACUGGUUUGAUUGGAAUUUGCCUCUUGGUGAAGUUGAGGAGAAUUUGGACAUGUCUGAAGUUAAUGGGCUAGUGGUUCAUAAGAAAUUACCUCUUCAUCUUGUGCCAACGCUAUACUCCCCUUGCUCUUAAUCUUGAUAUGUCUAGAAAAAUAUCCAUUGUACUUAUAUUCUAAUCAUGAUUAUCCUCUUCCAAUUCCCUCUUGUGAAAAAUUGUACCAGUGUUGUCUAUUUUCUUC